AAAAAAAAAAAAAAAAAAAAAAAAAAAAAAAAAAAAAAAAAAAUUAGCCAUAGCUAUAUUCCAUAUCCUCGAUAGUAUAGUAUUAACUUGGUAGUUCUAGUUUCCUCAAAUUGUUGUGCAUUUGCAUUUAAUAUUGUUGGUGAUCGUGAACUGGAUCUCAUAAUGGAAAUUAAAUUAGCCAUAGCUGCCGGGACAGAAUAGCCUAGUGGUAAACACUAGAGUGAACUGGAUCCCAAGGCGCCUGGGUUCGAGUCCUCUGGGGUUCCGGAGACCGCCCGUGUCAAAAAAAAAAAAAAAAAAAAAAAAAAAAAAAAAAAAAAAAAAAAAAAAAAAAAAAAAAAAAAAAAAAAAAAAAAAAAAAAAAAAAAAAAAAAAAAAAAAAAAAAAAAAAAAAAAAAAAAAAAAAAAAAAAAAAAAAAAAAAAAAAAAAAAAAAAAAAAAAAAAUUAGCCAUAGCUAGAUAUUCCAUAUCCUCGAUAGUAUAGUAUUAACUUGGUAGUUCUAGUUUCCUCAAAUUGUUGUGCAUUUGCAUUUAAUAUUGUUGGUGAUCGUGAAGAAGUUAACAAAUGGAGGCCAGAGUAUGAAGAUCGUGAAGAAGACUUACUCCUUGAUAACAACUUCUGUAUCACUUUAACUCUAAAUCAAGUUGACCUUUCUACUUUGUAAAAUCAAAUUAUAUGAUGACCUUUGAAUACUUUUUUUUGUUGUUGUUUUUUACCUAUAAGCUAAACCUUUGUGUUGUUUUACCUAUAUAAAUCAAGUACUAUGUAAUUUUACUGUUUAAAUUUGUUGAAAUUUUACAAUUCUACUAAAAAAAAAAAACAGAUACAAAAUCUCAAUCAAGUUGACCUUUCUACUUUGUAAAAUUAAAUUAUGACCUUUUUUUUUGUUGUUGUUGUUUUUUACCUAUAAGCUAAAACCUUGUGUUGUGUGUUUUUAAUUAAAUCAAGUACACUUUGUAAUUUUACUGUUUAAAUUUGUUGAAAUUUUACAAUUUUACUCAAAAUAAACAGAUACACAAAAUCUCAAUUGUUCAAAAAAAAAAAAAAAAAACCACCUGAAAAACCUAAACCGAACCGAAUUUUAAGGUUGAACCGGAAACCGGUUUAAGUAAAAAAACAUCUUCUUCUCCGAUUAAAAACCUGAACCGAACCGAAUUUUAAGGUUGAACCGGAAACCGGUUUAAGUAAAAAAACAUCUUCUUCUCCGAUUCAUUUUCAAAUCGAAUCUGAUUUUUUUUAUUUUAUUUCUCCGAUUAAAACUUCCGACGAACAAUUCGAUCAAAGCUUCGAUUGAGCAUUCUACUACCUUCGUUCAAACAACAAAUUGAUCGCCGGAAGAGGGAGCAGCAAUCAGCUCGAUGUUCGUCAGAAAAUUUCUGCAGAAAUCCUCCGGCGAUGGUGGUCAGAAGCCUCCUCCGCCACGUGUACUCUCUCCCCUUCCCUUCUAUCUUAUCUUAUAGAUCAUUUUUCUAUAUAAAGUUAUUUAAUUUGCAUUAUUAAUAUGUUAAAGACUAGAACUUUUUACUUUUUGCAGGGAUGUUUGAUAACACAAGAGUUGGAUCCUCGUCUUGUCUCCCACUAUGGGAUACCUUCGACGGCGUCUAUUCUCGCCUUUGACUCUAUUCAAUCCCUCUUGGCUGUGGGAACACUGUAAGCUCUUCUUCAACCUUGAAUCGGUUUAUGUGAAAUGGGGAGACUUUAUAAGAAGUUUGGCUAGUUGAAUCUUUACUAUACUAGUUAUGAUGGAUAGAAGAAAGGUUCAGCUUUAAAAAAAAAAGUAAUGCUUUUUGCUAAUUGUUUUGCUAGAGAUGGAAGGAUAAAAGUGAUUGGUGGUGAUAACAUUGAGGCGGUUCUUGCAUCUCCUAAGCAGUUACCUUUCAAAAACUUAGAGGUUCGGUUCACCUCUUUGUUGAGAGCCUAUAAUAAUCAAAUUCAGUUUCAAUUUCAAAGCAUUGGGUCUAAUAAUAUAAGCUUCGACGUAGUUCAUUCUCUAUCUCCUGAUGUGCUUGCUAGCUUAACUUAAUAGUAUUUCUCUAGUCUAUCCCUUUCUGAAGAGAUCAGCUUAUGCUGUGAACUUGAGAUAUAUAUAUAUAUAUAUAUAUAUAUAUUACAGUCCUCCCGCUUUGUGAUCCUAAUUAUCUGCAACUCCACUUGACAUUAUAUCUGUUUAUUUAUCAGUUCAUUGAGAACCAAGGCUUUCUGGUCAGCAUCUCAAAUGAAAACGACAUUCAGGUAUCAGUUCACUCUGGUGUUUGAAAUUCAUGUAUUAUCCAGACAUGUCUUCAUUUUGUUCAACAAUCUAUCUGAUCGACUACGUCAAUAAAUUUGAAUUAUUAUUAGGUUUGGGACUUGGAUCUUAGGCAGACUAUGUCAAGCUUACACUGGGAGUCAAACAUUACUGCGUUUUCAAUACUUCCCGGCACCGGUUACAUGUAUUGAGCUUGUUAAGAUGACAAUUCGCAGCAAUGAUAUUCCAUUGACACUUGCUAUGGCGUCAUUAAUUAAUUUUAUCAUCUCGUUCACAGGUAUGUUGGUGAUGAGUAUGGUAUGGUGUCUGUUGUAAAGUACAAUGCUGACGAAGGAAAAUUAGUGCAUCUUCCUUAUUAUGUUCCAACUGAUGCUUUAGCUGGUAUGUGGUUUCUCUUUCAACCUGAUGAUCAAAUUUGUCUAGAAUCUUUAUUAGGUUUAGAAUUGUUUUCAGGAUUGGGUAGUUUGAUUCUUAGUUAAUAUCUAUCUGCCUUCCCAAAGUAGUUGCACGGUAAAUUUAUGUCUGAUUACUUUUUUUUCUUAUAAAGCUUAAAUGAGUACCAUAUCCUCUUGGUAUAUCGAAUUCGAUGCAGUACAUGAGAAACCUUCCAUAUUGCAUUUUAAUUGUUCUUUUAACAUUUUUUCUCCCAUUUCCUUUUUUUUUUUUGCAGAAGCAGGGCUUUCAUCACCUAUUGAGUAUCCUGUUGUUGGACUUCUUUCUCAGCCUUGUUCGAGGGGAACUAGGUGAGAAAAUCUUUAUUUUGUUUUGUGUACUUAAUAAGACCUGUAGAUGGAAAGCAUUUGUUCCUCUGAAACUCACUAUUUGACUUUGUCAUAGCAUUUGUGAACUCACAUCUUUAAAAUAAGCUGGUCUUUUCCUACAGCCUCUAGCAGUUCUUUACUCUUGUGCUCCUAUCUCCCCUACUAUUAUUUUUAAAAUUAGUAUAGUAUCUGAGUUUUUUUAGCUGGAAGGAAUAAAAGAAACUGCAUGUCUAACUUGAGAGACAAUGUUUCAUAGUUUUGGUAGACUUGUGACUCCUGUCCUGUCAAAAGAGAUAAAUCCUUCUUUUUGUUAUGUUCUUUCAGUGUAGUAUUAGCAAUAAUAAGCUAGAAUACCAUCUUCUUAUGAUUAUCUUUAAUAAUGAAUUUUGAAUAAUUAUCCUGCAGGUUGUUGAUUGCAUUUUCAAAUGGAUUACUUUUUAUUUGGGAUGCAUCAGAAGAUCGUGUCGUGUUAGUUAGAGGGAACAAAUACCUACCUAUGGAGGGUAAGACAGUCGAUGUUUCUCUGGAAGCCUCACACGAUGAGCUUUCUGAUCUUAAGCUAGAUGGAAAGGAGAUAAGUUCUUUGUGUUGGGCAUCAGCUGAUGGUUCAGUUCUCGCUGUUGGUUAUGUCGAUGGAGAUAUAUUAUUUUGGGACUUCUCUGAUGGGAAAAAUGUGAAGGUAUCUAAUAAUGCUGUUAAGUUACAGUUGUCUUCGGCGGAGAAAAGACUUCCUGUCAUUGUUAUGCAUUGGUGUUUGGAUGUAUCUCGCAAGAAUUGUGGUGGAAAACUCUUUAUCUAUGGUGGUGAUAUCGUUGGUUCUGACGAAGUACUGACGGUAAGAACUCAACACCUAGUUUAAAAGUUUCAUAGUCCCUGAUUGUUGAACUUGGUGAAAUAUAAAAUGGAUCCUCUUUUUAAAUUGAAACACAGGGGAAACCUAAACGUGAAUUCUUACCCUCGUAUGUGCAUAUGUAUAUCCUAACAUAAUGUCUUUUCACUGAUCUUCUUAUGCAGAUGUUGGCACUUGAUUGGUCUUCUGGUGUGGGAGGUCUAAAAUCUGUUGGCCGUGUUGACCUGACUCUUAGUGGUUCGUUUGCUGAUAUGGUCUUGUCUCCGAUUGCUAGUUCAAGGCAAAGUGGGGUGUUUUUAUUCCUUUUGACGAAUCCAGGACAAUUGCAAGCGUACGAUGAUACCUCUCUGGCUUCUCUGAUGUCUCAGAAAGAAAAUAACAUUUCUGUUUCUCCGCUGCCAUAUCCAAUGGUUGUACCGACAAGGGAUCCACAUAUCACCGUAGCAAUGUUUGCUGCAUUAAAUGUGAAUGAUAAGCCGUCACUGGCUCUUUCCGAGGUAGUCCCUCUACAUAUUUUUUUUAAGUUGUUUUCCUGUGUGAAGCGAUUAAUUUAUAUCUUAUUCUUGAUAGAUAGUCUUAGCUGCAAAAUCUCGAACCCCACGUACUCCAUCUGGAGAAAGUGCGCAAUGGCCUCUAACAGGUGGUGUUCCAGGCCACAUUGAUGACUACAAGCUUGAGAGACUGUACAUUUCAGGAUAUCAAGAUGGGUCUGUGCGAAUAUGGGAUGCAACCUAUCCAUGUCUGUCUCUUAUUUAUGACUUGAAGCCAAAGGUAUGAAUGCUGUAACUUUCCUUCUUUUGAAGUUUAUCUUUAAAACUUGUGUGUAAGCUAAGCUGGUUGAUUAUUUAAUGAGAAUUUUUCCUGCAAUUAAUUAUUUCUUCCCGUGUUUAAAAAUAAAAUAAAAUAAAAAUUAUUUCUUCCUUUAUCAAUGAUCAGGUAUAUGGUAUUGAGAUAACUGGAGUAGAUGCAUCAGUAACAGCAGUUUCCUUCUGUUCUAAAACUUCUUGUUUGGCUGUUGGUAACGAAUGUGGUAUGGUAAGAUACCUGUUUCUGUUGGUACUUCCUUGAUACCAGCUUUUAAUGUGCAUCUGAUUCUCUCUCACUUUUCUGUCUCUGUAGGUUCGUCUUUUCAAGUUGGUCGGCCAUAAAAGUGGAGGAACUUUGGAAGUUGUUACCAACACUGACAAGCAAGGUUUGGAACUUGGUACGACAGAGCCUACAGAUUUGUUCUGUUGUAUCUCAUGCUUUAGGUGCAUUUCUUGUAGCUCACCCUUUGCAUCAAGAAGAUGGACCUCAAUGGUUGGCUGCGUAUUCCUUCCUGACUUCCGCAGUUUGCACCCUGCAAUUUGUACAGUCUACAAGAAGACUUGUUGUGGGAUUUAAAUGUGGCAGGGUAGGCAGUUAAUAUCUGUUUCUAACUCUCCGCAUAUAGCCGCUCUCUCUCUAGUUGAAAGUGUUUCAAACUAUUUCUACUUUUCAUUUCAUAUUUCAGGUUGCAAUGCUUGACAUUAGUGCGCCAUCAGUAAUGUUUGUUACAAAUAGCUUAUCUGACGCCGGCUCCCCAAUCAAGUCACUCUGUGUGAAAUCCCCUUCAGCUCCAACUGGCUCAAUAAGUGAUCCAACUGAUCGGGAUUCCUCAAGUUCCGAAGCUCUUGAUGAUUUUAUCUUGUGUGCGAUGACUAAGGAUGGUCAGACCACUCUUUUUGAUGGCAACACUGGGAAAAUACUCACCUCAUGCUUGAGACCUCUGAAGAACCCAACUGCGAUUUGUAUGCACAUUAUAGGUAGUUUCUCUGUUACUAACAUAAACUGUGUGUUUUAUGCAUCUAUUGAAUAUAUUAAAAACUAUAUUUUGCAGAGGACUGCUACGAAAAUACUGAAAUUCCCAGUGAAGAACCAGCUGGGAAGGAGAAACUUGAGAACAAAUCUCAUAUGAUCAGUGAAAGUGAGAGUCAUUCACCAUGUGGUGAACAUACUGCUGUUACAGAAACAAAACUUGUUGAUCAGAGAUUUGCGAAUUCAUUAUUUCUCAUGUGUUCUGAGGAUGCACUGCGCUUGUAUACCUUAAAAUCUUUAUCUCAGGUAUAGUGGAGAAUCUGUCUUGAUUUAUGAUUCCUGGAAUGUCGUGUUGACUUUGUCUGAUAACAAGGACUUACUUUCAAUACGUAGGGAAGUUUUGAGAGCAUUAUGGAGGUAAGUCUUUCAAAGCCGUGUUGCUGGAUGGGAAUCCUAAAAAAGGAAGAAAGGGAAUGUGCAGUACUCCUACUUUACCGAACAGGGCAUAUUGAAAUAAGGUGAUGUUCUAACUGGCUUCCACAAAUACAAUAUACAUGCCAGAUAAAAUGUAGUUACCAAAUCCAAUCAGCUUUAAAAGAAUGGUUUGCUUAUGUGAACAGAUCUUUCCCGGAUCUUGAAGUUGUGGGAGAAAGCUCUUUGCCGUCACUUCUUAGGUGGAACUUUAAGCCUAACAUGGAGAAGACAGUAUGUUCAGAUGAUUUCGGCCAUCUCGUCCUGGUGAGACUUCCUAAUAUACUGUCUAGAAGAGAUCUUUUAUCUGUUACUGCCCUCGAUAAUUUGUGAAUCAGAUAAAUCGAUGAGACCAUUGGAUGCUUACCAAAUUUAUGGAGCUUUGUAGGUUUAGAUAUUUGAUUUUAUGAACUGGCAUUUAUAAUAUUAUGAGAGAGUAUUUAAUAUCUCAGAUGUUUAGGACUUAUAAAAGCUAAAAUCUACAGGUAAAUGGUUGUGAAGUUGCAAUCCUUUCGCUUCUGGCCCAUGCAAACCGAUUCAGGUACUGGCUUAUCUGCUUUGGCAUACUUAGUUUCUCAGUAAAUGCAUAGCGAGCAAAGUAGCAGUUAAGUUACUAAUACCUAGCUCUGUACUAAACUCAGGAUCCCAGAGUCUUUACCUUUGCUUCAUGACAAAGUCCUUGCAGCCGCUGCUGACGCUACCUUUAGCCAUUUCCCUGUCCAUAAGAAAGACCAGGUACAUGUUCUGUUUUCACAUGUGAACCCUUUUUCGUUGGCUCCAUGAUUUUGCUAUAAAGUGUAUGUGAUCACAGGAUGGCACUCCCAAAUUCCUAAGUGGCAUUAUCAAAAGCUUCAGAGCAAGCAGUGAACAGAAGGUGGACCACCAAAUACAAGAUUUCUCCCACCUGGGAAACAUCUUUUCUAAUCCACCUUACUUAAAACCAUCUGAUACCGGUGGCGACGAUGAAAAGAUUGUCGAGCUAAACAUAGGUUUGUAAUAUCUAUACUAAGUUACUCAUCCUCGGUUUCCAACUGUGACUAAAAGUGCUUUUCUGUAGAUGACAUCGAGAUAGAUGAACCUCUUAGCAUCUUGCCUUUAACCGAGAAAGACAAAAUAGAAAAGAAAGGUAAACAGAUAUGAUUGCCUCAAGUUAUAUUCUAUGGUACAUGUUUUACUAUCAUUAUGAAUGCAUUAGACGAACUUAAGGCUUCUUUGCAGAUAAGAGAACAGAUAAGGAAAGACUGUUUGACGGUGCAUCCAGUGAUGCACAACCCAAAACGAGAACAGUGGAUGAAAUAAAGGCCAAAUACAGAAAACCAGGGGUGAGUCAAAACCAAUUUGAUCGUUAACCCAAAAGAGAUCUUAUGCUUUCUAUGUCUAACAUGGUUGUGGUUAUUUUUCCAGGAAACCUCAGCAAUAGCUUCACAAGCAAAGGACAAACUUCUUGAGCGUGGAGAAAAACUCGAGGUAAUAUCAUAUCUUCAUUUAAACUGACAUGUUCCCGAGCUGUGUAUAACACACUGAUCCUAACUACGAAACAUGUUUUAUCUGUUUGGUCUGCCUUAAUAAUACCAGAGGAUCAGCCAACGCACAGCUGAGCUCCAAGACGGUGCUGAGAACUUUGCAUCCAUGGCACAUGAACUUGCUAAGCAAAUGGAGAAGCGAAAAUGGUGGAACAUAUGAGAAAGCUCUGUUGCUUCCAUGUGCAUGUUUGCGUAAUCAUUCUGACAACUGCAGGUUCUUGCGUAUAUAAACUAAUCAUCUUAUAUUUUCCACCGGUGCAGUUUCUCUUUCAUUUUUUUAAUCAAUCAAAUUUGUAUUGUAGUGACAAAACAGAGCAACCAGAUUAUAUUAAUCACUUGAUUUGAUAUGAGUGUGUGUCUUCCCUUGAGGCCCAAUCUAUUAUUAUGAUUGGUCAUGUAACAUGGGCCACAAUGAACCAACUCCCAUAAAGGCACAAACGCCAAGUGAGCUUUGGUUGACCACACAUUCUCUGUUAUUUAACUCAUUGGCUCAUGACUAAAACCCUAAAAGCUAAAGCCCACAGGUUCUUGUACUUUAUAUUUCUGGUUAGUGGUUACACAACAACGACAAACUGAAGAAAGCUGCUGACCUCAUAAAGGAUUUAACCUUUUUUUGUGUCAGCGUGCAGUAGAAAGACUGAUACAGAGAUACACACGACGACAAGCAUCAACAAACACACAUUCAUCUCUAUCGUUCUCUACUUAUCUCUUCGCUAUCUCAUUCAUUUCAAUGUUCUAAGGAGAAAGCCAGAGAUAGUGCUAGAAUGGUGAGCUGUGUUUUAUCAAAAUGUGGUAUCAGACCUCUCCCUAGGUUCUACCCUAAACCCACAAACUCUUUUGCCUCUAACCCAUCACCCACUCUCAAACUCAACCCGCUACAUUCUCUCAACUCCCGAAGUGUGUUCUUGCCUAGAACAAGAAACUGGGCGUUGAAUGUGGCCACACCAUUAACAACUCUCGAGACUCCACCGGAGGAAGAAGAAGACGCGAGUAGGUUCGACCUUGGUGCGCCUCCUCCUUUCAACUUGGCUGACAUAAGAGCAGCCAUUCCCAAGCAUUGUUGGGUCAAGAAUCCAUGGAGGUCUAUGAGUUACGUUGUGAGAGAUGUAGCUAUCGUUUUUGGAUUGGCUGCUGUAGCUGCUUACUUCAAUAGCUGGCUUCUCUGGCCUCUCUACUGGUUUGCUCAAGGAACCAUGUUCUGGGCUCUCUUUGUUCUUGGCCAUGACUGGUAACAACUACUAAUCCUCAUGCUUCCUUCCUAGAUAAGACACAUAACACAUGCAGAGACAUAAAGACUAACUCGCAUAUGUGUUUGGUCUCAUGUUGAUUACCUCUUGUAGUGGACAUGGUAGCUUCUCCAAUGAUCCGAGGUUGAACAGUGUAGCUGGUCAUCUUCUUCAUUCCUCAAUUCUAGUCCCUUACCAUGGCUGGUGGGUUUUGCUUCCAAACCUUUUUCUCUCUCUCUGAAAUGAUUCGUUUGAGGAAUCUCACAUUCUUCAGACUUUACCUUGUAGGAGAAUUAGCCACAGAACUCACCACCAGAACCAUGGGCAUGUUGAGAAUGAUGAAUCUUGGCAUCCUGUAAGUACCACUCUCCAUUACCAAACACAGAUGUUGUUAUAGCCUGGUUUUACUUAAAAUAUAGCUUAAUGUUUCUGUAACUGCAGUUGCCUGAAAGCCUCUACAAGAAACUGGAAAAGACUACUCUAAAUUUUAGGUUCACACUGCCAUUCCCAAUGCUCGCAUACCCUUUCUACUUGGUAACCCUUCUUGCAUCAUACUAUAACCAACUUCACCUGGUUCGCAUCUGAUUAUCUGUGUUCUUGAUGCAGUGGGGAAGAAGUCCAGGGAAAAAUGGUUCUCAUUUUGAUCCAGACAGUGACUUGUUUCUUCCCAAGGAGAAGAAAGAUGUUGUGACAUCAACUGCAUCUUGGACUGCAAUGGCUGCUUUGCUUGUCUGUCUCAACUUUGUCAUGGGUCCAAUCCAAAUGCUCAAACUAUAUGGCAUUCCUUACUGGGUAUGUAUCUGACGCUGUAACUGUAACUCUAUUCCUCUGUUUCCUCUUGUGUAAAGGUGUUUAUUAGAACUUUUUCACUACGAAUUGCAGAUAUUUGUAAUGUGGUUGGACUUUGUGACUUACUUGCAUCACCAUGGCCAUGAAGACAAGCUCCCUUGGUACCGUGGAAAGGUAUGCAAAAUCUACUUCACCAAUCUCUUCUCACUUUACGGUUGAGAGUAUCUAAAUGCUUCUCUGUCCUUUUACUCAAACACACAGGAAUGGAGUUACCUGAGAGGAGGGCUCACAACACUGGACCGUGAUUAUGGAUGGAUCAAUAACAUCCACCAUGACAUUGGAACUCAUGUGAUACAUCAUCUUUUCCCGCAGAUCCCACAUUAUCAUCUAGUGGAAGCAGUAAGUGUUUUCUUGAUUUGCUUCGAUAUGAAUGUUUCAGUGCUUAACAUUCAAUAUCUAUUUUUUCUCUUUAUCCUUUUUCUAGACAGAAGCAGCUAAACCAAUAAUAGGAAAGUACUACAGAGAACCGAAAAACUCUGGACCUUUGCCACUUCACUUAUUGGGAAGCCUCAUAAAAAGUAUGAAACAAGACCAUUUCGUAAGCGAUACAGGAGACGUCGUGUACUAUGAGGCAGAUCCAAAACUCAGUGGACAAAGAACUUGACAACAGACUGCAACAAACAGGGCAGACAAGUUCAAAGUUCAUUUUGGUUCAUUCUUUAUGUAUCUUUUGUUUUGUUGCAAAAGCCUUCUCAAGAUUAAAAAGCAUUAAUUUGUAGAACUCUGCAGUAAAAACUCUCAAUUCUUGAACAAUAUAUCAGAUGGAUAUAUCAUAUAUUUCAUAACAGGAUCUUGUUCUUGAGAGCCCAACCAAACAUGAAUAUCAUAGCCAACACAACACUUAUUAUAACUCAAAUCUAUUACUGAUGAAAAAGAAGGGCACUAUUUUUAUCAGCCAGUUACAGUUACAAACACAAUGACAAGGAAACAACAGGUUGAUGCUAGAACCUAUAGGCACUAGCUUUGUCGCUAGACAUUAAUACUGCACAGAGCGAACAGCAGUAAUGAAGGAACUUAUCUUAGACUGAUCUUUCUGGAUGCCGUCUGGACCGCAGAUACCACUGCUAACAUCAAUUCCAUCAGGUUGAAGGAUAGACAGAGCUUCUGAAACGUUUGUGGGAUUGAUUCCUCCAGCUAAAAGCCACCCAUUUUUGCUUCUGAUGGAAGGUAACUUGAACUGAGCCCAGUUAAAUCCUUUCCCACUGCAGCAAAAUUGUUAUAAUUUAUAUCCAAGAUUAGUAAAGGAGGCAGGUAAUCUAAGCAUGAGCUGAACCUAUCACAUUCUUGAUAAUUAAAUUAGCAUAAUGACAUGCAAGAAGAGGAACAAACUGAAAAGAACAUGUUCUAAGUACCUCCCACCCGUUGCACUAUCCACAAGAAUCCAAUCAGCGAGAUGACAAUCCUCAGGAACUUCAUUCAGUAGCUUUCCGUCCUCACUUGCAUUAAGAACAUAUAUGACUCUCCUCUGCCGCACUAAUCCCUCAAAAGCAGCGCGAGAGGCAUUACCAUGAAGCUGGAAAAAGAAAACCACAAUCAUCAACACUUUAACAAACUUGAUUAAACCACUUUCAGUGAGAUCAAAACGAUAAGAAUAUAAACAACCUGAACAAGUUCAAGGUCCGCGGCAUCAGCUGCCCUCAGUAUCGUCCCCUCAUCAUCCUCAACAAAAACACCAACAGGUUUAGCCCCACCUUCUCUCGCCACUCUGGAGAUAUGCUUCGCAACAGAUAGAGAAAUGGAACGUUUCGAAUGCGGCCAAAUGAUCAUCCCGAUGAAAUCAGCACCAGCUUCAACCGCCAUAGCAGCAUCUCUGGCUGAUGUGAUACCGCACAUCUUAACCAAAGCUGUAUCCUUUCCUCUUCCAUCAUCCUUAGAAGCUGCUUCAUUCUCUGCGUUGGAUAAACUGCAGCUAAACCUCCUCUUCUGAGCAUACCCAACUCUUAAAAAAGACACCUUUCGAUUGCUUAAACCUGUACACAUCAAGAGAUCGAUGCCAUAAAGCAACGAACAUGGAAAGUUCAGUACUUUAAUGUGUGUCUAGUGUGAUCCGGAGAAAACUAAAAGUCAAAGAAAGUAACCAGAUUUGUAGAUUAUGGAGGAAGCCAAAGCUCUAGGAUGGAGGUAAAGAUCUGUAGAUAUUCCUGAGGAAAAAAAAAGAAUAAGACUUUCUUCAUCAAACUGAUCUUAGGAUAAAACUUAACACUAGCAAUAUCAACACAAGAAAAUAUAUAACGUAAUCAACUAAAGAAUCAAUGGUUCUAUCACUAAAGCAGAGGAUAAACAUUAACGAAUACUACUAGCAAAAACUCUCUGAGUAAAUACGUCGAACAGCUGAGCUGCAUUAAGUUCCCACACCCACAUCAGCAACAGAAAGCGUCAAAGCGAUAAUACAUAUAUAUAAUAUACCUGUCGAGAUCAUAACUCAGUAAGUGAGAAUCUCAAUUGGACUGUCUCCGCUCAAUCAAAAUAAUGAGGAAGAUACAGUGGAGAGACCAGACCGUACGGCCGAAGACGAUCAAAGACUGUCUGAAAAGGGAAAUUAAAGUACAGCAUUGAACUACCAACUUUUUUUUUGGAUUAGGUGUAACCGAACCGAACCAAGCCAAGUUAUUGAAUUUCUGGUUUUGUAUAGAACCGGAGGAUACCGUUUCGCAUUGCAAUUUUAGUUUGGUUUUUUGAACCAACCGGAAAUACCGUUGACUUCCUGGUUAUUUUUUGCUAACAAAAUUGAUUAUUUUAGUAAUCCUAGAUUUAACUUUUUUUUCCCUUAAUAAGUAAUAUUAAACAAUAAAAUAUGCUAAUAUAUUUUUUUUCCUCUUUACUAAAAUUUCAUUCCAUCAAAUAAAGUUUAUCAAAUAGUUAACAAAUCCAUAAAAAAAAAAAUUUGUGGAUCAUUUGGUCCAGUGAUUUGACUAAGGGUUCAUUAAUAAUUUUACAUCACGAGAUUUGGGUUUCGAUCCUUAGAGAUGGCGGAAUUAUCCGAAGUAAUGGAGAAAAUGCUUACAAUAGAUCUACAACAUGGCGCAAGGAGUACCGUCAAGUAGGUGUGGGUGUUCGGGUACUCAUUCGGGUUCGGUUCGGAUUUAUUCGUGUUUUGGGUUUUCGGGUCAAAGAUUUCAGUCCCAUUCAGAUAUUUUUAAAUUUCGGUUUAGGUUCGGUUCGGAUCUUUGCGGAUUCGGUUCGGGCUCGGAUAACCCAUUUAAAAUUAUUUUUUAAAUUUUAAAUUCAUUAUAUAUAUUAAAUAACUCAAAAUCUAUUAAAAAAUAAUAUAUUACAUAAAAAUUUAAAUAACAUAUGUCAAAAUAUCUAAAAUUUAUAUAUAAAUUGGUUUGGUUUGAAUACUUGGAUAGAAAAUCAAUAGAUAUUUCAAGUAUUUUUGGUGUUUUGAGUAUAUUUUAGCUAUCUUAAACAUUUAUUAUUGACUAUUUGUAUAUAUUUUCAAUUAUUCUAGACAACUUAAAAGUAUCUUAUAUAUUUUGGAUGUUUUUAAUAUACAUUAAACCUAAAAAUAAUUAAUAUAUUUAGGUAUAUAAAUCUAUUUCGGAUACAUUCGAGUACCUAAAAUACUUCGGUUCGGAUCGGGUUCGGUAUAGAUACCAAGAUUUUGAACCCGUUCGGAUAUCUAAUCAAUUUCGGUUCGGGUUCGGUACUACUUUUUCGAAUUGGGUUCGGUUUGGUUCUUCGGAUUCGGGUUUUUUGUCCAACCCUACCGUCAAGCGUGGAUCCCAUAGGGUGACUUAGGUGAUGCAGUCAGACGUGAAUCCUCAUAAGGCAUGUAGAAUUGUCGGCUGUAGAAUCGUCUGUAAUAUUUCAUAUAGUUUGUAAUAACAUAAUAAUUCAGCGUUAAAAAGAAAAAAAACUUGCAUAAGGUGUUAUUAUAUUUUUUUAUUGAGGAUAAUAUACAUUCUACUACUAUCCAUUGGGCAGAGCCGGGCUUGACCUCAUGCUUGUGAAACAUUUGAAUGGACCCCACAUUUGUGGGGCCCCUUUUUUAAAAAUAUAUUUUUUGUAUAUAUUAAAUAUAUAAAUGUUUAAUGAAAAUAAAAAGAAAAUGAUAAAAAAACAGAUUUUAAAAAUUUAUAAUUAUAUGAAAACAAUUUUAUAAUAGACUAAAAUGUUCUUUUCACUUUUUAAGUAACCAAAAAAAUUUUAUAUUAACAAAUAAUUUUAAAUUAAUUUUUCUUUUCAAAAUAAUAUCUUUAAAAAAAUAAAAAUUAAAUAUUUUUUUGUUUUGGAUAUGGCCCCCAAAAUUUCAGGUCCGGCUCUGCAAUGAGUAUGCUUUUUAUGUUAAAAUGUAUGCUUUUGAUAGGUUCACUUAAAAUAAUUGCAUUAAGUUUGUUUGGUAAACUACUACCGAUUAAGUCAUAUUGAUUUCUUGAUUAAGUUAGACGGAUAAUCUAGCACGCAGUGUCAGGAAACAAAUGUCUUUCGUCGUUCUCAUGGAUCAAUAUCUUCUGGUGUGGUUUACAGAGUCAAUAUGAGUCUGUAAUGUUGUCGACAAAAAAAAAAAAAAAAAAAAUUUCUGAUUAAGUUAUCUUAAGAUGCGACUGUUUCUACUGUGGUAGGUUUUGCCAUUCGGUUAGUACUACUAUUUCAACUUUUAAUCAACGAAUUGCAAGUUGAGAAAACCAAUCAAUACUUGUUACGAGUUAUAGUUGUAUACUUUGUAUUCAUAUAAAUUGACAAACCAAAAGAUAUAGAAAAAAAUCAAGUGUGAACGCCUUGUUAUUGGAGGGCACAUGAUAAGACAUGCCAACACAACAUUUACCGACAUCUAUAGCAACACGGCGGUGCGUUUCUUACAUUAAAGUGAACAUAUCUCCACACAGUUUGUCUCCCUUUUGUUUUAAGCACGUGCUUAAUGUAAUUUUUCAUACCUAUUCAUUCUUCAUAUACUAUUUUAAUGCAUAUAUCAAAUGAUUUAGUUGAACAGCUGAGAGCAACCCCAUCCAUAAACUUCUCAACUUGGAUGUCUAAGCAAAUUAAUAUUAGUAUUUCUAAUAUAAUUCUAGUACUUGAUUGAAUUAAAAUGUUUUCAAAAAAUCAAAAUCAAUUAAACACACAUGUGUACUGUUUUUUAUGGGUAUCUAAAAACAUUUCUAGUGAUACUCUUUUUUCCAUCUAAAUGCUAUUUAUUGAGUAAAAAUGCCUACAAUAAUUUGUUAUAUCUUAUAUUAAAUAUAGAAAUAUGAACAGUAAUACACCAAAUAUAAAGGAACACUGUUUAUUUACUUUAUUUUAAUUUUUUUUCUUUACAAGAUUGACCUCUUAUUUUAUAUAUUUUCAUUUCCACUAAAAUAAAGCUAUCUAGUAUACAUUUUCACAUUUAAAUACUAAGUUUAAUACAUCUUUUAUUUUUAAUUAUGUGUUGUAAUAAAGUUUUAGUUUUAAAAUAAUAGUUUAGUUAUAUAAAUAGUAUAAUUGUUGUAGUGCACUGUUAUAAAAUAAAAUAAAAGAUAAAAUUUAAUAUUUUUAAGUUAUUGAUUGUAUAAUAAAUUGAUAAAUAAAUAGAAAAAUAUUUUUAAAUAUUUUUUGUAAGAAUAAAAAGUAUAGGUAAUCAUUAUAAAUUAUUUUUAUAUUUUAGACUAAAAAAUAGACGUAACCAUUAGAAACAAUAUAAAAAUAUCUCGUAAGAACAUUCAUAUUUUUGAGUAACCACAAUGGUUAGAAACUUUUGAAAAGUUCUUAAACCAAAAAAUAAUAGUAUUUUAAUAUAAAUUACUUGUUUAGUUAAAUUUUAACUAAAAAAACAUAGUUAUACCAAUCAUAAAAUGACAAGUGUCCCAUAAGUUUCUAGUUAGGUUUUCGAAAGCUCUUAGUGUAGAACUUCCAUCUUUUCUCUCUCUUCAAUUUUGAUUAUUUUCAACUUUUUUUUUUUGUUAAAUACUCAUAUCUCAUGUGCUUUAAUACUCUUGUGUUCUCUCUUCUAUUUCUCAUCUCUAUUAUUAAAAAAGAAGUACCCAUUAAAAAAUACCCUUAAGUUUUCUAACUUAUUUACACUUUCAUGCCACUGAAAAUUAAAUUAAACUACCUAUUUUAAUGCUUGUCUUUUCUAGUUAAAUUAAUGAGUUUUCCUUAAUCAAAUUUAAUCUUAAUGUCAUUAAAUAAACCUACUUAUUUUAAUGCUUGUCUUUUCCAGUUAAAUUAAUUGGUUUUCCUUAAUCAAAUUUAAACUUAAUGUCAUUAAAUGAACCUAAAAAUACAUCAUAUUUAACGUAGCUUAUUACGUACGCGUACGACCCAAUAAUGAACUUGAAUUUUAUUUUUACGAAAACGUGAAUCACUUGACUUAUGUAAUAUUUAAAAUAUAUUAACUACAAUAUAACAAAUGCAUAUAACCUACCUAUACUUUAGUUUGAAAUGAUCAUGUUCAAGUUUUAUAUAGUCAACUUACAUCAUGCAUCGUUCGAUGUACAAUAUUCAAACCACCUAUAGUUUUCGUUUUCUUUAUAGGAUGUAUCAACCAACCAAUCAUUCCAUUGAUUUUCUAAGCUUUAUAAAAAAAAACAAAUUAAUAAAUACAAACUCAAAAUCAAAUAUCUUCUAUUAAUCAAAACAGAAUAUCUUCAAUGUCGUAUCUUUAAUGUACCUAUUAAAUAUAGAAACUGUAACCAUAAUUACACUAAUUAUAAGAAUGUAUUUGAUUCCAACCAAUUGAUCUAUUACUUCGGUAAUUGAUUUGCUUGCAGAAGAAGAAACAAUAAAUUUAUAAUUUAUAAGAAUAUAAAGAUAUAGAGAUUCCAACCAAUUGCCUAUAUUUGCGUAUGAUUUCCGCAUAAUAAGCUUCAAAUUGAACAUUGAAAAAGAUAGAGAGAUUUUUUUUAAUCUUUUACCGACACAAACUUAAACAAAACGAAGAGUUAAAUGUAAUUUUUUUUUGUUACACUUCCCGAAAAAAACGGUUACAACAUGGGCUUUCAUAAUAUGGUCUUUUAACAUAUUAAUGUUAUGGACAUUUAAUAAUUAGCUUGACGAAAAACAAAGACUAUAAAUAAUUUAUUAUUAAUAAAAUUAUGAAAUUAUUUACAAUUUGAUGACUAAUUCAUCGCUCUUUUUUAUAUGUUAAAUUUUUCAUAGAAGUUUAAAAAUCAUUUUAUUUUCUUUAAACAUGUAUAACUAAUUUAUAAUCUUUUAUCCCAUACUAAGUCAUAGUAUAAUAUUUCUUCAUAUUUUAUAUUAAUAACCAUUGUUUUUAUAUAUCGUCUACAAUUCUCUAAUUACGUCUAUUUGUUCAAUUUUUUUAUAUGAUAUCGAAUAUUCAUCGCAAAUAGAUGGUUUAAGAUGCCAAAAAAUUAUUUACUUGGUGAAUAUAAUACAUCAAAUAUUACAAAUACAUUAUUUAGUUAAAUAAAUAACUAAAAACCGAAAAUUCAAAUCCGCGCGGAUCAGAGUCUAGUUUAGUCUUUAAUUUUAAUGUGAGAACUCCAUUUGAUAUCACCAAUGGUAAGGAAGUGAAAUUAUUUUUUCAAAUUUUUAUAAAUUUAAAGCAAACGUAUACUUCACUUUCGUUCGUCCUUGGCCCAACCUCAUCUCUUCGGCAGAACACACAACUCUUAGUGGCUUCUUCUUCGUCCCCCUUUUUAACAUGCUUACUCUUUUUCGGUUUCGUCCAUAAUAAAUCAAUCAAUAUUUUAACUAUAUGUAAAACAUUAAAAUAAUAAUUCUGCAAUGUAGCACUUUGUGGGGUGCAGAGAGCGACAAGCAUUUCCAGAGAUUUCUAGUCAUUCUACCACUUUCAAAAUAAAAUAUUGAAAAACUUGUUCGAUGUGACGGAUUUGCAAGUGUAAGAGAGUACGGAUUGUCCACCAUUAUCCGUAAAUGUUUAUGAGAGUCCACAAUGAAUUAUGAUUGCAUUCAGGAAUAUGAUUUUUCAUUUUACAUAAUGAUUACGCAUUUAGUUUCAUAUAAUUGGUGGAUAUACACACGCAUACAUGUUACUGCACUUUGACUUAGAAUUUCUUUAUAAUGUAUCAUGCAUGUAUGUUGGGGAAUGAGAAAAAAAAUACAUAUCUUCGGACGAAUAGCGAAUGAUAGUUGAGAGCUUGAUAUCAACUUUUGGUUUUAGGCUUUUAAUGUUGUAAGAACUUAAACAAAAGCUAAUAGUUAAAAAAAAAUAACUUCGAGUGUUUUUAGAAAUUUUAAAGACUUUAGAACUAAUAAAAUCUGAUCGGGUAAUAUUUGACUUCUUUUCCCUUUCAAAAUGGAUAUACCAUUACAAAGUUUUUUACAUUCCGGAAAUAGCAAGUAAAGGAAAAAAUACAUAGCGAUUUAAGACUUUCGAAUUGUGUUAAAGCCUUCAAAGCUUUAUUUUACCAAUCACAACCCACGAUCAAUGAUUUCUGUAACCGGUCAAACAUGUCUAAAAUUCCAAAGCUCCAACCACUAUCAUGAAAGCAUUAUAUGUCGCAUUACUAAAACAAGGAAAAACAUUUAUCGAUUUAUGGUAUCUGAAUAAUUUAAUUUAUUUUGAUAAGUUUAAGACUAACUGAAAUUUAUGGUAUUAAAUAACUUGUCCAAUGUCAUCUCAGAAUUUCGAACUAGUUCUUUUCUACUCUGGGUCAUAUAAAUUUAAUUUAGUUAUAAAAUGGUAUGUGAAAAAUUGUAAGGCAUCAUUUUUGCCAAAUAUGGAGAGGCUCAACAAAGUUUGACCCAAAAAAAAAAUAUGGAGAGGCUCAACUACACUUGAUAACAACUUUUUAAUGGAAGCAUGUGAUCCACUACUCUUAACGUGGGGUUUCCUACAUAUCUACACAUACAUAUACGGAAAACUGAAGCAUAGCGAUCAUUUAUAAGCAACUCGAAGAUUUUAUUUCAAAUUUUCAAGAUUUAUCAUAUGACUUUUGAUCAAUGCGCUUCGACUAAUUUUCAACCUUUAUAAAACUAAUUAAGAUACGCUUAGAACAUUCGGGCUCCCUGUAACGCAGUCAGCUUCGUAGUUGUUUUUGUAUAUGCAUCUAACUACGAUCGCUGAACAAUAGCCCUGUUCUUUGGAUAAACGCUGCAUCUAGCGUCAGCGUCUCCAAAAGUCCUGUAAUUUUUGUUGCUUUAAAAUCAUGAUUGCAGAAACCACCGAAGUCGGUGUUAAAUAAACGAGACGCAGCAUCAGAUUUCCUAUGAUAUUUGAUCACUUGAAAUUCUAGCGUCAAUCACGACUCACCGCGGCGACUCCUUUUACUGUUACGGCGACAUUUUUUUUCUCGUCGUCGCUGUCCGCGUUUUUUUCACAAAGCAGUUGAUGUGAAUAUUUGGAUACGCUGACGCUAAAUGCAGCGUUUAUCAAAAGAACAGGGCUAAUAUCUUUUUACAAAAUGAAGAUCGUUCAAGCCAAUGACCAUGCAUGAUUGUCAACAAACACUGCCGUUUGCAAAUAUACUAUAUGUAAAGUGGUGCCAUUGCAUAAUUAUAACAAUUAUAGUAUAGGAAUUUUUUAUGGAGAACGUUCAAAAUUUGGAUUGAACAACUAUAUCAUUAAAGUAUAAUAUGGUUUAUUCUCGUUAUAAAACUUCACAAUUAAUUAUGUUUAAUCUGUGACAGGUUUAAGAUGGGUGACUUGCAAGUUAUAGAUAUAUAUAUAUAUAUAUAUAAUAUAAUAUGUAGAAGCGAAUUACAUUAACGACAAUCCAGUUUUAAAAAAUAAAGAGAAAAAAUCACGAAAGUUAUAGAGUUAGUCUUCUUCAGCUAAUUGAUUAGCUGUCGCACAAAAAUGAAAUUCACAGGCCAUAUGUUUAAAUGUGGAGGCUUACCAACGAGUUAUAUAUUACAAUGCAAUUGUUGCAAAACUCAUGCGGGAGUUCAAAGAUAUUAGAUAUGUGAACUUGCACGAUAUAUCUUGACCAAAAUCGCCAGACCGGAGAUUUUUUUUUUAAGAAACUAGGAAGUUUUGCGUCCGAAGAUUUGUACAUCUUCUUAUGGUGAGGUCUAAAUUAUUUAAUUUUUUUUUUAGGAGAAUAGAAUUUCCGAUGAAAACCAAAUCUGCGACCCUUUAAACCUCUACUAGGUGAUCCAAGAGUUUUAACCAUUGGGUUAAUUUCUCAUUGGUUUAACUAGAGAUCAUCAUUUGCGUUAGAAUAAUGAUUUAACACGUAUCAUAAUAUUAUCAUCACAUUACUAUAAUAUAUCCUAUUAUAUCACUGUAUCACCACUUGUGAUAAUUAAAUUAGCAUGGUCAUCAUAUCAUCAUCAUCAUCCUUAUAAACUUUAGUUACCAAUAUUUACUAGCUCUUAGAAAGGAUAUUCGAUGACAUAAAACGUAAAGUUUAUGGCACAAGUUUUAUGCACAAAAAUACAAAUUGCAUGCUCUGGACUAUAUAUUAUAGUUCUUGUUAUAACUAGAAGUGAUUCACUUUUAUUCGAAAAUGCUUUUCGAAGUGUACGAAUAUAUGGAUGUUGAGUGUAUCUAGAUUUAGCAUCAAAUGCACGUAUAUACAAUUGAGUACUUAUAUAGUUAUUUAUAGAUUUUCAUUCAACUAAUCAACCAUUGCAGCAAAAAAGAAACACGUGCUAGGAUUAACACAUAUUGUGGCAAUGACUUUGGUUAAAAAACUUGGAGAAGCAAAAGAACAAUCAUUUUAAAUUGUUAUUUACAAGAAUGAAAUUUAAGAAAUAAUUUUUGCUUAACUUAUAGAAAGCAAAUACCAAAAAGAAAAUUUCUAUACCAAAAAACUUGAUAGAACGUUCCAUUGACUUUUUAAAUCCUCUUGAAUCAUUAUCACAUUCGGAUGAAUAAUAUUAUUUACAGGUAACAUUGACCUAGCUACACAAAAAAUAGUAUUAUUGAUUGUACAUAAGAUCUUCGAAAUCUGGCUUUGGAUAAUUUAUAGUCCGGUCAAUAGUUUGUAUUUUAGUUUCAGUUAUACACAGUUUAUUUCUAAAGUAUUUACAUAACAUAAAACUUUUUAAUUUGUGAAAGCUUUAAUCUCAAACGGAGGGUUCGGGUUUGAAUUCAGGUCGAUUUGAUUUAUAGGUUGAUUGUUUGUAGAUUCUAGAGUAGUUUUUAGUUUUUGUUUUUCCAAAAUCUAGUUUUCACCCAAUCAAGAUUUAAGUAAAGUAGAUUUCCUAUUUUUUAGGGAAACUAGAUUUUCAACUAUUUAACCAUUUUGUACAUAAAAACCAGAAUCCAUAUUUUAUGGGUUUUCCCAAGUGCUACAGCAGUUUUCAUCAUUUUGCAAUACAUUAAUUAUUUUAUACAUAAAAGAAUCACAUCUAAAAUAAAAGAAAACACAUCAACAAAUGGUUUACAAAUAAUAUUAUCUACAACUCAAACUUGAGAGUCUUUUUAGGUAAGUUAAAAUCUAUGAUAUAAUAACUAAUAUUUUGUAUCACGAAACCCAAAGAAAAGUUAAUUAAAUUUAUUAGUUGUAAAUAUUAUAUAUUUAUUACCUCUAAAUUUACUUUUUAUUUUAAAACCCAAGGAAAAGUUAAUUAAAUAUUUUUAUAAUAAAAUUUUAUACACUUCUAAAAAAUAUAUUUAAAAUCUGGUUUAGUUUAUUUUUAAAAAAGUAACUAUUUUCUGUGGUAAUAUUUAGUACUACUUAUAAUUGUAUAGUAAAUAAUAUGUUAUUAUUAAUAGUUUUAUUUUAUUAAUUUUUAAUUUUUUUCAGAAAAUAUUAAUUUUAUAAAAAAAUAUCUACUUUGUAAAAGCUACAUUUAUUCUAAAACACAUGAAUAAAAAUUAUAAAACAAUUUUUAGGUUGAUUUAUUUUAUAAUUAUUUAAAUAACAAUUUAUACUAUAAAUUUUACAUUAAGUUAAUUAAAUUUGUUAGUUAUAGUUAUUAUACAUUUAUUACAUAAUAUUUUUUUAUUUAAAAACUAAUAGUUUUUAUGUUAAAAUAUUUGAAUAACAUAAAUAUUUAUUUUUACCAUUUUUAAAAAUAUAACUAUUUUAAUUUUAUUUUACAAUGAUAAUGUUAUUUUUUUGUUUUAAAAUAUUUUUUUAAGAAAUUAUGUAUGCUUUGAUGAUAGUAUUUUUUUUUUCAAUAAUAGAUAUUUUACUAUUCAUAAUAUUUAAAAUUUAUUUUCUUUUAAAAGCAAAAAACAGAAACUAAAAACCAAAAUCAAAAACCACCAAUCAAGUUUUUCAAAAAACCAAAAUCUACUGCAAAAUCAAAAACUAAAAACUAAAAACCAAAAACUAAAAACCAAAAACCAAAAUCCAAAAACCAAAAUCUAAAAUCUAACAAAACAAUCAUCACCUUAGUUUUAGUUUUAAAUUGGUUAGGAUUUCUUUUGUUUAAUUUUUAAUUUAAACUGUGGGUUUUAACUAACUUGACGGGCAAUCGUCAAGAUUGAAAAUCCACGUGAUUGUGGAUAGUUUUUAUAUAUUUUGUAUAGUUGUCGACCGGAAAGUUUUAUGCGGUGGAGUUUCUUAAAGAAGAUUAUACAUGUCACCAAGAAUAUGAUCAACCAAGAAUUCUAUAAAACCUUUUAUUCAAAUUCAAUGUUUCUCUUUUGAAAGCUUUACGUCAUUAGCGACGUCAUCCUACAAAUAGAUUAUUAGCCCACGUGGUAUACUACUAAAACUAUAUUUUAAGUUCUUGUUAAUAAAUAUUUAAAUAUUUGCCUCUUUUUUAGUUAUAUAUUUUUGAGCCGAAAACAGAUUUACUUUUCUAUGCGUCUAAUCUUUUAUCCAAACAUUGACAAAUUCUGUGAGAAAUAUUAAAAACGUUAGAAAAAAAUGCAGAAGCUCUCUAGUAUGUCGACUCUUUCUAGAAUUCAUGUGUUUAUAAUAACAUUUUAAUAUCUUGAUUUCUAAAAUUCGUGUUCCAUGGAUAUUUUUAUCAUUAUUAAGCUGCAAGUAAUAUUCAGGAAUUUUAAAAUGAAAUAUCGUUUAAUAAUUUUUAUUUGAUUAUAUUUGUAUUCAUUAUGUUCACUGAAAAAGGUAUAUUUAGUCAUCAACCAAGCACUAUACCUAACGAUGAUCGUUUAUAAUCUCUAAAUCCGCUGGAUUUUUAGAUCACAAUUGAUGAAUGAAAAUAUUUAGGUGUAUAUUAUAAAUUAUAUAGAAACUUUUGCGUCUGCCAAAUGCAGCCGCAAACAGAUGUCAAUUCCCCAUUUCUUUAGAACAAAUAAUUUUAUUUCUAUAAGAUAACCAUCUUAUAUACACUAAUCCCAAUGACGACACGUGCCGUCUGUUGAUCAAAUUAAUAUUAGUCUCUUAAUAGUAUUGAGUUGUCUUUAUCGAUAUUUAGUCAUCUAAAAUAGUUUAAACUAUUACACAAAGCUUGCUACAAACUCAAAGUGACCCAUAGUUUCUCAUGUCGAUGCAAUAUAGCUUUUGUCCUACUGUCCGAAAAUGAAAAAAAUUAUAAAAUAUUCCACACGUUUCGUUAAUAAUUAAAUACGUUGCUUUCAUCAUCUCGAGCCGGUUUCUGAUUCUCCUCCACCACCAUUUACCCUCCUUUAAAACUCCAACCAUCAAUCUAAUUUUUUGUUAUUUCUCACAAAUCCUCUAAACGUCUCGUAUGAGCAAGAGAAAUCGAUCAAAACAAAACAAAAAGAUGAACAAGAACAAGAAGGAUGUGAAGAUCGAGACAGAGAAAAGCUCAAUGAUGGACGAGUGGCCUGAGCCAAUCGUCAGAGUCCAGUCCUUAGCCGAAAGCAACCUCUCCACUCUCCCCGACCGCUACAUCAAACCAGCCUCUCAACGCCCUACCAUGACCGAGGACGCUCCCGCAGCGACCAACAUACCAAUCAUAGACCUUGAAGGACUGUUCUCGGAAGAUGGGUCGUCGAAUGACGUCAUCAUGGCUAAGAUAUCGGAGGCUUGCCGUGAGUGGGGAUUCUUCCAGGUGGUGAACCACGGUGUGAGGCCGGAGCUGAUGGACGCCGCCAGAGAGAACUGGAGAGAGUUUUUCCACUUGCCGGUCAAUGCUAAAGAGACUUAUUCGAACUCACCAAGGACCUAUGAAGGCUAUGGAAGUAGGUUAGGAGUUGAGAAAGGAGCCAUUCUUGAUUGGAGUGAUUAUUAUUAUCUUCAUCAUCUUCCUCCUCGUUUGAAAGAUUUCAAUAAGUGGCCUUCUUCUCCCCCCACCAUUAGGUACUUAUUUAAUUAUUUUCUCCUUUGUGAUUAUCUUAGGACAUUUGCAAAGGUUUUCAAUUAUUAUUAUUAUUAUUAUUUACAAAAACUACAAUAUUUAAUUAAAAAUGUUUCGAAGUUUGAGAAAAUUCAUGCCAAUACUUCUCAAACGAAAGAUUUUAGUAUGAGUUUUUCAAGUUUUUGAAAAAAAAUUAUAUUCAAAUGUUAGUAUAUGGUUAAUUAUGAGAGACUUCAAUACAAGUGAUCUUAUAUCCUUCAUUUAUGUUUUUAUUUUACUCUUUUGGAAAGUUUUAAAUUAUUUAAGAAGAAGACCCAUUUACCGAAAAGUUAUUUCUUGUUUUCCUUUAUCCUUCUGAGAGGAGAAUUUAUGAAUUUUUAACGUUGGAAUCACAAAAAGCUGCUAAAAAGAAAAAGUACAAUCUUGGACUAGAUUCGUUAAUAUUUUUAAUGUUUUUUAUAGAGAAGUGAUCGAUGAAUAUGGCAAGGAAGUAGUACAAUUAUGCGAGAGGAUUAUGAGGGUAUUAUCGUCAAAUUUGGGACUCAAGGAGGAUAAGUUUCAAGAAGCGUUUGGAGGUAAAAACAUUGGAGCAUGUUUGAGGGUUAAUUACUACCCAAAAUGCCCUCGACCGGAGCUGGCUCUCGGUCUCUCUUCUCAUUCUGAUCCUGGAGGUAUGACCAUUCUUUUACCAGACGAUCAAGUCUUUGGUCUCCAGGUCCGCAAAGAUAAUACAUGGAUCACUGUCAAGCCUCAUCCCCAUGCUUUCAUUGUCAAUAUUGGUGAUCAAAUCCAGGUAAUAAAUCAAUUCUUUUUUUUUUAGAAUAUGCAUGGAUUUAUUUUUUUAAAAUGCAUAUAAAUUGACGUUUAUAAUAGUUUAAAUAAUUGGAAAACACUUCAAAUAUGUGUAGAUAAUUUUCCAUAUUGUUUACACAUGAAUAUAAAUUGAUGUUUGGUGUAAGAUAGAAAAGACAACAUUAAGAAUUUUCGAGACAACUAAUGACGAGUAUACCGGUCCUGAAAUGAAAAAGACCACAAGCAAUUUUAAAAAAAUUGGCCACUUUAAUAAAUUUUGUAGAUAGUUUUUUUAAAAAAAAACUGAUUUAUGCAAAUAUUUUUUGUGGACUGGAAGCGGGUGCUUGUAAUGCUUCUCUUCAGGGCCGCCUACAGUUGCACGUUUUAGACAUGUUUUAAAAUGCAAGUAUGAUAAACAGUAACUACUUGUGCUAAAUUGUCUUUCGAAUUUUCUGAAUAUUUGUAAUUAUUAUGUCAAUAUUCCGAUAACAGAUAUUACGUCCUUUUAGAUCUAUAUCCUGUCUGCCGGUUUUUAUGGACUGUUUCGUAUAAAAUGACACUUUCAGGAAAUAAAGUAAAUCAUGAAUUAUAUAUAUUUUUAAUUAUCAGUGGAUGUCCCUAUUUUAAUAUGAAACAAACAGUACAGCAAUAAUCUUUCAUUGCGCACAUGUGUUUGGCCGUUUGCCCAUGUUGCAGAGAAGGAAUAUUAAUUUGUACAAUGUAUAACACGAUUUUUCAAACACAAACAUCACACAUGUUCAUAUGCUCCAGAAAUUUUGUCAAAAUACCACUAUUUUUGAUGAAAGCAAAACUCAUGUUAGCUUUUCGUGGCUAGUGGGAAAGAAUAAUGUCCAUAUCAUGAUUUAAUUUCUUUCCAAACUUUGCUAUUUUUAAUUGGACGAAAACUGAAACCUAGUGUAGUGUACAGGACAAAAUUUUAUUUAAUUAAUAGGAAAAUUCCACAAAAAUCAUCAAAAGUCUUUUUUUUAAAAGAGUUGUAAUACCUUUUCAAAACAAUUUAAUACAUACUAGUAGUUUAUGGUAAUUAAUCUCAAUUUUUUUUUUGUAUAAACUGCUUGUUUUAUUUUUUGAUUUCCUAGUUAAGACUGCUCAUUAAAAUUUACGGAAUGGUUAUCCAAAUUCAAAUCUUUGAAAUAUUUAGAUAUAUUUUAAACUGGUAUUAAACUUAUAGUCAAACUUAUGUGUAUUGCGAUGAUGUUAAAAAUGCAGAUUCUAAGCAACUCAACAUACAAGAGUGUGGAGCAUAGAGUGAUAGUGAACUCAGAGAGAGAGAGAGUUUCACUUGCUUUCUUCUACAAUCCUAAAAGCGAUAUUCCUAUCCAACCAUUACAAGAACUUGUAUCCACUCAUAAUCCUCCUUUAUAUCCUCCAAUGACCUUUGAUCAAUAUAGACUCUUUAUCAGAACUCAAGGUCCACGAGGAAAAUCCCAUGUUGAAUCUCAUGUUUCUCCUCGUUAACUGUUUUCUCUUCACACAAAGAAGAUUUGAUGUUUUAAAAAUCUGACUUGUAUAUGUGUUUUUUUUUUUUUUUAGUUCUCACAGGAUCUGAUUUACCUUCAAGCAAAUAACCAUUGAAUGAUAUAAAUAAUUUGUUAUACAAUAACAUUUUCUUAUACUGCCUGCCUACGUUCUAAAUGUUAGAUAUCUAGACUAUUUUGCAACCAAAUUUCCACAUAAUAUAGUUUAACAAAAGCAACAAUUCAUACAAUAUAUAUAACAUCUAUCAAUAUCAUUUGCGCAUUGUUUAUUUCUAUAAUGUGUCGCCAUGUUUGAAAAACCUGGCUGAUAGUGAUCAAAGUACAACUAGCAUAUAAAGAGAAUAUAAAUGUAUAAUUGUUGAACUCUAACGUCACAUGAUCGAUUUCAUAUAAUAACCUUUAAAUAGUGCUUAAUCAAUUAGACUAACUAAACUAUUAAUUGGAUUGCAGAUAAACCUAUGCACACACACAUUCCACGAUUUUAUGAACACACAUCCUUUACAAACACCGCCUAACUAAACGACCGCAUAAACCGUUUUCACAACACUAUUGGUUUGUUUUCGUUUCCAGGACUUAUCUAUAUAUCAUGACAUAUGCUUUUAUCGCACAACACUAUAUAAAAUCUAUAAACUGUAAUCUAAUGAUACAGUAAUCAAAUUAAUUUUUAUAAUUGGCAUAAAAAUUAAAGGAUUAAAACAACAAAGCAUGGAUUGUUACUUAUAUCCCCUAUAUAUUAUUUGAGAAGCAUUACAACUUAUUUUGUAGCCACAUGUCAUCAUUAUAAUAAUUCUUAGAAUCAUUAGAAAAAUAUGCUGGUCCAUCUAAUUAUAUAAUAAGCUUUUUAUUAAACUAACAAUAAAUUCAUCAUUAAUGUACUUUAUUAUUUCCUUAAAUAAAUUUACGGAAUUUCCUAAUGUGGCUUAAAUAAAAUUUACGGAAUUUCCUAAUGUGGCUAAAGUAUAUACGGCAAUUAAUGAUUUUGAAUAAUAAAGAUUUGAUAAAAAAUAGUGUAUCUUCUAUCAUAUUUGUUUACUUUUAAACUAUCAAAUCAAUUAAACAACCACAAUAACCAUAUAAUAAAAAAUUAGAUUUUUAUGUAUAUGUUAUAUUUUGAAUUUUUACAAACAGCUAUAAAUUACUAAAACUGUUAAAAGUCUCACAUUCAAAUUUUAUGAUCCAUGGUUUAAAAUUUUUGUUAUGACAAAAUACAAAUGAUUACAAAAAUUAUAUAAGUAAAAAGUCUAAUUUAAUUAGUUAUUAACAUUAAUAUAUAUAUCGUUUUAAAUUAAACUAUAAACCAUAUAAAAUACAAUAUUUUAGUUUCAAAAUUUACUUUGAACAACUUUUUUGAUAAAAGUUUUGAACGAUCAUUGACAACUUAUUUUUUAAAAAAAUUAUAAAUUACUAAAACUAUUAAUCACACAAUGAAAAUUUUGUUAUCAGUAAUUUAAAUUUUUUUCUAUAAAAGAUACAAAUGAUCAAAAAAACUAUAUGAGUAGAAAUCAUCAUUUAAUAGACAUUAAUAUUAAAAAUAUACUAAAAUAUAUUAUCUAUGUUAGUAUCAUUUAAAUUUAAUAACAUAUCCUAUCAAAUAUAAAAAAAUAUUUUUUGGAUUAAUAAAAUUGAUUUAUAUGUUCGCACCAAAUUAAUUAUAUAUUUAAUAGUUACUGACUUUAAUUAUUUAAUAUAUAUUUAUUAUUUCAUAAUAUGUAAAAAUAUUUAAUACAUAAACUAAUUUAUAUAUAUAAUGUUGAUUCCGCGCAAGGCGCAGAUCUUAACUUAGUAUUAUAUAAAAGACUAAUUUUUUUAUCAUAUACAAAUGAGGGGGAUGAUCCUGCAAUCAUUUUCAGUAUUGUCAUCGAUGAGUCAUACAUUAUAUUUAUAUCCUACUAAUAGUCUGUCCUAAUUGUAAAAUCUAUGUAGAUUCGAUUUUACAUAGAGGAUUAGUGGUGAAUAAGAUUGUGCGGAUAAUAUUCUAAUAACAAAGCCACAUCUACUCAAUUGUACACCUCUCAUUCCCAUAUAUAUUUCUUUUCCGUGGAAUAAUCAUUAGAUUCAAUAUGUCAAACGUUUGAGCUCUAAACAGUAUAAUACCUCAAUCUAAAAAUAAGAAUCGUAUUUGUAUUAAAUGCGAAUUAUAUAAGCAUGUGCAUAUUCAAGUGGUGGUUGCCGACUUGGUCUAACAUACAUCUUAUUUAGAAAAGUAAAUACUAAACACAUAUAAUAGAAAAAGCAAGUUGCAUUUCGAUUCACACUAGGGCUCUUCAAUAUGGCAAAACCGAACCGUACCGAACCGAACCAAACUGAAAUAGAUAAUAUAGUUUGGAUUUGGUAUAUACCAUACAAACCGAAUGGAUAUGAUUUUUAAAAACCGUAGGAUUUGGAUAUGAUUCGGUAUAUAACCGAUAAAACCGAAUAAACCGAAUAAAACCGAUAAAAAAUUAGAAACAUGUAAAUAUGUAUAUAUUUUAUAACAACGUAUGAAAAUCAUAAGUUAAUUUUUUUGCUAAUAACUAUUACCAUAUUUUUUACAGUAAUAAAAUAGUCCUGAUUUGUAAAACACUUGAACUAUAAUUAAAUAACAAUUCAUCGCAAACAUGCUUCUUAUUUUCUUAGUCUUCUUUUGAUCUUUUUGCUUUAAUUUAGCAUUGACCAAAUUGAAAUAAAGAUUAUAAAUUUGAUGAUAACAAUUAGUGGAAAUUCUUCACAAUUUUUUUUUAUCUAUAAACGAAUAGAAUUUUGUGUUUAAUAGAAGAAACAUGACUUUGAUGAACGCUAAAUAUGAAAUAAUAUAAUAACUUAUUUUUUGUGCUUCGUGCUUCUGUUUUAUUUUUUAUUUUUAUUAUCAAAAUUUUGAGCUUUGAUUUUAAUUAUAGAUUUGAUUAUUUUAUUAGAUGAUAGAAACAUUUUUUAUUUUUGUUCUUUUAUUUAAACUUAUAAUAUUUUUUAAUAAAUGAAUGUGUUGACAACAAGACUCUAAAAUUCAUAUAAUAUGAUACCAAAAUAAAGAAUUAUGUUUUUUGGUAUAAAACCGAAUAAACCGAAAACCGACGGUAUAUAAACCGAACCGAACCGAAGUAAAUAUGGAUUUAGAAUGGUAGUUAUAUUUUACUAACCGAAAUACCGAAAAACCGAAAAAACCGAACCGAAACCGAACCGAUAUCCGGAUUGAACACCCCUAAUUCACACUAUCAACCGACGACGGUUGUAUAAUUUUAAUGAUGAUUUAACAUAACAAUCACAACAUCUCUCGACUAUAACCACUUGACUACUAACUACUAAGUCCAACCACUUGGUUACAAUGAGAUUAUGAGAAUGAUAGUAGGGUCACUACUCACUACAUGUACGAACUCAUAAGUCACUUACCAAAGAAAAUUAAUCUUAGGUUAAGAUUCAGUCUAAGGAUGUUCAUGUGGGUUUUCAACGCUUUAUGUAUUCUCGAAUAAAGUCUUGGACUUGAACUGGUAUCUUCUUUGGCGUUGAUCAGAAUACCUCAUAGGUACCUAUCAGGCUAUCACCAUACGAAACCAUGACUUUAAGAUUGUGUUUCUAAGAUGUAAACAUGUCUUGUGUGUAUGUGUGUGAGAGAGAGAGAGAGAGAGCGAAAGAGUUUGAAAAUACUCAGAUGCUGCACGACAGUUUGGGAGGAACCCCAACGCGUCCACUACAAAACACAAUGUAUUUCAAAGAAAAUACAAUGGGCCUAAAGCCCAGCCCAUUGAGUAUAGACGACAUGGCUAGAAAGAAGUUGAGAACGUCCGCGUCGUCGUUUUAGGGUUCAGAUUAGAUUUUCUAUUAUUUUUUAAAACGACUCGCAAUUUUUUACAAAAGGAAUUAAACGGGGCCGACAAUAUCAGCCUAUUAAUUUGUGUUGAAAAAAAAGUUGAGGAACUAUCACGAUGUCGUUUCAAUAGUUAACACCUUCACUGCUUCUACUGGUUCGCUCCACUCUCUCCUUCCCGCUCUUCAUCAACUCCGGCGAACCAACAUAGAUUCAGUGAAGCACGCUCUUCCUCAACUCCGGCGAACCAACAUAGAUUCAGUGAAGCAUGAGAUACAUAAAUGUAUAUACAGAAGCCAAGGCUUUAUUAAGUGAUGGGGAAGCAGAAAAAAAGAAGAAGUUAAUCCUGAGAAAUGCUGUUAUUCUAUAACUAGAAAGUCUUAUGGUCCCUUCAUCUUAAAGUAGAAGAUAAGCCACAAUCACGGCGCUUCACGAUGAUUGGAUACCGUUUCUGUGUUCUAGUUGUUGGAAAGAAGACCAGCUGGUCUUGCUCUGCAGGAACCCAACUGCUCAAAAAUUAACAAAACAAAAUAAAUCAAAUCAGUGUUUAAGCCCUUCUGAAAAUGAUCAAGAGGGAUAGAAUCGUGCAUAUGAAGGUAUGUAAACCUGAAGCCAGUCACUAGGCGGUGAAGGAAGACAGAGAGUGCAACCCUAGCUAGCUCGUAGCCCGGACAUAUCCUUGGUCCACCACCGAACGGUGCAAAUACAUUAGAAGGACUUCUUGUUACCGAGUUGCUCUGUUCAUUAAAAAUGCAUCAUUGAAUAACUCAAAUUCAAGGAUGCAACUUAUAAACCAAGUUCAAGAACGCUAAUGGUUCAAAAUCCUAAACCUGCCAUCUCCAAGGGUUGAAAGUGCGAGCGUCUUUGAAGUGGUUUGGGUCUAAAUGAACUGCUCUAAACGAUGAGAAAACCUUCCACCCUUUCGGAAUCUUAUGACCUGUUUUAUACGGUUUUAAAAUGUAAAAAAACUAUUCGCAUUUUUGAUACAGAAAUAUCAUUUUAACACCUAUAAUCUCUGACCUUUGAUCUCCACAUCCGUCAUUGCACGUCUGAAUACACCACCGAUGAUGUUAGCUAUCCGCAGAGUCUCAUUAACCACCUGAAUCAAAAAUAGACUUGUUGUGAGACAUUACUAGAAAGGCUAAGACAAGAAGAGUAAUAUAAUAGCUUUCAGUAAGUAUACUUACACAUUGUGUGAACGGCAUUGAUUUGUAAUCGCUCCAUUCAAGACACUCUGAAUCACUCUUCAUUGCCCUAAUCUUUUCAUGCUCUUCCUGUCUCAAAUUAAAAAAAAAAUACAAAUCAAAGAAUAAUCAAAUAAAAAAGAUUUAAAACAAAAGUAUAAUUAGGUCACAAGGCCACUAGUUUUGACCUGCUUCUUUGGCAAAGUUUUGGUUCUAUUCGUGACUAAGCGACGAUGCCACUAAAUCUAGUGACUAUUAAAGCCAUGUUUACAAACAAAACUAAUGACGUCAACAAACACGUAAAAUGGGAUGAGAGCUUGUCGGUCGCAACUCGCAACACAAACAUAUUUAUGAUAAUAAUACUUUUAUCUUUAGUGUAAAUGUAUUAUUUAGUGGGGAAUAUUCGAACAAAGUAAGAUAAAAGAAGAUGUAAUAAUGCAUGCAGUUGAGGAGACAAACUGGUCAAAUCUGUGAAACUGUGACUCCUUAUUUCAACAGCAUUUAACAUUUCUAAAUCACGAACACAUGUAAUGAUGAUGUCUAGGGUUCGAGAAAGACUUGUUUGACUUUUAUAUGGUAACUCGUACCUUUUGCAUGUUGUUUUUCUUAACACUUUUCACCUUCAAACCCCACUUAUUAAUAUGCUUAAUUUAGAAAUGUGAAAUUGAUCGAUGAAAAUAGAUACUACUAGCCUGUAAUACAUUAUUUAUAUGAAUAUAUAACAAUGAAUAUAUUUUGGCUAAGAAUUUGUGUGUUUAAUAAAUUAUUUUUGCUUUUAUCAAUCAUAUAGACAACCAAAAUGGAUUUAAACCAGUCCAAAUAUAUAUGGUCACAUAUAUAUAUCAUCAAUAAUUUUAACAAAAAAAAAUAUCAUCAAAAAAAAAAAAUCAUCAGUAACUCUAUUCUAAGUUUGAAUUUCGCUACAAGUUUGUUUUUUGUAUUAUCAGAAAAACACAAACACAUGUAUACGAACAUUGAAAAAAAUACCUUGAGUUGAGCAAGAGCUAGAGGAGUUUCGGUGACAAAUUUAACGGCGAGAGUCAUGAUCGUAGAGGUUGUUUCAUAACCGGCGACGAGUAUAGCCACCAAGAAAUCAACAAUCUCUUCAUCGGAAAAUCUUUCAUCCGCCGCAAGCAACGCCGCGAGCAUAUCUUUCUUUCUUUCGGCUCCUUCUACCUCCUCCUCUCUCCUCUUCAUCACCACCACCGUCAACUCUUCUGCCACCUUCCUCCGCGCCUUAUAAAUACAAAUAUACAUUGAUUAGAAAAUAGCCUAAAAUGAUUAAACAAAAAAUAAGAGCAAAUAAAUUAAUUUAAUAAAAAAUACUUUGAUGGCUUUGCGGUAAGUGGUGGAGAAGAGAGGGAUAGGUAGAGAAAAGAAUCCUUCGAUGACAAGAAUAUACUCUUUCCUUAAUCUUUCACUCCAUUCCCCUGGAUCAAAGCUCAUCAGCUGCUUCACCGUUAGCUCAAACGUUAUCUGCAUCAUCAUCAUCAUCAUAACACAUAUAUCAUCUAUAACAUGCAUGCGGUGACUCGUCGUGACUAACUGAGCCAAGAGCUCAGUCCGGUUACUCAAUUAAAAAAAUGUGAUAAAAACGGCGUCUAAGUGGCAAAUCAAUCAUAAACAAAACAAGUUUUCUAAACAUUUUUGAUCACCGUAUGUUUUUUCUAUAAAACUCCUAGUUAUUGUUUAAUCUUUUAUAAAACGUCUAAUUACUGUUUAACAAUUUAUUUCCUUGAUUUUUCUUUUGUUCUGAAAUAAAAAUUAAUGGGUUUAAUUAAUUUCGUGAUAUUUGAUACCUUUUUGGCUUCUUCCAUGAGGAGAACACGAGAGGACCAAGAAUCAAGAUUAAACCGGACUAACCGGUCAAUAUCUAGCAUAAGAUGGUCUUUGAUGAUUGAAGAGUUAGCGAAGCUCAUGGUAAGAGAAUGCAUACGUUUAUGCAAAGAACCUUUCAUAAGAACCAAAGAGUGUUUCCCCAAAAGGUUACAUAUGGAAGCUGGAUAAGAUCCCUCGAAAAGCUUCCCUUCGUUCUGAAGAACGAACCGGUUCAUUUCCGCAUCGGCAGAGAAAAUCGUCGGUUCACCGAAUAGAUGCGUCAUGAAAACCGAACCGUACCGGGCCACUCUCUCGUCGAUGAAAGGCUCAGGGUUUUCAGUCUUGUAAGCUUUGAUCAGCUGCAGAGUCUCGCCUAUCAGAGGAUAGCCGAGACUUCCCGGAGGAAGACCCAUCCGCCUGUAACGGAUGCGGCGAAUGAAAAGGAGGAAAGCGGCAGCGACGGAGGAGAGGAGGAGGAUGAAGGAGAAUGCCAUUGAUGAUGAUGAUGAUGAUGAUGAUGAUGGUUGAGAGGAUUGGUGAUAAAGAGAAAGAGAGAGAGAGAGAGAAAAUUAAUGGAGAGGGAAGAGUGGGCACACGGGGGGGGGGUUCUGCACCGAGUAGGACCUUUCAUCAUUAUACUCUUUUGCAUUUUUCUUAUUAUUCUUCAUAAUUAUUAUUGUUUUCAAAAAAUUAUAGCAUUUAAUAUUCCAUAAAUUUAUGAACAGUUGAAUAAGAAAUAAUAAUCAUUUUAUGGUUAUAUCAUUCUAAAUUUGCUUAAUGUUUUAAACAAAAUCAUUAAGAAUCGGUAACUUAAGGCAUAGUCUUGGAGUUUAAUUUGUUUCUAUUUUUGUCAAAUAACUUAAAGCAUAUUCGGUAAGUGAGAAUUUGACUGUAUUUAGUUAAUUUGGAUCUUGUCUUAAAUAUUAGACAUUAUUAGAUUUUUCAUCAUAUAUCAUUAGCUUUUAUGAAAAUAUAAUACAUGCAUUAUUUUUUGUUAUUAAAUGGUAUGUUAUCACAAAUACAUAGAAAAUAGAGCUACAAUAUCAUAAAAUUAUUAUUCUAAUAUCUAUAAAUGAUAAUAUAUAUAUACAUUAGAAAUAUGGAGGAAAUAAUAAACCAGAGUAGGAAAUUCGGUUCUAUUUUUCAACUUAUUACAUUGUUGAAAAGAUUGAUCCUUUGGAACCUAACAUGAAAUAAAAUGUAUACAAUAUCAUAAUACUGUCUUUUUUGAUCAAAUAUCAUAAUACUGUCUAUCAAAAAAUUACACGUGAAAACAGAACAGUCGAAACAUGGUUAUGGAAAAAUUUGUUAGUAGAUGAGUUUUGGAAGGUUGAAAUCAGGUUUUGGGUUUAAGAUAAUUAACCAUGUUUCACGUAAAUAAAUGUAGGCUAGUUGUGGAAAAAUUUGUUACUAUAUAUCAAAACAUUACACGUGAAAACAAAACAGUCGAAACCGAGGUUGAAAUCAUCUUUAAAAGCAGUACGUAUAAUGUAUAAUAUAAUUAAAUUUAAGAGAAACAUUUAUCAACUAGCCUACAUUCCGAAGAAACAACAGUCCAAACCAAUACCUGAGAGAUUAAAAAACCUGAGGGAGACAAUUUAUUUAUUUAUUUUUUUUUUUUUGUCAUAAAAUAGUGCAUAUAUUGUAUCGCAGGCAAACGCUUAAAAAAACAAAACCAAAAUAACAACUAGAGAGCCAGUAGGCCUCUUAAAUAAAACCCAAACAGUUGGAAAAAGGGAAAUUAAUAGAAAGCACUCCCAAUAAAAAGAUAAUACUCCAGGAAUGCAUCAGGAAAAAUUGAGUCAGACGAGGCCAACUGCUUCCUCAGCUAAAAGCGGAGCCAGCCAUUGAGGACCAUUGCUUGCUAGAUAUGAUUGCUGAAACCAAAUAUUCGUAGCACUAGUCGCGAUAGCUGUAGCGGCAAAGUUACAAGUAUCUGGAACCGAAGAUAAAGUACUAUUAGCUGUAGAGAAGAUAUUCCUGAGAACAUCAUGACAGGCUUGAUAUGAAAUGCCAGAUACCAAUGGGUUACCAAGCGCCUGUUCUGCUUGAGGGGAAGAGAAUUCAAAUAUAAUCUUCUUCAGUCUCAAAUCCCUUGCAGCUGAUGCGGCCCAAGAAAUGACCAAAAGAUCUGCUUGAAGCUUGGAUCGAAUACCACUGAAGGCUCGACGGCUGUGCCAUAGAGUUUUACCAGCGGAAUCUCGAAUUAUCCAUCCUCCCCCAGCCGUAAGUGACGUAGGUGACCAAGCAGAACCAAUAUUGCAUUUUAAAAAACCGCGAGGAGGUUUACACCAUUGUGUAGGAAUCUCUGAAGCCACAGACAUAGAAGGAGAGGUUCCUGGUAUAUGACCAUGAAGAUUUAACCAGACAAGCGCUUCAUCCAUAGCUUUAGAAAGGACUUCUGUGGGUAGUGGUCUCACCUGUUCAAAACAGAAUUUGUUUCUCGCUUUCCAAAUUUGCCAGAGAAUCCAGGGGAAAGCUAACCGAAUCGAUGGCCCAAUGUUCUGUUUAUGACUGCAUGAGAGAAGAUAAUGGAUGUUCAGGAAAACAGAGUUACUAAACCAACCCGCAGGAGGUAGGGGAAAAUUCGAUGCGUUCCAGACAGCUUUUGCAUUCUCACAAUGAAAAAGCAUAUGACAAUUAGUCUCAGGCCCCCGAAGGCACGCCGAGCAUGUUGCAUCGAUGUGAAUCCCUCUAGUGCGAAGUUGAUCUUUUACCGCAAGAGCUCCAGACACCACGCGCCAGAGAAAGUGUCGCAGUUUGGGAGGAGUUUUUGCUUUCCAUAUUUUUGACCAUAACUGUUUUUCCAAAGGGGGAAGAGCGUUAGAGGUAUCAGUUUGAAGGAGAGCCAGCUUCUCACUGAGUUUGUAACCACUCUUCGUAUCAUAAUGACCAUUAGGAGAACAACCCCAAAUAACUGUAUCAGAUCUUGAUAGAUUCAACCUCGAGCGCAAGACUAAGUCAAUAUCUUCUGGUACAAUGAGUUGAUGAAUAAGCCCAAUAUUCCAGGAGUUUGUGUUCAUAUCAAACAGAUCAUUGACCGUAAGUGUAAGAUCAACAACUGCAUCCAUCCGAUAACGUGGAGGUCUAGGAACAUGCUCCAGUAACCAGUUGUCCAUCCACACUUUCGUAUCUCUUCCAUCCCCUAGCUUUAUGGCCAGACCUUCCUUCAAUAAUUCUCGACCGUGCAUGAUACUACGCCACGCAUACGACGGCCGCGUUCCCAUACUUGAGGAUAAGAACUCUGAUCUUCUGAAAUAACGAUGCUUCAAUAUACGAGCUAAGAGAGAGUCAGGGAACCUCCACAAGCGCCAUGCUUGUUUAGCAAGUAAUGAGUUUUGGGUUUACCAUCACGAGAACAUGAUUAAUGGGAAGUUUUUAGGUGGGGUUCUUAACGGAAUAUAAAAACCUGUCUUUUAAUUUUUAAUUUAAAAAACUAAAAAUCGGCUCUUUAAUAAUAUAUUUAAGAACCGGCUUUUAGCUUUUUUAGUUAAAAAUUAAGAGACGAAUUUUUAUAUUCCGUUAAAAACUCCACCCUAAGAACUCUCAUUAAUCAUCUUCUGAGUUAUUACUUCCAAAAUCAAACAUGAUUAUGGAAAAAAUAGAUAAUAGUUUUUCAACAAAAAACAUAUUCAUAAAACAUAAUCAUUCCACGAAACUAAGAAAGGUUCAUUAAAGAAGAGUAGCUUGUGCCUUGUUGGUCCACAAUUUGCCUAUAAACACCUCAUAUGUCUCUCUCUUUCUCUCACCCGAAGUUCCCAUUUCAUGAGUUUCCCAUCAUCUUUUUUUUUAAAGAUAUAUUUAUGUUGUCUAAUAAAGUUUGGCCUCUUCAUAAUUUAUUAGUGAUGAUACUAAUUAUGUUCAGAACUUCAUGAUGAUUUUUGAUGUACUUACAUCUGACUUUUACGCGUUACACUUUUAGUGACAUGAUAUAGAAAUGUGGGUUGAUGUAUACAUUAAAAUUGAAAGAUUAAAAGAUGUUUUGGGGACCAAAUCUUCAUCAAUUUGGUUGGAUUUGGGGUUUUCUUUAAUUAUUACCCCUUAAUUUGCAUAGUAUCAAGUAUUCCGUUCUAGCUUUCACUUUUCAUUUUGUUUAUCACUGUCACAUGUUAUCCUUUCUCAUCCACUAAGAAACUAAUGGAGUAGUUUAUAUACUCAAAACAAAAAUAGCUGUAUUAGUUUAUACACCAAAGGAGAAGAGGAAAAUGGGUCAAACGGAAAAAGACCAAAGAGAAGAAUAAAAGCAAAGUAGGAGCUAUGUGAGUAGUGAUUAGCAACGCUUGCCUCUCUUAGUUCUAAGUUUAAAUUGCAAUUAAUCUUCUCUUUGUUAUAUGCUUAUAAUCUCAGUGUGAGUCCCCACUUAAGAUCGCAUCUUCAAUCAUUUACAACACAUGCAUUUCGUAUAAAGUUAUGAAGUGAACAUAAUAAUUAGCACUACAAAUACGACACUAAGGCCUAAGUAAGACCUAUAAAGAAAAAUCACAUCAAUGUCAUAUAAAAGGCGAAUUGGUCUAAUUCUAAUGAUUCAAUAUAGUCCUUACAUUUCGAUUGGUGAGUAAAGUUUUUGUUUCAAAAUAAAUGUCAUUUUUAAAUUUUAAUUAAAAAAGUUAUUAAUAAUAUUCUACGGUUUAUUUUUUAUUAGUUGAAAUAUGGUUAUGUCCAUAAGUAAUGAUGUUUUUAUUUUAGAAAUAUGUAAAAUUAAUUUUAUUUUAAUUUGUGUGUAUAAACCUAAAACGAUAAUUAAAAUGAAACGGAAGGAAUAUAUGUUUUUGCUGACCCUUUUUUUUAACACCAAAUGCUUAUAUUAAAAUUAAAAACCGAAGAGCUUGAGUUCGUUACAAAUGGAGAGAUCCUCGACGGUAAACUGAUAAACGAAAAUAACUAAAACAUAACAUGACGUUGAAGAACCCAGCAAGUGGGUUUUGAGAGCGAGAAAUCCGUGAACCUCUCUAUAAGCUAGCAGCUCCAGUGAGAGAGUCGCAUAGACAAAUCUGUGAAGAACCGUCGAUGCUUAAGACGGCGUAGUGUGUUGGAGUCGCAGCAGUGACAUAGUAGCGAGAAGGUCUGGCGAUUCCACACUCUUGCACAAUAGUUUUUGCUGACCCUAAACCACAUUCUUAUGUUUACUUCACUCCUCAACGGAGCAAACACUAAAAGUGGAAUUUCUAAAAGCAGAAAUAGUUCUCCCCGAUUGUUUUUUUUCUAAUAAUUAUAAUAUUGAAAAGAUAGUGUCUUUUAAAUCAGUGUUCUCUUUUCAGUUGUUCCUCGAGUAUUUGCAGUAUUUCUUUUAUUCUUCUUUAGCUAGCACACUCAAAUUCUCCAAAUUUUUCCUCCAUGUAGAUAGAGGUGAAGACCGUGAAGUCACCCUUAGAAUACAUUAAUAUCCACUCCACGAGACAGCCUUUUAAGUAUUCAUGUUGGACACUAAAAUUGAUGAUGAUAAGACAUCCAAAUGCAUGUCAUUUCUUGUAAAGGAUACAGGAGUUACAAAAAUUGUUUCUAUUUGGUUAUACUGCUUGACUAGUGUACCGUGAUAAUUAUAUCAAACGUUGAGAAGAAAUGUUUACGAUCAAAUGACCCAUACUGCGAUACAAAGAUGAAACAUUACUUUCACAAAAAUAUUAUCAGUAACAUGUGAUGAAAGCAGAGUCAUCAUAACCCAAAAUGUGCCCCCUAUUCUAUUAUUAUUAGUAUCACUAUUUUAAUCUUCAAGAUUUGACACGUCUUCAUUCCGAUUAGUUGUUAUGAUUAUCAUGUGUAUCAAAUUUAAUAUAAUACUAGAUCUCGACCGUGCGGGUGAUUAUUUUCAUUUCUACACAUAGUUAUUUAUUUUACAUGGUUAUCUAUAAUAUUUAACAUAUUACAAAUUGUUUAAUAUAACAUUUUAAACACACAACAAUUUUAUAGUUCACAUGCAGUAACUUAAUUUAUAUGUUUUGAAUUUUCAAUGAUAGCAUAUACUAAAUCAUGUGAUAUAAAAUUCUAAAUUGAAAAAUCUUAUUGAUUAAGGAUCAAAAAUUUAAUUGAAAAUUAUUAUAUUAAAUUAGUAUCGUAAAUUUAGCAAAAUAUUGUAUAUGAGAUUAGUUAUAAUUACAAAAUUAAUUAGAUAUUUUAUAUUUUGUUUUAGUUAAAAUGAAAUAUAUAUUUAAUUUUCAAAUAAACACGAAAUUAACUAAAAAAUAAAUUAUUGUUUGUGAAAAAGGAAAUAUACAUUUAUUUUAAACAAAUACGAAAUUGAUUAAAUAUUUAAAAGCUUUAUUUUAAUGAAAAAUGAAAUAUGUUUUAUAUUGUAAAAAAGAUAUGAAAAGAUUUUUAUCAAUUAAAAGAAAAUAUAGGAAUAUUUAUUUGAUUUGUUUGUUAUAAAAUAUUCAAAUAACUAAAAUAUUUAUAUAAAAAAUAAUUUAAACAACUUUUAAGGGUGGUCCAAAUUAAAAAAAAUCACAUAUAAAUUAAGUCAUCGACUUUUGUUUUAAUAGUAUAGAUAAAUACUCCCUUGUUAAUGGGUAAAGAGAUAAAAUUAUAACAAUAUAAUGUUGUCGCAUUAACCUGUGUCCUUGGAUAGCUAUAAGAGCAACGACGCUUUACUAUACUAUUAUAUGCUUGCAAUCUUGUAUGUUUGAGGCUUAGGCCAAUGCAUCUCAUUUGAGAAUUGGUACCAUAUGAUUCAUUUUUUUCAUUAUUAUUGGCGAUGUAAGUAACUGAGAUGGCAAGAAUAUUGGAUUUUUCAACAUCUUAAUUUUAGGAAUUCGGUUUAAAAAAAAAAAAAAAAAAAAAAAAUUAGGAAUUCGGUAUGGAACAUUCCAGUUGUAUAUUAAAAAAACUAAAGCUACCACAUCGGUAUGGUAUUAAGAAGAUUAGGAUUCAAACUGAUAAUAGAUGAGUGGGAUGAAGAUCUGUGAUUUGACAAAUCACGAGACACACGACAUACGAUAUCUUAAAAAUCCACGUGUGAAGUGAGUUUUCAGCUUCUGUCCAAAAAAUGCAGAUGCCUCUCUAAUCUCUAUUCCCUCUUCUUUGGCCUUAUCGUUUUGAAAAUUUACUUAUCACUCUCAUUAUUCGUACUUGCCUGUGACCCGUACACAUAAUCCCAUUAUCACAUCUCUUACAUUUUUCGUACUUAACCUAAAUACCCCGAUACUUCAUCCGUUCAGAAGAUUACAUAUUCUAUAAAAAAAAUUGUUUCAAAAAAUUCUAUUUUUUUUUACAUUUUCAAUGCAUGUUUUAUUAAGUAAAUGCAAAUUUCAAAAAAAAUUAAUUGCACUUGUUGGAUUUUUAUUGAUUUAAAAUUAUAGAAAAAAAUCACAACAAUUAUGUAAAUUUAAUGUGUUUUAUUAAAAUAUAUGAAAAUCUAAAAUAUAUAACAUUUUGAAACGGAUGGAGUAUAUACUAUUCACAAAACAAACUUAUCUCUCUUUUCCAUUUAUUUCUUACAUUUUUUUUCUUAAUACCAAUGAGUGAAAAAAGUUUUAGAACCCUUUUGAAAAUAUCAAUAAUUAAUUAAAUAGAUUGGUAAUAAGUAUAGUAUUUUUUUUAGAUUCACCCUUAAAAUAAUAACUAAUAAAAUUUGCCAGCUCAUAUUAUGUUUUUGAAAAAAAAAAAAUAGUAGUAAUUCUCAAAAAAAAAAAAAUUAACGUUGUUAAAACCGUCAGCAAAACCCUAAACCCUAAAUCAUAUAUAUUAAAUCCUGACAAAUCCAUAUGUGCCAAAUCAGCAUAAGUUAGAGCAACCCCAUUGAGGGUUUUAAACAGGUUCAUGGGCUCAGGUUUUAAGGCCUUUUGGAUAAAAAUAAAUGAGAAAUUGGGUUUAAUUUGGCGAACCGCCUCUUACCUGUGAUCCCGUCCGAUACGGGUUCAGCACAGGUGUCGCAUUCUGAUUGGUGAAGGGGAGUAGAGGUCACGCGCUUGAACGCAGAGAGAGAAUCAUUUCUCUCAUUUUUGCGAGAAAGCUAGGGUUUGCUCUGUGUGGCGAUUUCAUUUGCGACGCCGAGCUCUCACCCAUUUUCUCCCCUUUUCUCGAUCGAUUCGGCGCCGGAUUGUCUCCUCCACGACCAGAGGUGAGUUCCGAGUCGAUUGACGUUUAGAUAUUAGCCUUCUGUUGUCGAUAUCGCCAUUGUGAAUUGUCAAAAGAUUUUAUGAUCUCGGGUUAGGGUUCGAAAUCGAGAUGUGUUUGGAUCUAGGGUUGUAUAACCUCGUCUACGGGUUCUAUUUAUCGAUUAAUGGUCCGAGAUUUGCGGAUUGAAAAUCGAAUAGGGGUUUUCGAAUUAGGGUUAAAAAAAAAUUUGGGGGUUUCGAUUUGUGGUUUGAUAUAUUAAACAGGGUUGGAUAGACGGUUGGUAUGAUCGUAUUUUACAGUUUUUUUGUGCUAAUUAAUUCUUGUUUUGUGCUUUAGAUGGAUCCCGCAGAUGAGAGAACAGAUUGUAAGAGGAAACUGGAGCACAUAAACCUCCUGAGAUACGUUUCCGAUUCGGAACAUGGGAUGCCCAAAAGAUGCGCUUGUGGUGGGAGAAUGAUACACGAGGUUCGAGUGAAGGAUGAAUUCGACACUCAGCCAGGGAAACGCUUCUUUAGCUGUGUAAACUACGAGGUUAGAUACAAACCCUGUUACCCAGUUGAAUUAUUAGAUACAAACCUGUGCUUUAGUUCAAUAUUUGGAAUGUGUUGUCUGAUGUGUUUAUUGUUUAACCAAGGCUGAUGGGUUACAUUAUCGUCAGCCUUGGGUUUGUGGUGUGCAGGAGGAGAUCGAAAUGCUGCGUAAGCGUGUGGAGGAGGCUGAUGAGGUGAUCAAGUCGGUGCCAAUGCUGGUUGAGAGUGUCGCGGUUUGUCACUUUGUCUAAGAGUUGAUUUUUUUUUUUAAUUUAGGUUUUUAAAAAGUCAUUUACAACGUUUCUUUUUUUCUUGUGCAGGCACAAGUUAAAAGGCUGAGUUUGCUGCUUGAUAAGCUCACUGGUGACGUGUAUAACCUCACAGUGCAGGUGGCUGCUCUGGAGAGGGUGUGUUUCGAGUGAAAUCCAAACAGGUAAACACAGAAACUAAACCGAAGUAGUUCUUUCCGUGUACUGAUAGGUGUGUUGGUUGCUGUAGUUGAACUGAAACUUAACUAGGAACUCAUCUAGGUUCAUUUAAUAUGUAGAGUAGUAUCUGUACUAGAUUAUAACUAUGAACUCACCUAGGUUAAUUUAAAUGGGUGUUGGUUGGUUGCUGUGAUGAAUGGUCAUUAAAAAUAUUGAUUUGAUGUGUAAUGAAUACAUUUUGUGAACUACUUCAUUUGUAAUUAAGGCUAAUGAAUGUUUGGUAGUUAGAGACACAAAGGAAGUAAAUCCUUUUUAUAGAUACUGAAAACAACCACUGUAAACACAAACCAACUUUUACAAAUCACUCUAACUCACCACGCUCUUGUGAAAACACCCAAAAACCUGAAACCACAAUGGAUCACUUUUCUCUUAAUUCUGUCGGGUUUGUGAACCUAUUAUCUUCCCAGUGCACUCAAACCACUCAAAACACUCAAAACACUCAAAACACUCAAAACACUCAAACCACUCAAACCACUCAAAACACUCAAACCACUCAAACCAUAGAUGUAGGAUCCUCAGGUGUUCCCAAACCCGUAGAGAGGAGAAAGUGGACAACACAAGAGGACAUUGUCCUCAUCAGUGCCUGGUUGAACACCAGCAAUGAUCCCAUAGUUAGUAACCAGCAGAAGUUAGGUUCGUUUUGGAAAAGAAUAGAGGAUUAUUUUAAUUCAAGCUCUCAGCUCACUGGCGCUGUUCCUAGAGAGUGGAGUCAGUGUAAGCAGAGGUGGGGAAGGAUUAAUGAGCAGGUUUGUAAGUUUGUGGGAAGCUAUGAGGCGGCUUUGAAGGAGCAAGAUAGUGGCCAAAAUGAGAACGAUGUCAUGAAGUCUGCUCAUGACAUCUUCUUCAACGACUACGGGACGAAGUUCAAUCUUGAACACGGCUGGAGGGAGUUGAGGUUUGAUCAAAAGUGGAGAUCCAACUCUGUCUCAAAAGAUGGUGCAAAGGAGAAACAGAAGGAAGCUGCAGAGUCAGUCCCUGACUCGGAUGAGGCUAGGCCUCCUGGUGUUAAGGCUUGCAAAGCAGCCAAACGCAAGAAAAAGGGGAAUGAAGCAGCCUUUGAUCGACUAGAAACCAUUCUAGACUUGAAACGCAACCUAGCCAAACAAAAAAUUCUAGAUCGUCUCCUCUCUAAGAAACAUGAAACUCUAACUGAUAGUGAGGUGGCUCUUAAAGAGAAACUCGUUUCUGAGAUGCUCUAGAUGAUAAUUUGACAACUGCUUGUGCUUAGUUGAGGAUUUUCUUAGUUCAUUAGUUGAUUCUUUUGUUCAUUAUAACUUUGUUCAUUACAUGAUGAUUUUGUUGAUUACUUGACUUUAACUUAUAUUCUUCUGUCUCGUUUUACAGGUGAAGGUUGUUGGUUGUGGAGGUCAUGGGUUCUACAAGGUUUGUUGGUUCUACAGGUCACGGGUUGUUGGUUGUGGAGGUCACGGGUUCUACAAGGUUUAGUCUGAGGUUGAUGGGUCAUCUCACGGGUUGUACUACUGAGAAAACAUGUGCUCAGGUCACGGGAGAAACUCGUUUUUUUUUUUUAAUGAUGUAGUUGUCGCGGAUGAUGUCGAGAAAGACACUAUAUAAUCUAUCUCUCAUUUUAUGCAUUGCUCUCAUCUUCAUCUCGAUCUAUUCUCUCAAAACAAUCAGAACAAAACCAUAUUUUCAAUCUCUUCUCUGUAAUUAAUCACACAACAACACUGAAGCACACAUAAGCCCACAUCUCGAAUUUGGUAAUUCAUUUCAGACAGCAUCUGUUCUCUAGUAAGCACACUCACACACUUUGCUUAAUUUCAGACAGCCACAGUCGUCUAACUUUUUUUUUCCACUCUCUUUGUUUCUAAAUUAAUCAGACUAUAAUAUAUAUGGGAAUUGUAUCUCCAUUUGAAAAUACCACAUUUUUUCUUAAACCACAUUUAUUGUUCUAUCUCCAUUUGAUUUAUUUAAAAAAAAACAAUUCAUCUAUCUCCAUUUUUUCUUAAACCCCAUUCAUAUAUUGUUCUAUCUCCAUUUUUUCUUAAUCCAUUUUAUAUUUUCUUAUCGAACUUUUCUUUUUUAUCUUAAAAUCAAAUGUAGCCAAAUAAUGUCGUCCUCAUCAUCCGAUGGAGUAGAUGAAGCUUUUGAAGAAUAUUUUGACGAAGAAUUUGAUAAUAUCCUCAACUCCCUACUUGAUGAACAAGCCACCAACCCAAAGAAACGGAAUUAUAUCGAAAGAGAUCGGGAACAAGGCCACAUUCAACUAUGGAACGACUAUUUUGACGAAAAUCCUACUUACACAACGGACAUGUUUAGGCGGCGUUUUAGAAUGAACAAACCAUUGUUCCUUCGCAUUGUCGAGCGGCUAACUACAGGUGUUCCGUACUUUCAGCACCGAGUAAAUGCUCACAGAAGGAAAGGGCUCUCACCACUUCAAAAAUGUAUGGCAGCUAUAUGUAUGCUCGCAUAUGGUCAAUCGGGAGAUACGUAUGACGAAUAUCUCCGACUCGGUGAAAGUACUGCUCUUUUAUGUUUGGAACAUUUUACUAAUGGGAUAAUACACUUUUUUGGUGAUGAGUAUCUAAGAAUACCUACGGCAGAAGAUCUUCAACGAUUACUCGAUAUUGGAGAGGCACGCGGGUUUCCCGGGAUGAUUGGCAGCAUUGAUUGUAUGCAUUGGGAGUGGAAAAACUGUCCAACGGCUUGGAGAGGGCAGUACACACGAGGUUCAGGAAAGCCGACAAUUGUCUUAGAGGCUGUGGCAUCAGAAGAUCUUUGGAUAUGGCACGCAUUUUUCGGAUUACCAGGUACCCUUAACGAUAUCAAUGUUCUUGAUCGGUCUCCUGUUUUUGAUGACAUUAUAAAAGGUCGAGCACCUAAAGUUAAAUUCAAGGUCAACAACCACACUUACCAUAUGGCGUACUACCUUACUGACGGAAUUUAUCCAAAUUGGUCGACAUUUAUCCAAUCUAUCUCACUUCCUCAAGGUGAGAAAGCAGAGCUGUUUGCUAAACAUCAAGAAUCCACCAGAAAAGAUGUCGAACGAGCUUUUGGGGUAUUGCAAGCGAGGUUUGCAAUAGUCAAAAACCCAGGCCGACUAUGGGACAAGGAAACGUUAGGGAAGAUUAUGAGAUGUUGUAUCAUAUUGCACAAUAUGAUUGUGGAGAACGAACGAGGCAAAUACAGUCUAACUGAUACUUCUCAGUUCGAGUCAGGAGAGUCGAGCAGAGGUUCGAAGGUCACAAGGCGAGAAAGUUUGCAUUCCACUAACAUGCUAGGCAUGCGCAAUGAAGUUCGAGAUUCAGGAAAACAUGAACGUUUGAAAGCUGAUUUAGUUGAAAAUGUAUGGCAAACAUUUGGAAACGAUCAAUAAUCUUUGUAUGUUCAUCAAUUAUCAAUUAUCAAUUAUCAAUGUAAUGAAUAAAUUUUAUUUAAAAAAUUUAUUGCAUAAUAUUUUAUACAUGUUUUCAAAAUAAUUUCAAAACAAAAAAAAAUUAAAAAAAAUAUUAUUUAAUUUCUGUGAACCCCUUCUCAGGUUCACUAAUGCAGAAGCACAAUACUAAGAGGUUCAAUACUAUUCAUGACCCCACCUAAAAAAUAUUUAAAAAAUUCUAUGAACCCCAAAGGGGGGUUCACUAAUGUGGAUGCUCUUAGUUUUUUCAGAAAGUUAAAAAAAAAUGAUAAACUAUGGUAAUUAGGAAAUGUGAACAUAACAACACACAGCUGCAAAACCUCAGAUGACAUCCUUGGAAAACAGUAAUUAAUUUUUUACUAAAUUUUAAAAGAACGAUAAUUUGAUAAAAAAAAAUUUAACUAAACGUGGCCGUUCUAUAUAUACGCUUUGACACAAGUCUUAUAGUACGUUCACUCAUUGAUAUCCGAUCUUAAUAGGGUUCCACCAUGACAAAACGGCGAAAGAAGCUCUCUGAGGAUCGUCAAACUAUCCUUGGUCGGCGACUUUACGCUGACGAAAACUCAUUGCCGAUCUCAACUGAUCUCAUCUACGAGAUAUUCUUGAGACUGUCGCCGGAAUACAUAGGGAGAUGUCGUUGCGUAUAGAAUUAAGCUAUGGUCUUCUAUACUUUACCGUCAAGAUUUCACGGCUCUGUUUCUGGAACAAUCUUCUGCUCGUCCUCAGCUCUUGUUCUCCUGUGAAAUUGGCUGUAAGGUAUACUUCUUCUCCUCGGCUCAGCCUCAAAAUCCGGAAGAGUACACGCUUCCUAUAACCGCCAGCUAUCAUAUGAGUUUACACUUGAAUCAUGCGUAUCAGAUUCAUAGUCCUAUAAGCGGUUUGGUCUGUACAGGAGAUUUCAGUGGAGGCUUAAAGGGAAGGAAAAGACCAGAGAUGGUACGUGUGAUAUGUAACCCUAGAACAAGACAAUCCUUCACUUUGCCGAGGAUGAAUACAAGAAAGGGGUGUGAGGUAAGAAGCUUUUUUGGGUAUGCAUGAUCCCGUUGAGAAGCAAUUCAAGGUCUUGUCAAUGACAUUGUCACAUGGCAAAGAUGACGCCAUGCACCAAGUUCUGACGCUAGAAACUGGGAAACUUUCAUGGAGAAGGAUCGAAUGUGACGUACCUCAUUGUCCUGGAUCUGAACGUUCUUUAUGCAUCAAUGGUGUUGUGUAUUACAAAGCUAUACACCCAACAUGUCUUCUUCCUCGGAUGAUGUUAUGAUAACUUGCUUUGAUGUUAGGUCUGAGAAGUUCAUGAGCUUUAUUAAAGUUCAUGAGAAAAUACAAGUCUUGAGAUGUGGGUUUUGGAUGACCUAGAAAAAAUGGAAUGGUCCAAGCAUAGUUACAAACUUCAUCCCCAGUGGGAGAAUGUAGUUUCAGAGUCCAUCAUUUGUGUUGGAGUGACUGGUUCAAAUGAAAUUGUGUUCUCAGAGAACACUCUAUCCGACGACCCUUUCUAUGUUUUCUACUACAGUCUCGAGAAGUAAACUAUCAGAGAAGUUGAAAUCCAAGGAAUGGAAGAGUUUCUGAAACAAAGAGUUGAAAUCCAAGGAACGAAAGAGUUUCCGAAAUGUAGAGUUUACACCUUUCUAAACCAUGUAGAGAAUGUGAAGCUUAUGAAAGGUGUUUUAUGACUUCACGACUGAGCUAGUUAGACUGGAUCCUAAGUUCUCAUUUCAAUGGAUCACAGGAAUAUCCUAGUAGAGGCAUUUAUCUUUCUGUUAGUUUUCUAUGAUUUGUAUGCAUGUUUUCUAAAUGCAUACCAUCUAUCCUUGUUUACUGGUUCAUGAAUGUUUGUUCUAAGCUAAGCCAAAAAGUGAACACCACACAAGCAAAGAGAGGACACAGCCAAUCCACAUAUUUAUUUUAUUCUUCUUUAGCUAGCACACUCGAGCUAACCAAACUUUUCCUCCAUGUAGAUAGAGGUGAAGACCGUGAAGUUAAUUACCACCAGAAUACAUAAAUAUCCCCUCCACGAGGCGCCCUUUUACGUAUUCUUGGACACUAAAAUUGAUGAUGAUAAGGCAUGUCAUUUCUUGAAAAGGACACAGAGUUUCAAAAAUUAUUUAGGCCAUACUGCUUGACUAGUUUACCAUGAAAAUUAUUUCAGAUUUACUAAAACAUUUUGAUCAUUUUAACAUUAGAAAACUAUAUUUGUGAUUAAAAAAAAAAAAUUAGAAUUAUUCUACGGAAUUUCUCUGAAAAAGUCUUUUCCUCUCCUAUUCUUUAUCUCGACGCACCGGUUCACUACGCAUAGAGGGGUUAACUACUUUGUGAGAUCGGAUAACUACGGCGGAGGUUUGAUUCAGCUGGUGCUGCAUAAACCCAUCCAAUUAAGUGAGAGAGAGACUUGUGCCCCAAGUUAUGUGUGAUUAUUUAUAUUCGUAACUUGAAGUUGAGACAAUGUUAUAUGCGUGAUUAUUUAUAUUCGUAACAAGACUUGCUUUACUGGUAACAUCCAAUUGAAUCCCUUGGCAAAAAAAAAACAUCCAAUUGAAUCUUGUAGAACACAUGCUCCGCUCAUCUUCAACGUUUGAGACUUGAGAGAGCGAAUGAAACUCCGCCGUUUCGAUCCCUGAUCACUGAUUCUAUGUUAUGGUCAGAAAUGGAUCAGGAUCACUGGCCAAAGCUUGAUAAAAUUUUCUCAGAUGGUGACACAUAAAACAUCCUGUUGUUUUACUCUUGUUGAACCGUGUCCCGUUUUAGUAUGUGUGGUGGCUGCCGAGAAGUGUGGUGUUUAAUAAGAUACACGAUUACUCCAUGUCACUUGGGUCCCAAGCCCAAGAUCAUUAGAACACAUAAUAACUGGUCAGAUUAGCUGGUAAGUAAGAAGAUUGCACCGUAGGAUCAAAGUCAGCAACAAACCAUAAUGUCUCUUCCUCUGAAUUUUCGUGCUAUAGCCCAUAAACAAAAACAAAAACCUAUUAGUUCGUUAAGCAUGUAAGGUCUAAGGUGAUCUCCACGAGAAAUAGGUGUUUGGGUUUGUGACAUGAAUUCAUAGAUAUAACGUGUGUGUUCUUCACUUAUAUUUCUCAAAUUUACGAGUGUGCAAUGGUGUCUGAGUUCAAAACUAAUAUAGCAAUUUCGAUCUUAGAUAUUCGAAUUACAAAAGCAUGCGUAUUUAUAUAAUGAAUGGCAAAUUAAGAGAUUAGUUAUAAAAAGUUGUAAAUACAUGAGUGAAUGGAAUUAAACUUUUGUUGUCGGCGACAAACGUGAGGGAGAUCAAAUCAUCAAAAAAGGAACCUUCUCAAGCUUCGUGAAUGGGGGUCUCUGUCUCUACUACAUGCCCUACGUUUUCAAGCGUGCCAUAAUUUCAUGCCCUUGUUUUCCUGAUGAGUUUUCAUUUUCUUAUUUACUUUGUUAGUCUGUAAGUUUUUGUCAAAGAAUUAAUUCCGGAAAUAAUGAUAUAAAGUUGAAAAAGACAUUUAUGAGUGUAUUAGUGACAAAAUAUAUAGUAAAAAUUGAUAAAAGAGAAUAAUAAUAAUAAUAAUACAAUGUUAUCUUAUCGUAAAAACUUUAUAUUAAGUUGGUAAGAGGAGGAUUAUCCCUGCAUCACCUUAUGGGGCUUAAUUUUUUUUUAAAAAAAAUUUUAUUUUCUGAAAUUAAUAAAAGAACUAAUUGCGGGCCGCCACGUGUUAGUGGAGCCCGCAAACAAUACAGACAACGACGCUAAAAUAGAUGACAGAAUCAACCAUUGUUGGUUUUUUUGCAGGACCCACCGAGUAUUAUAUUAAUUUUUUUUUAAGCACCUCCCUUUUAAAUCCCCGUUGAUCCUGCUCUAAUGCAGAAAUAUAACUUCAUGAUGGUUUAAUUACUGGAUGAUGAUUUUCUCACAUAGACGUGUGAUUUUGCAUGGAAAAGAAGGUAAAAUCUAGAUAAUAGACAUUAAAGGAUAAAAGCACAAAGGACACCAAUUCACAUGUUCGUAUAUAUCUUCUUUUUUUUAAUUUGCUACCAAUAUGAAAUCAAAGUAACUUAGACCACUUGCUUGACAUGUAGCAUUUAUUUUAUUAUAAGUUUUCGUGGUUUGAAACUUUUGAUGAUCAAAGAAAUUAGAUAAACGACAUUGACCUAGGAGUUAGAGCUGAAAACCCCAUUGCUAAGAACUAGUACUCUAGACUCUAGUAGUCAAAUUUAUGUCGCAUGAAGCUUUAUUUCUCAUUAUAUAAUUUUGAUAGAAAAUAUUACAUAUAUUUGUUUACUGUACUAGGUGAUUAAUAUGUAUAUUAAAGUAUGGUGCAUGGAACAUCAUUGGGAAUUGCAUGUAGUGGGCAUUACAAUGUGAGACCACCUUCAACUUUUUUGACUUGGAUGAGAACACACUCCUCUCGGACUAGUACACAUCCCUUAUCAUACAUAUGUAGAUAUACCGCUAGUUACAUAAAAAAACAAUAUAUACUUACGUAUCUCAAACUGAUAAGGGCAUAAUUAACCAUAGCACCCCAUUUGGGUGCUUAAUUUUUUUUUUUUUUUUGGUUUUAUUCUGAUUAAAAAAAAAAAAUUAAAAAUGAACCAAUCGCGAGUCGCCACGUGUCAGUGGAGCCCGCGAACAGUGGAACAACCGACGCUUCCAACGCUUGUUUAAGCGAUCUGUUUCCAGUUUUCUUUUUUUUUUUAAGUUAAGCACAGGGGUAAGCACCGCAGUUAAUGUUGGCCUAAUAACUAUACAAUACAACAAAUCAAUCAUUCAUAUAUAUAUAUAUUGUUUUAAUCAGAUAUAUUGGUUUCGGAAAUGGUUUUAUAUAUAUAUAUAUAUUUAUGAGAUAGUAAAAUACUAUGCAAGUUAGAUGUAAAAAUUAUUCUAACGAAUUAAAUAAAUAAAAUUAUUUAGCAAAAAAAAAUAAAUAAAAUUGUUAUCUAAUAGUUUUGAAUGAAUCCAAGUAACAAACGCCAACGUAUACUUUGACUUUGAGGCCAACUCGAUCUUCAUUCUUUUUUGGUUACUUUAAAGUUUACUAUUAAUUUUGAAAACUGUGAUUAUUGUACGUAUUUGUAUGUUGUGUAGCAGGGAGACUCUUGUUUAUAAAAACAAUGUUUGGUUUAUUUGAAUUGUCAUUUUAUUCUUUGGAUCUUUAGUCUUCCCUUAAUUAGCGUCUUGUGCAUGUCUUCCUCAAAAUUAUCACCACUAAUAUACCUCACGAACACAAAACUCACACGAUACAUAAUGUCUAUGGUAAGGGCACAAAACACAUCUUAAAUCAAACUCACAAUACAUACUUCUUAUUUUGAUUCAUUUUUAUAUAACUAUUUUGUUGUGGAAGCAUACUUAUAUAUAUAUAUAUAUAAUUUUAUCAACAUAUGAUAUAUAGAAUACUACUAAAGUACAACAAAUUAUUCAAAUGUAAAUUAUAGAGACGCGUUAGAUAUUAUAGACUAAUAAACAUAUAUAAAAAUCUAUCAAUAUAGAUACUUCAAAAUUCUAUAAUACAGACACCUGACUUAUACAAGGAAUUAAGUAUAGUUUCAUAGACAGGUUGAGCUAUUGAUUUCAAUUAAUAAAUCCUUAAAAAGGGUUCCACUCAAUUUUAUAAUCACCACUACCGACCAGCCUACUUUAUCAAGUGUCACAGCUUUUAUGGAAAUUUCCCGUUAAUUGAUAAGCUUUUCACAUUGUUCACACAAUUAUACAUGAAAUUAUUAGACAAAUUUUUGCGGCUAAGUUUAGAUAAUAGUUCGAGAACUGAUUACAUUCACACGCUAACAUGUACUCACAUCAAAACAAAUCAAACUUCACUCAACCCCCAGGAUAUACGUACGCAACAUAAUUAAUACCGCAUUUAAUCAACAACCAAAUCAGUGUAUAACUACUGAUAAAAUUACUUAUAUGUAAAUGCAUAUGUUUUAUGUAGCACAGAGCCCUAUCUAAUAUUAGGAUAAAGAAACGAUCAAAUCUUAUUUUUAAAAAUCACUCUCUUUCAAGGGUGUUUUUCAAAACCAACCCACAAUUUCUAGUCAAACCCAAAACUAACCUAUUUUUCUUUGUCAUUACUAUUCAUCAGUAAAAUUUUCAUACUAUCCCUAUGUUUUUGAAUUAUUCACAAAAUUGCCAUUUUUAAUUAAUUUUUUUUAUUAAUUUCGAAAUUAAGAAAAAACCAAAUACACCCUAACCAUUUCUUCUUAUUUACAAAAAUGCCAUCAUCAUUUUCCAACCACCAUGAACCACCAUUUUUGAGCUCUAGAGCUCAAGAAUUCAAUUUUCAACCACUUUUUUUCUCAUUCUAACCCAAAAAACUUUAUUUCCUCUCAUCUCCUCUACAUUUCCAUUUAAAAAACUCUCAUAACUUUCAUUUUCAUAAUCACAAACUUCAUAUUUUCGAGUUUCUUCAUUAGUGAAUAGUCAAAGAUGUUUCUUUUUGCUCAUAUUUGGAGUUUGGACGGUUGAAAAGGUUGGAAACGAGCUUUACACAGGAAAAAGUAACUAUUUACAUGGUUUUCGUUCUUUUUCAGAUCUGUGUCGCGACGGUAGACUGUUUUGUAUGUCUACGCCUCCGUGGAGACUUACGAUGCAGUCUAUUUGUCAACGCACGGGUUAGUUUUGCAAUUGACUAAACAAAUUUUUUUUCUAAUGCAGACUUCCCCAGUAGUCUCCGUCUUUACCUUUGACAACAAAAAUAAAACUUUCGGUAGACUUACUAAGACGUCCACCUAAAAGAGGUUAGUUUUUCAUUUGACCGAACUUUUGACUUUUCAAAAUAGACUUUGUUGGAAGUCUACAAAAUGUAGACUGCCAACAAAGUCUAUAAAAGGUCAAUUCUGCAUUUGACCAAAACUUUGACUUCGUUGAAUAGGUUAGUUUUGUGUUUGACCAAAAAGUUUAAAAAGCAAUCAAAAAUUUAUUAAAUUGUAGACUUCAUAUGCAGUCUUCUUAUCUUAGAAAAAAAAAUGUAGACUGCAUAUAAAGUCUACUUUUUUUUUAUUUUGGUCAAAUGCAAAACCAACCCGUCGGAUUUGAGAGUAGACUUCACAAGAAGUCUACACACCCGUAGACGUUCAUUUCAAUCUACUGAUUGGAAGUCAAACUUAGUCAAUUGCAAAACUAACCUCUUUCAAAAAAAUUCAAACAUGUAGAUUGCAUAUGAAGUCUGGUUCUGAAUGUCAAAUCUUGGAUGAAUUCUGGUCAAUUGCAAAAACUAACCUUUUUAAAUUGUAGACUGAAAUGAAAGUCUACAUGUACAAAAUCACAGUUUUUUUCAACUAUAGAAAGCAACCCGUAAAAUGGUCAAUUGCAAAAACCAACCCAAAUAGUAGACCUAUUUGACCGUCUACGUCUGUAAACUGAAACGAACGUCUAGAUCUUGAGAGACUGAAUAUUAAGUCUGCAUAGAAAAAUCUAUAAAAAUGUGAAUUUGUGUAUUAUUCAUUAAGUUUUUUUUACUUUUUUUUGUUUGACAGUGUGUGUUAGUUAAUCCUAAUGGGUUUGAGUGAUUUUGAAAAGAAAAUGUUUUAUAAUUAUGAAAGUGUAAUUCAUUUGAUUUGACAAUAUUGUUAGCUAAUAAUUGUAGACUUAUUUGUAAGUCUUCGUUUAUAGUUUUAUGAAACAUGAAAUAUUUCUUUGCUGAUUAUGUAAACCUGUGUUUUUUUGCAGGGAAUGGCUCAGAUACCUGUUGUGUACGGAGAAUGGGUGGUGAAAGGCUCUUUGCGGGAGUUUGUGGUCAAUAAUCGGAAAUGAGGGAGAAUGUUUCUUAUGUCGGGUGGUUAUACACAUGGUGAAGUUCUUGAAAUGGCACUAUAAGAUUAUGGUCUGGACAAGAAAAUCGAGAAGGUGGUGCUAACAUAUUCCUUACCAGACGUCAUUUUACAACAAAUGGCUCCGGAUACUCCUCCUAUGCAUGUCACGAAUGAUAGACAAGUGCGGAACUUGAUCGAGUUAGUUAAGACACACUUUGUACGCCUUUGUGUAUCAAGUCAGAGCCAACCAGAAAUUUUUGGUGUUAGAUAAUAAGUGUAGACGUCUUUGUAAAUCUACAAAGCUAAACUGCAGUUGAAGUCUACGUCGUAAAUUCUAUUAAAAGUACAAUUGUGUAUUUUUCAUCAUAUUUUUUUCAUGAUUUAAUUAUUUUACAGUGUAUGUUAGUAAUUUAAUGGUAUUGGGUGAAUUUCAAAAGUUAAUGUGUUAUAAUUAUACACUUGGAACUUAUUGUAAAAAAAUUUGAUUAGUUUUACUCUUGAAACUUUUUGAGAAUUUUGUAUAGAUUUUCUUCUUCUCACAUGUCUGUUAGUUAUUAUUUUAGCAUAUGGUGGUUUUACUUGUUUGAUUGAUUAGAUCUUGUGAAAAAAUUGAUAUCUAACAAAAAAUUAAUAAUAUCAUACAAGUGAAACAUAACUAAAAAUGAAUACAAUCUUUAUAGAUUAUGCAUUAAACAAUUAAUUAAAAAUUAAUAUUUUAUUAUGAGAAAUUAUUACACAGCAAUAUAUUAAAAAAUAUUCUUGAGUAUGUUUGAUUUUUCAUAAUCUUGAUGCCUCAAAUAAAGUCUUGAAAAAAAUACCUGCAAAAUAAGAUAGAGUUAUGAGAAAAACAUAAGAUAAAAAAAUAAAUCAUAUUUUAGUAGACUUUUUAUUAAGUCUACGUAAAGUUAUUGUUUAGUAGAUUUUAGUUGAAGUCUACACUGACGUAAAAUUUUCAUAUUUAAAAGUGUACAUUUAGAAAAUUUGAAAAUAUUCUGUUCUGGAAGAUAUUUCAAAAAUAGUUUUUUUCCAUCCUUGUAACAAAGCAAAAACAUAAAGUAUGAAUCUUUAAAUUUAGUUCAUUAUAAACACAAAAUAUCUUAUAAUGAAUAUAUGUAAAGCUUACAUUUUUGGGAAGAUGGUUUUAAAACGUUGAAAGAAAAUACCUGCAAAAAAAGAUUAAAAAUUAAAAUCAUAUUUUGAGUAAGCUUCUAAUGAAAUAUGCUUAAAAUUCAAGGCUUGUAGACUUCUUUUCAAGUCUACCAGCCCUAACUUUUAAGUAGACUUCAUUUGAAGUCUACUCUAUCAAAAAAAAAUUAGGUCUGAAAUAAGUUAAAUUCUAAAAAACUUUUAAAAAUAUAAUUUAAUAGAUAAAAUAGUAAUAAUUAAAGACAUAAAAUUUGAAUAUGUAACUUUAUUUUAAUAUAAAUACUAGAACACAUAUUUAAAAUCUAUAGAUGUAAACAUUACAUUUUUGGGAUGAGAAGAAAACAACUAUGGAAAAAAAUAACUGCAAAACAAGAUAAAAUUAUUAAUAAACAUAGAAAAUAAUUAAAGUCAUAUUUUUGUAGGCUUCCAAUGAAGUGUGCUUAAACUUUGUGGUUUAGUAAACUUCAUAUGAAGUCUACUAGCUUUAGUAAAUUUCUUUGGAAGUCUACACUGUCUGAUAAUUUUCAGAUCUGAAAAAAUCUAUACAUUUUGAAAUUUGAAAAUAAUUUUAAAUCUGAAAAUACUUUUCAAAAUAGAAUUUAUAAGAUAAACUAGUAACAAAUUAAUUUAUUUGAAUAUAAACAUAUAAAUACAUAUUUAAAAUCUAUUAAUCUAAACCUUACAUUUUUAGAGGAGAAAUGAAAUCCAUGAGUGAUAAUACCUACAAAAAAAAGAUAAUAUUGUUAGAAAUAAAUAACAUAAAAAUACACAUUUAAAAUCUAUAGAUCUAAAACUUACAUUUUUUAAAGGAGAAGAUUAAAACCAUGAAUCAUAAUAUCUAAAAUGACAAGAUAACAUUGUGAGAAAGACUUGAGAAAAUUUUAGAGAGAAAGAGGAGAAAUGAGAGAGUUUUUGAAAGAAUUGAGAGAAUUUUAGGGAGAAGGAAGAGAGUUUUAGGGAGAAGGCAGAGAGUUUUAAAAACUUGUGCAACCACUUUAGAGAGAGACUGUAUUAAUUUUGUUUAUAUAUGGAGACAAAAAUGUAACUAGGUUAAAAUUUACGAUGCUGUAGACUUCUUUUGAAGUCUAAUAAAAUUAAAAUUUUGAAGUAGAUUUUACUAUAACAUAGUAGACCUUUUUAGAAGUCUACCAUAAUAAUUUCAUUAGUGUUGCUUAUUCUUUAUUAUUUUAAUAAUUUUAAUAUAUGAUUUACUUAAUUUAUUUCUUUAUUUUUUAAUAGUUAUAGUUUAUGAUUUCAUUUUUUUUAUUUUUAAGGAACUUAACUUAGUUUAAAUAUAAUGAUUUUUUGUAAAAUAAAUUGAAAAAUAUAGACUAAAAAGACAUCUUCAAAUAAAUAUACUUUAUUGUAGGUCUACGAUACCCUAAACCACAAAUUUCAAACCCUAAAUGUUUUGCUUGAUAAUCAAAAAGUCUCAAUUAUACAAAAUAUAAACUACUAAACAUUAAUAUACAGAUUUAAGUUAAUAAAACAAAAUCAAAACAAAAUCUAAAAUCUAACCCUACGAAAUUAAUCACUAAAAGACAUAACAUGUUAGAACCAUUUGUUUCUAAACUAUGAACAUUGUCUAACACAUGAUAACCAAAUUAGUAUAUAUUCUUCAAAAUUGUUCAAUUAUAUGAAAUUUUAAUUUAUUUACUUCAUAUUAUCCAUUAUAUUGAUGAUUAGUUAAAAGUAUCACAAUAAUUAUUUUUUUACAUUUUCAAAAUUAAAUUAUUAGAUCAAAUUAGAGUGUAGACUCCAAAAUAAGUCUAUAAGGUAGACUUCGUAGGAAGUCUAUAUAUAUGUAGACUUCUUUUAUUACGUGUAGACUUCCGAAGGAUAAAAACGUAAAAUAUAUUUCUGUUUUUUUAUUUGGUCAUAAGGGUUAAAUAGUACUUUCACUAUCUUUUUAGGUUGGCUUUGCAUUUGACUGAAAUUGGGGUACAUUUUUAGGUUUGACUUGAAUAUUUAGGUUGUUUUUAGCAAAUGUCCCCUCUUUCGAAUCCCAAAAACAAAAGCAUGCAUUUCGUAAUAAACAACGAAUUGAUUCUGUUUUAUUUCUUCUACAUCUAUAAUACACAACACUAAGUAAACGACACACAAGUUAGACACAUUUAUUUUAUUAUUAUCGUUAUUGUAUCCUUUUGAUUGUUAUCACAACAAAAAAAACAUAUUAUACAAAAAUUCAAAAAGAUACCAUCAAAUCAUAUCUAUAUAUUCAAACCUUCAUAGAUUCACGUCACUAAGUCCAUCUUAACACACCUAAUCCCAUAUACAAAAACGUAUUCAAACCAAACACUAGUUAAUAUAUAUUGAAAUAAUGUCGUCAGAAGGAUUCUCCAUUAAAGCUAGAGGCUUAGGUAACAAUAACAACAUGGGAGGUGGAGGAACGGGGACUAAGUGUGGACGGUGGAAUCCAACGGUGGAGCAAGUGAAACUUCUGACGGAUCUGUUCAAGGCGGGGCUACGAACACCAAGCACCGACCAGAUUCAAAAGAUCUCUACGGAGCUGAGUGUCUACGGUAAGAUCGAGAGCAAGAACGUGUUCUAUUGGUUCCAAAACCAUAAAGCUAGGGAAAGAUGUUCUAUUGGUUCCAAAACCAUAAAGCAAGGGAAAGACAAAAGCGUCGUAAAAUCUCCACCGUCGAUUACGAUCAUCGUCAAGACACAAAUCUCUCUCUUUCACAUCGACACAACCCAUGUCAUCACCAAACACCACCUAAAGGUUAAUAAAGAUCUAUUUACCAUUUUUCGACAUGUUACAUUGUAUAUAUCAAUAUAUGCACAUGUACUAAAAUGUGUUUUUUUUUUUCCUCUUUCUUUAGAUACUUUCGGCGGCCGUGAAGAAGAGGAGAAUGUGAUAGAGACAUUGCAACUCUUCCCAUUAUCGAAGGUUGAAAGAGCUAAUAUUACUGCUGCGAGCUACAACGAAUACAUAAGAGAGCAUGUCAAUACGACGGUGUUUUCCACAUACUCAUCAUGCGGAGCUGAGAUGGAACAUCCACCGUUGGAUCUUCGACUAAGCUUUCUAUGAAUGUGUUUUCAUUUUAACGACUCUAAUGGAAUCCAAAAAAAAAACAUGAGACCCAAAUAUGCGGAGUUAUAUGCUAAGAACCCGAUCAGAAGAUGAUGUGCUAGAAUUAACAUUGGUGUCAAAACUCAAAAGAAUAUUCAUGAAUAAAAUAUCAAAUAUUUUCGGUGUAAUGGAUUAGCUAGGUUGGUGUAGUAGCACUUUAGAAGUUGUAGUGACAUCUAGCUAUCAUGCGACUGGGACUUGUAAGAGCAGCAUUAUCGCGCAAAAAAAAGGGGUGCUUAGCCCUAUAGACCCCACAAAAAUGGCAAGCAACGAUGUUUCCAGCCGCAAAAUAGGCACCGCAUUUUGUUUGUUGCUUCUACUAUUCGCGGACUCUACCGACACAUGGCGGUUCGCGAUUGAUUUGUUUUUAAUUUUUUUUUAAUCAAAUAAAAAAAAAAGAAAAAAAAAUGGGAUAAAGAUGCUCUAACAACUAUAAUCGUAUCCCGAGCCAUUAUUAUUGUGUGUUUUUUUAGCUAAAACAUUAAUUAACCUUGUUACACCAUUUUCUACGAUUAGUAAAUGGGUGUAACUGAUUAUUCACUUAUUCAUAGAAGGAAUAUUAUGAAUUAAAGGAAUGAUUAUUUUUGGAAUAAAAAAAUGGAAUGAUAAAUUAAAUGGAAUAAGAACUGAAAAUAUUUUUGGAAUAGCAUUCCACUCAUUCACGAAGGAUUAUGAUCUUGAAUAAAAGGAACAAAAUUUACAAAGGAUUUACUUGUUUUGUUCCAUUCCAAAAAUAGGAUAUAUGGAAUUGUUUCUAAGAAGUCUUCAUGUAACUGGUAAACAUUUUAUGGAAACACGUGGAAUGAUCCAUUCCAAAUAGUUUUAUUCCACAAAAUGACAUUCCAAUUCCAGCCUAUGUGUAUAACUACAAUUUAUCAAAAAAAUACGAGAAUAUUAUCAAAAAAAAGAUUACAAAAAAAAACCCAUUGCAAUAGGUUGAAAAUACUCUAGUUAAUUAAAUCCUUUGCCAUAUAAAUUUGAAGAAUCUUUCUUCUCUCAAUUAAGGAAUUGGUCUUUAAAACACAAGCACUGCUUCGGUUAUUUCCAUUUGGUUCGGUUCGGUUAUCUCUCACCCUCUUCAUAUCGGGCUUAAGAUUUAAGCCCAUUAUCAUCUUACAAGCCCAAUCCAGAAAGGAGUAGUAAUAAAAAGAGUAGCAAUUAGCUCAGAAGAAGAGUUUUCCUGAAGAAGAAGCAAAAGCUUAGAAGCUCCGUCGCGAAACCGCCAGAUCGGAACUUCUCCAUUGAUCGGAAUCACUAGUAGCAAAGCAAAGGUCGAUUCUCCGAACAUGGACGUGAUAAAGACGCAGCAGAUAUCAGCGAGGACCAUCGAGAAAGUCGUCGUUCACCCACUCGUCUUGCUCAGCAUCGUCGACCACUACAACCGCGUCGCCAAAGACUCGCGCAAGCGCGUCGUCGGCGUUCUCCUCGGGAGCAGCUCCCGCGGCGUCGUCGACGUCACCAACAGCUACGCAGGUAUCGGCUCUAACUUUCUCAGAUCUCAGAUUCUAGCGAGAUGUGCGCAAUUUAGGGUUUUGGAUUUCGAUUGAGCUCGGUUUGGAAUUGGAUUGAAUGAAAAAAUGUAAUCUUUGGAUGAUUUUUAAUCUCUGGACACGUCACCAGGAGUGACAAUUUGGUGAAUUUUGAUUUUGUAGUGCCGUUCGAGGAGGAUGACAAGGAUCCGAGUAUAUGGUUUCUUGAUCAUAACUAUCAUGAGUCGAUGUUCCACAUGUUCAAGAGAAUUAAUGGUACUUCUUCUCUGAAAGGCUAAAGCUUAGAGACUAUAUAUAAUGAUGAAGGAAGCAUGUUUUUAACGAAAAAUCUUUGAUUUUCAGCUAAGGAGCAUGUUGUAGGUUGGUACAGCACAGGUCCUAAACUUCGGGAGAACGAUUUGGACGUUCACGCGUUGUUCAGUGGGUUAGUUUUCCAGCUUAAUCAUUCACAUUCUUAUUAUGUUUUGUUGACAUGGGAGAUGGACUGAGGAUUGACUGGUUAGUUUUAAGUUAGGGUAGAGCAUUUUGAUUGUUAAUUAAGAAGCUUCGUUUUGCUUUUGGUUGGUGCUGCAGCUAUGUUCCAAAUCCAGUGUUGGUUAUAAUUGAUGUCCAGCCUAAAGAACUUGGGAUCCCCACUAAAGCUUACUAUGCAGUGGAGGAGGUCAAGGAGGUAACAUACGCUUCCUAAUCUUUUCGUUUUGUACAGUUGUGUCCUUAUAUUUAACCAGCUUGAUUAUUAUCUCUUCAGAAUGCGACUCAGAAAAGCCAGAAAGUCUUCGUUCAUGUUUCCACAGAAAUAGCCGCUCAUGAAGUCGAGGAAAUUGGUAUGUCUACAAGGUUUACAAGUCUGGUGAAUAAAAUCGUUUUAUGAUUGGAUUUGAGGAAGGUAUUAUGACACUUGCCUGUUUUUUUUUUCCUUGUUCUCUAAUAGGUGUGGAACAUUUGCUCAGGGAUGUGAAAGACACAACGAUCAGUACCCUUGCGACUGAGGUAUUUGACUUCACAAUAUUUCAACGUUUCAUUAUCUUCCCUUUAGUCGUGAAAUCAUGAUGGGUGGUGCUUGGAGGAUUCAUAUCGCUGUUCUUGCAAAGUUGUUAUAUGAACAAAACAAAAUGGUUACUGUUUGAGGACUGAAAUAAUAUUUUUCACCAGGUUACUGCCAAACUUACUGCCUUGAAGGGACUGGAUGCACGUCUUCGGGAGAUCCGGAGUUACCUUGACCUUGUAGUUGAUGGGAAACUCCCUCUAAAUCAUGAGAUUCUAUACCAUCUGCAGGUUAGAACUUGCAUGUGUUUUCAUUUAGUGUUCUGAUUCUACAAAAUUAUGGUUAUAAACUUCUGGACAUUUAUCCAAAUCCUUGUGAUCUUUGCAAUUUUAUUUUAAACUAUGUCUGCUACUGUAGAUGUUAGCUAAUGAUGUAUUCCUCUUAAAAAUCUUCAGGACGUUUUCAACUUGCUUCCGAAUCUCAAUGUGAACGAGUUGGUCAAGGCCUUCUCAGGUGAGUUUCUUCCGUCAGUAUUAUUAUCUUUGUACUGCUUGGAUGCAUUAGUCUUACUGGGUUUAUUAUGUGCAGUGAAAACAAAUGACAUGAUGCUCGUUAUCUAUUUAUCGUCCCUCAUCAGAAGUGUGAUUGCGCUCCACAACUUGAUCAACAACAAGGUUAGAUCAUAACUCUCUCUCACACUCUUAUGUUCUUAGCACUGCUGAUUACUUUUUGUGAACUUAUUCUUGGGAUGAUAUGUUUCAGUUGCUGAACAAGGAACAUGAAAAGGCAGAGGACUCAAAGCCCGUGGCCAUACCCGCCACGAGCUAAAUCUUGCUGAUGAGAUAUGAUUUACUUUAGUCAUCAUUGUCUCCCUGCGAUGAUGAAGGCGGCUGUUGUUUGUUGUCUCUCCCAAUAGAACAAGAGGGUGGUUCGAACGAGUUUAGUUUGAUAUCAGGUUUCUUUCCGAGUGUUGGCUUUCAUCUGUUAUUCUGAUUCUGAACGUGUCAAAGAGGCUUUUUUCAUUUUAUCUUUCAAGUUGGUUAGGGCUUAGAGUCCUUUUUUGAGUGGGGUUCAUGAUGAUACACGGUUUCACUAUUAAUGUGUCGAAAUCACCACAAACAUUUGUUCAAAAGUGCCUCUAGAUCGAGUUCUAGUUCAUCAACAAUAAUACAGGUUUAGAUAAAAUAUCACUGAAAUUAUUUAAACGAUUACAAAAAUAUAAAAUAUAAUUUUAAAGUAUAAAUGAAUAAAUUAAAUAAAACUUACCAGUUAAAAGGUAAGUCCUAUUUUAUUUAUAUUUUAAUAAAUUGCAUUACAUACUUUUAUUAAAUUACUUAUAUUAUACUAAUUUAACCAUUUAUAAAACACUGCGGCUGGUGGUGGUUUCUUCUCACUAAAUCCGUAAACACCAUCAGUCUCUGCCAUCCAUGUACAUCGAGUACAUCUUUUAAAAUCUCUAAGCGCAUCGUAAAUGUCGAACACACCUUUUGUUACUUUGCCUUGAUGAAAUUCACAGAAGUAUAGUGUACUAUUAAAAAAAUUAACAUAAAACUGCCAACGAUAUGAUUCACCGUUCUUAAGAGCACGCGACCCUAUAUCAUCAUCUGCUGAUUUACAAUGCACAUCAAGAGUGUAUGUAUUAUUAUUCUUAAUUUCGACUUUCAUUAGCGGCCCUGUAAUGGGAAUUUUAUAACCUUCUGAACAUAUCAAUGAUAAUAUCACCAUAAUGGUUAUAGUAAACCAAAAAAUAGAUUUGAGCUUUUUCUUCGAUGAGUUUGUCAUGAUGAUAUGCUUGUAGUGAAGCCAUUAAUGUUAUCAAGAAUUCAUAAUUUAUAUAGCAAAAUAAAUUAUAUUAAUUUAAUUUAAAUACCGAAAUUAGUUUAAAAAAAAGUCACUAGAGUUCUUGAGUAGUUAUAAGAAAGCAAAGUUGCUCAAAUAAUUCCAAAGGGUAUAGAUUUAGAUAAAUUAAUUGUCUAAGAUACAAUUUCCCAUUGAAAAUAACUUUCUCUCAAAUAUGCCCUUUUAUAUAAAGUUUAUAAUCAUUUUUAUUAUAUUAUAUAAUAUAUGAUUAAAAUAACCACUACGAAAUACCAUCCAAAGUUAUAAAGUAUACAAUAAAAAGACAUAACAUAUGCUAAAUUAAUUUUGAAUAGCUAAAUCAGUUAAAAGUCACAAAAAAUAUGUGAGGAAUUAUAGGGUGAUAUUAAUGAUAUUGUCUUUUUAAUAAUUCAUAAUCUAUAUCUAAUUAGAUAUGAAUAUACUAUAAAAUAAUGUAUAUUAAUUUGUGUUGAAAUAACCUAAAUUAAAAUAAAUAUGAUUCUCUUCUCUGUGUGUUUUUGGAGAAUACAAAAUCAUUAAACAGACUCUGAACAGAAGAAACAGAGUACACGAGGAGUCAGUGAGUCACUGUUUGUCUCGUGUCCCGAUUUGGUUUGUUUAUUAGUAUAUGUCCCACCAGGCGAAGUAGAGCGAGAGAAACUUUGCCUUGAGAUUCUGACAAGAUUCAAAGAUCACUUACAACUUGCGAGGAGGAUUCAUCAUCUUGGUGGGUGAUGGAACCCGUACAGCCACAUCUUGAUACUCUUGUCUCCGCUAAAGCAAUCCAUGGCUCAAGUAGCUAUGACGACGACAGAAAAAGAAAAGAACUCAGCACCAGCAACGGAGAGUCUCAUCAGAGCUGCUCCAGUGGAGAGGAGGAGGAAGAUGAGAUGGUGAAGGAUGAAAAGAGGAGAUCUAACGUGUCCGUGUGUUCAGUGGAAGUAGAUCUGGAGCUUGGUUUGCCUGAGAAACCGGUACAUUUGUUGUCGGAAGAUGAGAAAGAUUGCAGAAUCUGUCACAUGAGCUUGGAGUCAGUGAAUCUUGAAUCCGGUGUUCCUAUCGAGCUUGGUUGUUCUUGCAAAAAUGAUCUCGCUGCUGCUCAUAAGCAUUGUGCUGAGACUUGGUUCAAGAUCAAAGGAAACAAGUAAACAGAUCACUAACCAUAUGAUGCUGAACAAGAUAUCGAAUUGUCUCUCUAACACCAGAUGAAACAAGAUUCGAAGUGAACCCCAGAAAUAUCUUACACCUCACGGACUCAUUCUCCUCUUCAGCUACUGUAGCUUCAUCAGCAAGUCUCCAUUCUAGCUUCAAUACAAUUCAAACAGCAUGUUAGGUCAAUGUCAAAAGUCAAAAAAAAAAAAAAACUUUGAAGCUUUCUCGAAACCAUUUGAUUGACGAUAUCAAUCGCUUCGCCUAGAUUCGAAGCUUGGAAUCCUGUAGUGAGCAUUGAUCGGAGAAGCUUAGGGUAAUUGACUCCUUGAUUAAAAUCGUAUCCUUCGAUUUUGUCGCACUUGCCUUCUAACGAUUCGGAUUCCUUGAAAACCGUGGAGUGAACGGUAGGGAAGACACGAUCCUCCUCCAUAUUGGUCGAAGAACGAACUGGAACUGUGAAGGAGUUCUAGGGUUCUAGGACAAGAAGCUUUGCUGAGAAAUGAUUGGUUCGGUCCGAAUCUAAACUCGGUUUUUAAAUAAUCCCGCGGCAUGGCGCGAUUGGAUCCGGUAUUGGUUUAGUUCGGUUUAUCCGGUACACUCGUUACUUUACUCGUAUAUGUGUGUUUUUCUUUGCGGCUCUGUUUCUGAUGGUGCUAGCUCCCUCUUAUUUCAAUUACUCGAAAACUUGAAUUAGUCAAAUCUUAUAUAUUUAUUUGAGCCCUGCGAUAUCUUUUUUUUUUUUGUUUUUAUCACAAAAAUAAUUUUUAUUAAAAGGUAAAAAUACAUGAAUUAACUAAUUUAGAUUUAGGGUUUAGAGUCAAUGAGUAGAGUUUUGGGUUUAAGAUUUCAUAUUUAAAAAAAUUAAAAAUUAAAAUUAAAAUUUUCAAAAUAAAAAUGAUUAUUUUGGUCAUUUUUUUUUGGUAUAUUUUUGUGACAAAAACUUAAAAAUAAUUAUCCGAUAGAAUUGCCCUAUUUAUUUACAUCCUAAUAGAAACAGAAAAAAAAAACUCUGCUUUAAAGUAACAGACCGAGAGCAAUAGACGUUCUUCAAAACCAGUCUAGAAUGUUACACAUGUGUAGUAGUAUUUGGUUUUGGUGAUUUAAUUUGAUCAAACACGAGUAUUGAUCAUGAAGAAUAUAACUUGUUAUUAAGUUUCUGGGUAUUUUAUUUACUGGGUUUGUGCCAUACAUAUGUGGUACAUGUGGUUCAUUAGUUGCUCUCUUAAACCAACGUACUAAUCCCCAGUAUUGUAUAAUUACAAAAAAGAACAUAAAAACAAAACCCAAAAAGAUCGCACAGCAAAGUCACGUUGAUUUAUCUGGCCAUCAGUUGGAGUAGUUAUAGGUUGGUCUUAGUAAUACAAGGAACCUGACACAUGAAACAAUCUAUUGAUAAGUUGAUGUAGUUAUUAUGGAAUAGAGACUACUAGAAGGUAUGAAAACGGUAUAUACCUUUCCACCAAUUUCCUCUGGAAGCAGAGGCGGUUGUGUCAGUGCGAUCAUCAGUUUCUUUGGGGUGAUGAUGUGAUGGAGAAGUGGAGGAGGCAUCAUGAGCUCGUGGAGGUGAAUAGUGUUGCUGGCCUCCGUAGUAGAUGGAUGAGCUGAAAUACGAAGCUUCUCUUCUUUCAUGACUGCUUCUCUCAUCUUUGGAAACACACACCCGAAAAAACUUAUAUGAUAUAUCAUAUUCGAAUUUUUUCACUUCAUCAAAUUGUAUAAAGUUUGAAUCACUAUAGACUAAGCAAUCGUUUGAUGCAAUCAUCCCCACGGUCUUGCUUCAAUAUACACACUACACUUCAACUAGAAUAAUAUUUUUGAAGACUAACAAGUAAUAAGUGACUUUUUCUGAAGAAAACUAUAUAUUAUUAAUUUAUUAUAGGUAUAUGAAUUGAAUUUACCAUUUUAUUAUUCUAACAAUAACAGAAAAUGAAAAAUCAGUGUAUGUUUUUUUACAAAAGAAACGUAGAUUACCAGUGGUUUGAGAAAUGAUACUAGUGUGAUUUCCCUUCUUGCCUGCUACCUGCAUUAUAGAAUGGGUUCAAAUUAUCUGCAAACUCAAUUAUAAAAAAAAAAAAAAACUCCGGACCACAUAUACAUACAUACACCGACACAUGGUAUUUUAUAUGUAUCCAUAAGAGGAUCCAUGCAUGAAUGUGAUAAUUUCUAUGCUUACUUGUCGUGUAGCUAGUAAGAAAAAUUCUUUAUGACUUUGUAUGAAAAGCCUUAAUUAUCUUUUUUUUUUAACUAUAGCCUUAAUUAUCUAUUACAAUUUAUUUCCAGAAAAUCUACAUAAAGUGCAUCAUAUAUAUUUCAGUUUUAUUAGAGUUGUUAUGGAUAUGUAAAAUCAACAAUUUUCAACUAAAUUCUAUACAACAUCGAAAUAUACAUGUUAUAUGCACAUACUAACAUAUGUAAAGUAUAUAGAUUACCGGAGGAGGGAAAAUGGAGUCGAGUAUAGUUGAACAAGACGAAGCAGAAGAAGCAGAGGCAGCUGACCCUCUCGGGCCAAACAAAUGGACAAACGAAGAGGGUGAAGAAGAUGAGGAAGGAGCUUUGGUUUUCUUGAUGUCCAUAAAUGGUCAAUAUAUGUAGUAAUUAGUGACUAAUUAACUAAAUUUUAAUUACAAUGAGUUUUCUUGACAGAGAGAAGGAGGUUGAUUUGUUGAGUGAGAGAGAGAACUAGUAAGACAGAAAUGGAUAAUGUAUAGUUUAAUUAAUGAUGACUUUAGUUUUUUCUUAUUUGUUUUGCCCUAACUCCCCAACGGUCUGUUAUAUAACCAACUUCUGAUGAGAAAGGAGAUGGGUUCACGUGAUCCCCACGUGGCUCUGCCGCCGGCUUCAGCUCUCUCCACUCUGCCACGUGUCUUUUCUUACAGAUGCUGUGGAUAAACUUUGCUUCUUCUACAUUUAAUUCACCCUCUGUGUAUGUCAUUUGGAUAAGUUCUUGACCUGACUGCUUCUCUUCACUUUAUACACAUGAAAAACAAAAACUCGUGUUGAUCUUUGGCAUAUACAUGCACACUCAAAUCUCCAUUUCCUUCAUUUGUUAUAAUGCUAUGAUAAUUCGAUCAUGCAUGUGACUCAAAUCGACUUUUUCUUUAAUGUGUAGCUUUUUCUUCUAUAUAACAUUAUUUUGGAGUAAUGGAGUAAAGGGUUAUUCACGGACAUAUUCAAAUCUCGAAUAUUAAGUUUUGACCUAAAUAAUUAGUUUUGAUCCAGUACAACAUUUUUUUGGUUGAAAAUAAGAAUAUGAAUAUAAAUAUAUGGAUAAUGAAUAAUCAUAAGAUAUGGAAUCUAUUUUCCCAUUCAUUCGUCGUAGACUUAUUAUAUACUCCAUUACUCCAAAAAUAAUAUUCCUUAUAAUCCCCUAUAUAUUAUUUGUAAAACAUUACAACUUCUUUUUGUAGCCACAUCUCAUCACUAGGAUGAUUCUUAGAAUUAUUAGAGAAAUAGGUUGGUCCAUCUCAUUAUAUAAUAAGCUUUUUAUUAAACUAACCAUAAAUUAAUUAUUAAUAUCAUUUAUUAUUUCAUUAAAUAAAGAUUACGGAAUUGCCUAAUGUGGAUAGAGUAUAUUUGACAAUUAAUGAUUUUGAAUAAUAAAGAUUUGAUAAAAAAAAGUAUCUUCUAUCAAAUUUGUUUAGUUUAAAACUAUUAAAAUAAUAUUUUUAAAAACACAAUAACCAUAUUAUAAAAUUUACAUUUUUCUGUAUAUUUUAUAUUUCGAAUUUUUAAAAAUGACUAUAAAUUACUAAAACUGUUAAAAGUCUCACAUUCAAAUUUUGCGAUCCAUGGUUUAAAAUUUUUGUUAUGACAAAAUACAAAUGAUUACAAAAUUAUAUAAGUAAAAGUCUAAUUUAAUUAAUCAUUAAGAUUUAAAAUAUAUAUGUAUAUAUAUCAUUCUAAAUUAAACUAUAAACCAUAUUGAAUAAAUAAAUAUUUUAGUGUCAAAAUUUACUUUGAAUAAUUUUUUUUGAUAAAAGUUUUGAACUAACAUUGAUAAAUUUUUAUCAAUUACUAAAAUUAUUAAUCCCACAAUAAAAGUUUUGUUAUCAGUAAUUUAAAGUUUUUGCCAUUAAAAAUACACAUGAUAAAAAAACAUAUGAGUAGAAAGCAUCAUUUAAAAAAAAAAAAAAUAGACAUUAAUAUUAAAAAUAUACUAUGUAUGUUAAUAUCAUUUAAAUUUAAUUACAUAUCCUAUCAAAUUUUUUUUAAAAAAAUGUUUGGAUUAAUAAAAUUGAUUUAUACGUUUGCACCAAUUUAAUUAUAUAUGUAAUAGUUACUGACUUUUAAUUAUUCAAUAUAUAUUUAUUAUUUCAUAAUAUGUAAGAACAUAUAAUACAUAAAAUAAUUUAUAUAUAUAAUGUUUAUCCCGCGCAAGGCUCUUGCGCGGGUCUUAAUCUAGUUGAUAUAUAUUAGAUAUACUGAUUGGUAUUUUGGUAUCUAGCUAUAGUAUUAACCAGUAAUUCAGUAAAGGAUGUAUUUGAUCUUUUUACCAGAUAUUCCGAUCUAAGCCAAGUACACAUCUGUAGAUUUUGGCGGUUAAGUGAAGUUACAAUCAUAUCAAAAUUAGAUCUCAUACAUUGAUUUAUUCCAAAUUUUAAAGGAGGGCUUGCAAAACAAGCUGAAACAGUUAGGCAUAUUCCACCUUUAUCUUCUCUUUGAUUUGCAUUUUAUCUUCUCCAGAUCUAGCAGGAUUCGCCAUAUAAUAAUUACUUUUGGAUAUAUAAUUAUAUAUAAGAAUCAAAAUGAUUUGGGCGGAUAUAUUGAUAUUCCACCCAGACAUGUUGUAAUUUGUAAACGGAUGCAUACAUACCAACAUCAAUUGAACAUAAAUGGUUUUCAUACUGGCAGGACAAAAGAAAGAACAGAAAUGGCUAUAGUAUUCUUCUCUCAUUAAUUGUUAGUCUAACAACAUUAACUAUCAUCUUAGACGUUUAAUGUUAAUUUCAUCUCAUGCCAAUAUAUAACGUAUGAAUUUAACCUAUCCGAAGGUUUCUAUGCUUAAUCAUCUGUAAACAGAGAGAUCAUAAACGUCUUUGAUUACUAAUCCGAUAAUGAAUUUAGUCAUUAGCAUUACCUAACGAGAUGUACUGGCUCCUAGAUGGAGGGGUCAAGUGACUUCAAGGCUAAAGAAAUCAUAAAAGAGGAAAACUCAUAUAUCAAAGGUGUUAUAUACCUUGCCUCUGGCUCCUCAAAUCUUGAAUAUUAAGCUUUGACUUAAUAAAAAAAAACAAUGAAACCAUACUCGAUUAUUAUCUCUAACGAUUAAUGAAAACUGACAAGACACCAUACUCAAAUAGUUUUCACAUCAUUUAAAUACACUUAUAUUAGCUUCUAUAAUCAAUCAUACUAAUUAAACAGAAUCUCCCAAUAAACUUUUUGAAAGUUUAAAAGUUCAAGGUGAACACAAAAAGCUUAAAAAAGGUUUGAUAUUACAUAAUAAAACAGCCUUUCUAUAAAACAGAGUCGUAUUUAUAAAAAAAAUUCAUCUUAAAUUUUAGAAAAAAAAUCUGAAAAUAAAAAGGAAAAUUUCAGAAAAUAAAAAGGGAAAAUUCAGUAUUAUUAAAUCAGUUAGAAAACUAAACACAAUAUCUCUAACCAUCAAUAAAAACCGACAUGAACCACAUUAUAGAAUUUAAUAAUCAAGCAUAUAAUACACAUUUUGAAAGUAUAAAAGUUUUAUGUUAAAACAAAAAAAAAAACUUACAAUUGUUGUGUGGAUUUCAUUGUUGAGGUUUGUGUGUUCAAUGAGUCUCUACUGCUGAGGUUUGUGUGUUCAAUAGUUUUGUGGAUUUCAUUCCCUUCAUGUUACGCCGAUAUAUCAUAUGAUUAUUAAUGUGUUUUCACCCAGAUCGGAUUAUAUUCAAACCACAUCAACCGUUGGGGACAUUUUGUUUCAAUUGAUUUCUAAAUCUGAAAGAAACAAAUCAAAAGCUAGUAAUGUAGCACUUGUGAAUCUGGUUCUUUGAAACAACAUUUUGCUUUUGGUUAUAUGCUUUUGGUUAUAGGGAAACAAAUAAUCUAUGUUGAAAGAAAAAUCAAAAUCACACAAUAUAUUGUGAUUUAGUGUUGGUGUAUUCAACCCUUCAUUUUCUGAUUAAUCUCAGUACAUCACCUACAAGAUGUAAGGAACCAGUUACAAGAACCUGCACACACACAUACACAGUCCUUAGAACCAUUCUAGUAUUAUCAAGUUGUGAGACGAACAUAUUCAAUAAGAAAAGGUUAUACUUGGAAACGUGUGGCUGAGCUACUCUCAUGUACACUAUCCCUUAGCCAUUUUAUUGCCAUCGGUAGUGAAGUAAACACCUCACUUUUUAUACUUUCACUGUCUUCUCCUUCUGCGUUCCAAGAAUUAAAAUAAAGACUAAAUUGAGAUAUGGAUCAGAAUGAUAUACGAAUUAAGACAUUUGUUUCUACUAUAUAUACCUCUUUCAUUAUGGACAAGGCGUUCCCACACUUUCUGGAGUGUCAACUGCCAUGACAAGUCAACAUGUGGAUCAUCCUCUGGCAAAUCCGCCGUUGUACCAACCUUGUGAUACACCGACAUGUUUGGUACAAACAAUGCCUUCUUGAAAUGGACACCUACACAUUAACUACUAUAUUCAACUGCAUUUCUGUCUUUUGAACAACUCUGUUUCUAAAAGUUUGUUUACACUAAGGCAGCACAAGGCUAAAACAUUACCAUAGUUUGCGCAUGUAUUCCUUAGAUGUGGAAGCAGCAGAUUUGGGUCCCGAACUGACAUGCAGUUGAAUAGCAAUAUCUGCAAAGUAGCCUUAUGAUCUCUCGUUCAUAUAUGCGCAGAGAAAAAACAAGAAACUCGUCCACUUACCUGUUGGCAGUUUUCUUCUCCUGAACAUUUACCAUGACAUGAGCCAUUAACCAAAUGCUCUGAACGCUCUGACUUGUUGUCUCCCUUAACCGCCAAAGAAAACCAUUUGGCGCAUACGUCCAUGCUUUCUGGACUGUGAGCUCCAUCCAGGUAAAAUACUAAAUCUCCCGAAGUCCUAGUUUCAAUAAACUGAUCAGGUACGACCUGUGCUCGUCCUUGCAAACUCGUUGUAGCUAACCCUUUGAUGAAUUUCUCAGGCAAAAUACUCUGACACAAAGAAAUGAUCAACUUCAGAUAACGAGAGAAGGAACUAGAUGCAGGCUAAAAAGGUAAACAAAGGGCGCGAAAGAGCAGCUUACCAUCUGAGUCAGAGUGGGAACUUCAAGAUUACCAAUUUGCUGAAGCCAGGUAGAGGCAAGGGAAACUGCUAGACGAGCAUUGAGAUAUUGGUGCUCCCCAUCAAGCCCAAGUUUCUGACCACUUAACUGCCUUGCGGUUAGUGGUUGCACCCCUUCGAGAUUCACCUGGCAAUACAACUAGCUAGUUGUUGACGCAUACAACCUAACAUACUACAAUCAACCAAGCAGCACAAACAUUUGACGUACAUCUAAUUCAGAAGCUUUCUCUUCAAGGACACGCAUGGCUUCAUCAGGUUGAGGUACUGUGAAAGCUGGAACUCCAGGCUAAAAUAUGAACUAGGAAGAUUAGGCUAACUAUGGAGAGUAUUACUAAGUUACAGAAAAAAUGAAUUAUCCAUUUUAAAGAGAUAUAGACAAGAGUUAUAGCCACCUUGAAAAUUCCAGCCUUCUCACCAGCAAUUUUGCCAAGUGUAUCGCCUAAGAUGCAUCCCAAAGAGAAGAAACAAGUCAUGACAUAAAAUUAAAAAAGGAAAUAAAACUCAAAAAUAUGCUUGACAUGUAAUGAAAACAUUUUCAUAGCAGCAUUGGUAUGCCAUAUGCAUAAGAGGAUUCCAAUUACAAACCUAGAAUUUCCAUGUGGUCAUAUCCAAGUGAAGAAAUACCACACACCACAGGUUUCUGAACCUGCAACAUGUCACCAGUGAACCCCCCAUGAGAACUUAUUUAGUCAAAACAUAAGACUACUACUAACAAUUUGGAGUAUUUUGAUGAUAUCAUUACAAAAUUUAGUGUUUAAUAACUAAAAAUAUGGUUCCGAUACUAUCUAUGGUGGUUGUCUUAUGAACGCUAACCUAGUUGUUAGGUCAAAAUGGAUACAUCUUAUUAGGGAAAAUCGCAUUUUCAGCCGAGAAAGAGGUGAAACUUACCGCAUUGGUGGCAUCGAACUUCCCACCUAAUCCUACCUCCAAUAUAGCAGCAUCUACCUGCAUAAAGAAGUAUUAAUAAAUAGUAGAAGUUUCACCUCUAUCAUGUAACUUGUAAGAAAGUACUCAAAUAAAGGUGAAAGAUUGGCAUAUCAAACCUCUUCUGCAGCAAAUAUUUUAAACGCUAGCAAUGCAAGGAAGCGGAAAUAUGUAGGCAUUGGUAUCUCCUCGUUAGUUCUCUCCUGCAAAUCAAAUAGUCAACAACCUUUUGUUUUGAGUCAAAAGUUAGUUGCAUCUUCAUUUGAAUCUAUGCACACUGACACCAUACCUUAAGCCUGUUAUAGCACCACCAGAAAUAGACCAAAAAUUUCUCCUCGCUAAUGUCCUUACUGAAGAAAUGAAACACAUCAGCUAUAGCGAGCGAAACAGAACGAUUUUAAUUAAAGAAGAAUAAACUCUAGCUUCAUUGCCUCGUUUGCUGAUUAUGGAUAUAUGAACGUAACAUCGAGAAAUAAAAACAGAGUAUUUAACCAUAUGCCAAAACUAGUAUGUUUUAAACAAACAAAAAUAAAUGAUUAUGCCAACGAGAUAUUGUUUGCAAUCAGGUUUCUGCUUCUAUAAGCACAUAUCUAUAUUUUUCUUUCUCAGAAUAUUUUAAAAAAGCAUAGAUAAACUUACCCGUCUAAGCGAAAUCUUUCACGGACAUCAAUGAGGUGAGGUGAAGUGAAGAGUCCAGUUCGGAAGCCAUAGCUUCGUAAAAUAGACUCAGUAAAAGCACAUGUGGAUCCCUUCAUGCCAGAUAAAUAAGAAAAUAGAAUAACGUUAUCCGUUGGAUCAGAAAGUAAUCAACCAUGCAGACAAUAAAACACUUUGAUCAAAAAAAGUUCACUGAGCGUUUGAAUCAAAUAGUAAUCAACCAUGCAGGAAGGUACAUAACCAAACUCCUAAUGACAAAUAGUAACUAACCGUGCAAACAAUAAAACAGUUUCAUCAGUGUUCUAAAUAUUGGUCUAGGCGUUCAAAAAUUCGGGUAUGAAUGAAACUAUUUUUUCAAACCGAUUUUUUUAGGCGUUCAAAAAUGAUGUCUGCUAAACAAUAAUCUUCUAUAAGACGCCUAACCAGGCGUAGCUAUUUCCUAGACAACAACUAAGAUAGACUUGCAUGAAGCCAAACAGAUAAACAAACUCCUUAUGACAAAAAAGUACUUGUUGUUAUACUACAAAACAUCUCGAGAAGUGGAAGUUGUUGUUAUUACCUUGCCUUUGGUUCCAGCUACAUGGAUAACUUUCAUCUUUAAGAUGUCUUCUUCCAGGUCAAGUAGCUGCAAACAGAUUACGAAAAAGCCUAAGCAGAGAGAAAAACAAAAGGUGCAGAACAAAAAAAAAAGAAUAGAUAAAGACCUUAAGAUAAUCAAAGACAAGCUCGAAGCGAUCCCCUUUGUUGCUCUUAUCAGCACGACUUCGCUUCGUUAUCAAAGAAGACAGAGCAGCCAACGCUUCCUCGUACGAAUCUCCUGUAACUAAAAGAAAACAAAUGAGCUUGAUCCAAAGAUAUUAGUUUACUUGUAUCGAGCGAGGAUGAAGGUAAACCUGAAGCUGCUGCCAUGUCGAUCUGGUUUCUUAACCAAACGAAUCUGAAACGCGAAAAGUGUGAUAUCAAAAAGAAUGUACUCCGAGAUUCUCGGAAAGGAGAAUAUGAGAAGAGAGAUGCAAGUUGUGGUUGGUGGUGGGAACCGUAGUGAGGUAACAGAGAAACGCAGAGCUCAAAACGGCACGAUGUGGUACGAGUUACAAACGAAACAGCAAACAUUUUGUUAUCUACGUUGCACUACUACUCUUUGUUGGCGGCUUUGGCUAGUCACUCUACUUAACAAAGAAGACCAUAAUUCAAAUAAAACGUCUGGGUGGUGUAGUCGGUUAUCACGCUAGUCUCACACACUAGAGGUCCCCGGUUCGAACCCGGGCUCAGACACAUGUACCUUUUAAUUAUUUUUUUUCCACAUCAGAACGACAUGUAGGCAAUAUUUUUAAAAUCCGAUCAGAACCUGAACCGAAUAUUUAUUUGGGUUGAUGUUCAAUAUGAUUCGAACAGAUUAAAUUUUUGGUUCAAUAACCUGAUUCAAUAUUUUUUAGAUAUAUAAUUUUAAAAAUAAAAUUAAUAAAUAUGAUAUAUAAUUAAAAUAUAAAUAAACAUCAAAUAUUAUAAAUAUAAACGAUUUUUUGUUCAUAUGAUUUAGUUUAUAAAUUUUUGAUAAUUUUAAUGGUUUUAAUUAAAUUCAAUAAUUUUGAGAUACAAUCUGACUAUUUAAUCGGUUUAUGGUAGAAUUAUUAUUUUUAAAUCCAACCCAGUUAUAUGAUCGGUUUAUAGUUGAACUAACCACUGGCCCGGUCUGGUUUUAAAAAUUCCAAUUCGGACACACAGACAUUCACUACUCGUUUUUGUAAUUUUUUCCCGACAGUUUGCCACGUCAUCAGAACUACAUACACGUAGGUGUGGGGGCACGAUUGACCCUAGGGCGAAAAACAAAAAGCUUUGAUUAAACGAAUCGAAAUCAAAUUCGAAUCCGAAAACUCAAUCGGAGCUCUUUGGUUUUUCUCCGUCGUCGGAGCUGAAAUCGAUUUCAAUCUCGUGUUGGCUCAGUUUCAGAGUGAUAUGGAUUGGGACAACGUAGCAGCUGAGGAUGUGAUCGAGGCCCUGAGAGAAGUCGAAUGGUCGACGCCUCCUCGUUCCUUUGGAGAGUUCUUCUCUAGAUUCGCGUUCCCUCGCUCUUUCUCUAAGUGGAAGAGCCGUCUCAAAUGCAAUCUCUACUAGUAAUCAUUUUUCACUCUUUCUCUAUCUUCAAAUUCUGAGCUUUUUGAUUUUGAUCUUAUGAUCUUCAUUAUGUUGCAGCUACCGGACGAAUUACUUUAUCCUGGUGAUAUUCGUUCUGGGUUAGUGUAAAAAAUCUUGUCUUUUUGGGUUUUAAUUGAAGAUCUUGUUGAUAGAUGUUUUUUUCUUGUGGUGGUGACUCAGGACUUGCUUUGAUUACAAGACCAUUGGCUAUUGUGGGUGCUGCUUUUACGGCUUUAAGCAUAGCUUUCCUUAACGACAGGUAAUUGAUUUGUAUUAGUUUCUACUUAUAUCUCUCUGCUUUGCUAUACGAUUGUGGCUUCACGGACGGCAACAUAAAAGUUGGUAUGAGUUUGGAUGAUGCUGUAUACAAUGGUUGCCACUUGAUGCUCAGUUUUUUUUUCUGUAUUGAAAUAGAUAAGUUUUAUGGUGUUUCUAGGUGGCUUUUCUAAUUUGUAUAUGCAUAGAUUCGAGGAUGAUCGGCUCCUUUUUCUUCAAUGUUUGCUCUUGAACUGGACUCUGAGUACUGAGUUCGGUAGCUUUUAUGGUCUUAGUUCGUUCAUAUUUGAGUGUUUCAUCCCGGUUUUGAUUUUUGUUCAUGUUAUUAUCCGGCAUCCGUCUUAGUUUGUUUUUAAUUAGAGUUUAUCCGAAAGUGUUGUAGUGUGUGCUAGUGUUCUGCCUAGCAGAAUCUAUUGGGUGUUGAAGCUUAAAGGUGUUGUCUUUUGCAGUUUUGCGGCUACUUUUAACGAGAAGUUUAUAAGGACUAUUAGGCUUUUCUCUCCACACUUGGCCGCAAAAAUGAGGCCUCCCCACAUGUGAGUUUCUUUUUUAGUUAUUUACCAUUGGAAAUAUAAAGAGAGCUCUUAGACAACUCUAUAUAAUGUGGGCACUUGCAGGCCUGUCAUCCGUGGGAGAUCAGCAGCAAGAAAGACAGUAUACGUUUGUGGGAAACCACGAUGGGUAUUUGUCGUUAUUUUCUUAACAGGUAACUUGAAUACUCACCAUCCCUUGAUAUGUAUUAAUGCUAACAAAACUGAUCGUGUCUUGGUUUGCUUAUGUAUUAUAGCCAGUCUUGUCAUGUGGUUCUCUUCCUGCGGCUUGUUGUGGGUCCUCUAUGCACUUCUCACUUCCCUCACAUGUAAGUUAUACCACUUGUUUAAAAUCGUACAUGUCCUUUGAUGGAGUUUUGUUUCUUUAACAUGAGAUUUUCUCUCAACAGUGGUUGUAGUUCACGCAAGCGUGAGAACACCAAAUCUCAAGGCACGCUUAAACACAUUCCGUGAAGAGUUUCGAGCUGUCUGGCGAAACUACAGUGAACUUUAAGUCACAGGUUACUACAGAAUCUAGAAGCAAACCGAGCAGCCAUCAAGUUGUCAAGUAACCAGCAGCCAUCAUGUUGUCAAGUAACCAUGGUCAGAUGAUGCAGACAUACUUGACCAAGUUACUUUAUUUGCUGUAGUUAUGCUCAUACAUUUCAAGACUGUGUUAGUGAUUUUACUUUACAAUACUCACUUUUUUUUAUUAUAUAAGUAGCAUAAUCUUUACCUGAAUUAUAACAUUCAAUCAUUCUCUUCCCAUUGUUUGUAUCUGUAUAUACAAACUGGCACAUAACUGGCGCAUAAUGAAGAUUUUGAAAAUGCAAAUGUGAGAAUAUUAUUAGUAACAAAGGCUAAUGGGAAGAAACCACACGAACGGGUUCUUGCUUUUAUUAUUAGUAAAGUUGCGAUGAGAGGUUUUUGGUUACAUGGUGUAACUGAAGCCAUUGACUGUGAAUCCUCCAUCAACAGAAAUGACCUGACCGGUGAUGUAAGACGCUGCGGGAAGGCAGAGGAAAGCAACCAGCGACGAGACUUCCUCUGGUUCUCCAACGCGCCCAAGUGGGGUACGCGAAACUAUCGCCUCCUCAAAACCUUCCUUCUCGAGUAGCUGCAUCAUGCCGAUACCAUAACACAUAGUUUAAACGUUUUGUUUCGGUUUGCUUUCUAUGCCAACCUCUACUAAAUGAAACAGUGUUCCAUAUGCAGUGUUUUAGGGAGUAUAGGAAGAGAUACCGGUUUCACAAGUGAGGUCUUGAUGUACCAUGGAGCCACGCAAUUGGUUCUGAUGUUGUCCCCUGCCCACUCACAAGCUAGAUUCCUUGUAAGCUGAUUAAGUGCUCCUGUGAAAAAAAAAACAACCGUAAACUCAUCUACUUUUUCACCCUCGUUUAUUAGUGGUUUCUCUGAAUCUAAGAUGGGCUCACCUUUAGUUGCACCAUAGACAGAUCCACUACUAACAUGCACUAGGCCAGCUACAGAGGAGAUGAACACAAUGCUCCCCACCCCAGAUGCUUUUAAAAGAGGAUGUGCAAUUUGGGAAAAAUGGAAAGCGGAUUCCAAGUUGGUCGACAUGAUUUUAGCAUAAUCCUCACUCGAGUACUCGACCGUUGGCUUCCUUAAAUUAGUUCCAACGUUGUUUAUCUGAACACAAAUCAAAUCAAAUCAAAUUGAGAAACUUUCAUAAGGGUAAAGAGAAUGAUUCAAACUCCUGAUGGAUCACUAUAUGGUCCAACAAGCAAAAGCUAUAAGCCUUAAAGUUAAACUAUACUGAAAAACGACACAAAGCUAAAGUCUCAACCAGUUCAAGGCUAGGACCAACCAAAUAGAUUGGUUCGAUGGUUGUUCUGUAGAUUUAUAAGCAUGAUCAAUGGGGGUUCUUAGGAUAGGGUUCUUAGCGGAAUAUAAGAACUUGUCUCUUAACUUUUAACUAAAAAAGCUAAGAACCGGCUCUUAAAUAAGAGAUUUAAGAACCGGUUCUUAGUUUUUUUAGUUAAAAGUUAAGAGACGGGUUCUUAUAUUCCGCUAAGAACCCCACCCUAAGAACUCUCCGUUAAUCAUGGUCUAAGGAUGCUGAGCUAUUGCAAUAAACGAUUAAGAGAAUGAUUCAACCCACUAUAUAUAACAGAUAGAAACUUAAAUGAGUCCAACAGAGCUAAUGUAUUAAUUAUUUAAGACAAAACCAAAACAAGUCUCGACCAGUUCAACGGUAAGACCAACCAAAUAGAUUGGUUCAAUGAUUGUUCUGUCGGAUAAGGAACUUAUAAGCUAAUGCAAUAAACGAUUUCGUGAUCAAUGAUGUGUGGAAGAAGAAGCUUACAAGGAUGUUGAGCUUGCCGCUAAAGGCAGAAGAAACCUCCUGAAUCAACUUCUCCCUCUGAUCCCUAACCGAAGCAUCGCAAACCGAACCGGUUACCACUAAACCAUUGGACUUCCAAUCAUCCAAGCAUGAUUCGAGCUCCUCCUGGUUCCUUGAACAUGUAUGAACCGUUGCACCGAAUCUCGCUAGCUCCUCCACGACCGCUCGACUUAAGAUUUCAAAUUUAGAGAGGAUCAACAGAUUUUAUCAAUCAAUCACCAAAUCAUGCAAACAAAAAAACACUCAAAUCGAAAUUAAGAAUCGGAUCUAAAUUGAUGCUAUACCCGAUUCCGCGAGUACCACCGGUUACCAGAGCGGUUUUUCCGGCGAGGGACCAUCUCUUGUCAUUAUUCUCCAUCGUCAAUCUCCUCCACAAUCACACUGUGCGUCUGUGAGACUCUGAGUGAAGUGGUUAGCUCGACAGUCGUGUGGGUAGUUUCUUAUUGGGCCCCGGCUUACUAAUGGCCCAUCUUAUGGCCCGUUGAAUCCGUUAUAGUCUAUCAUGAAAUUCAUAAUAAACGUUAUUAGAUGUAGACCUUAAAAAAAAUCCUCAAGUCAUUUAACUAUAAGUCAUUUAAGUAAUUUUUGCUUUUACGUCGAUAACUAGUGAAAUUUUAAAAAUUUGUUAUAAUUUGAAUGGUUAAUGAUUUUUAUUUUCUAUUUGUUUAAACUAGAUCUAAAAAUUAAAAGUAAAUUCAGAACAAAUUAACAUCACUUGCCAAAUAAUCUAAUAAAUAUUAUAAAAAAUAACUUAUGGUAAAUAAUUUUAGAAUUAUAGAAAAAUUAAUAAUGCUUGAUCAAUUAUUUUUAAAAUUUAUAAACUAUAUAAUAUAAUGAACUAUUUAAAAAUAAAAUAAAAUAAAUACAUUAAUUUUCUAUUUUACAAUCAUGAAUUAUAUUCUUAUAUGAUUUUAUAAUAACUAAUAUUUAUGAUCGCUUACAAAAAUAUAAAUUCUCAUAUAUAUAUAUAUAUAUAUAUAUAUUAAGUAAAAAAUCAUUUAAGUGACUUUUAUUUAUGUGUUGAUCACUGGUGAAGUCUUAAAAAAUUAUUAUAAUUUGAUUGGUUGAUGAUUUUUAGUUUAUAUUUGUUUAAAUUAGAUUUCAAAAUUAAAGGUAAGUUUAGAACCAAUUAACAUCAUUUGCCAAAUAAUCUAUAGAAUAUUACAAAUAAAUAUGGUAACUAGUUUUUGUAACUAUAUAAAGACUAAUAAUGUUUGAUCAAUUAUUUUUUAAUAUUUAUAAACUAUAUAAUAUGAUGAACUAAUUUUUUAUAAAAUAAAUACAAUCUUAUAUAAUUUUAUAAUAACUAUUAAAAUCUUAUAGAGUCUAUACAUGCUUUAUAAUCAUUAAUAUUUUUUAAAAGUUAAAAAAUUCUUAGGCAUUGCUUACAAACCUAAUCAAAACGCCAGGUUGAAGCAAUAUCACAUUUUGUCGGAGAUUUUACAAACACAACAUUAUCUAUCUGAAAUAUCGUCAAAUGUAUAUAUAACAAUAUAUAUCAAUUUUAUAUAACUAGGUUUGUGGUAUGUAUAACAAUAUCAAUAGUAUAUAUAUAAUCAAUGUUGUCAUAUACAAAAAGUUCAAAUUAUGAACAUUGUAGAAGAUUGUUUUUCUAGUUUAAACAGUUUCAGUAUAUUAGUAGUAUAGUACUAUUGAUAAAACUAUUUUUUUUAAAAUAAGAAAAAUUUAAGUCGAAAACAAGAAAAAUAUAGUAUAACAGAGAAGAGGUAUGUUUUUAUUAUUAUUUUUUUUUUGAUUACCAGGCGGGGUUCGGGCCUCCGGCCCUAAUCCCCUCCUAGACCCGGAGCCAACCUGCGUCUGUACCAUUACGGCCCUGGACACUCCUCCCCGCCCGAGACUCGAACUCGUGACCUCCCAGACCGGAGUCUGAGGUGUUACCAGUUGAGAUAGCUCGUCCGGUUAAGAGGUAUGUUUUUUCUCUUAGAAAACACACACACUAAUUGUUUUGAGUUACCUACGCUCUCGUUGCCCGAUUUGCUUAAACGAUGGCAGCCUAAUCCAGUUGGGCUGGCACUGCAAGAACGAGCUUGCAUUGGUUCAUGCUGAAUGCAUGAAUUUUUCUAAAGAAAACCACGUAAGUCUUAUCUAAUAUAUAUACACACUUAGAUAAACUCAUUUUUAAAUUUUGAGUAGGAUCUGCAAGAUAUGCCAAAUUGAGGCUCGGAAUUUGGGAAACGAGGAUAAAAGUGCCAUCGUUAUAACUUGGGCAAUGAAAUUAAGUUUUAUGUCAUUACCCUUGUUUCUUUCUUUAUCAUUAAGUUUUUAUGUUAUUUUAUGUAACUUUUUCUUUCUUACGCAAAGACACUCAGUGUAAUUGUAACAUGUGUUAUAAAUAUAUGACUUACUUAGUGGACAAGUGACUCAAUUUAACAUGUAAAACACAGUAUAAAAGAUAUAUAACAAAACAAUAUUUUCAAAACAUCAAAAUAAAAUUUUAAUUAUUUUUCUUACUAAAAUCGUAUCAGUAUAUUAUUAGUAUAGUACUACUGAAAACAAUUAAAGAAAAAAUAAAAAAAUCUCAAAAAGUAAGAAAAACAUAAGAAAAACAAUUAAAAACGCAAGAAAAAAAUUAAAUUAAUACGAACAAAACAGGAUUAAACAUAACAAUAUAUAUCAAUCUCAUAUAACUAAUGAUUUGUGAUAUGUAUAACAAUAUCAAAAUUAUAUAAUCAAUGUUAUUAUAUAUAAAAUAUUCAAAUAAUAAACAUAUUAAUUGAUUAUUUUUCUAGUUAAAACAUAUUGAGUAUAUCAGUAGUAUAGUACUAUUGAUAAAAUAAUAAUAAAAAAAAACUUAAGAAAAAGCAAGAAAAAUAUAAGCUAACAUGAUACAAAAUUAGUACAUGAACAGUCGUGAUAAAAAAAAAACUACCGUUAGUUAUAACAUAUCUAAGAUCAAGAGAGCCAGAACGUAGGACAUUUUAUGAAAAGUUGCAUUAAUAUUUAUUUUAACUAAAAAGAAAAUCUAAAAAUAUAUCAUCCAACGGAGAAAUUUUUUGAAGUAUAACUAACUAACUAACAACAAAUGUGAUACAAAUAACACAUGUUUAUAAUAAUUCUUCAACCACACAAUGUUUAUCAAACAUAAAUACAAUACCAAAAACAAAUACCAAAAUACUCAUCAAAUAUUAUAUAAAUUUACCCAAACAACAAAAAGAGAAAAUAACAAAAAAUACAAUUACAUAGCACGAAUAAACACCCAAAUAACAUUUUUAUACUAACCAAUUUUCUUUUGCAUAUUUACAGAUAUGAAUAAUCCUAUUUUACUACAUAGCCAAAUGAUCCAUGUUAUUAUCAUUUAUUAGUAACUAUAUAAUUUUUUGUGCUAUACAUAUAAAUAAAAAAUUGAAUAAUUUAGUUAAAACUAAAAUUUUAUGUGGCUGAAUAAUAAAAAAUAACUAAAAAUAACUUUUUUGUCAAAAAAAAAACUAAAAUAUAAAAAAUAUUUGUUUUUACUUUUUGUUUGACUGAAAAAUAUUUUAAUUCUAAUUCUAAUUAAAUUUUAGUUAUAACAGAGUUUAUGUUAUUCAUAUUAACAUCUACUCUAUGCUAAAGAUUAAUGUAAAAGGAACACUUUUGUUUAUCAUAUAUUUAUAUUUUAAGAAUAUGAUUUUUUUUUGUCAACUUUUCGUUUUAUAAAUAAAACCCAACAUGGUCCAGUUACAGACAGUACAAAGUUCUGAUAGAUACAUUCAGUCCAAGUUGAGCCCAAAUUUAAAGAUAAACAUUAAUCGCAUGUGUAACACGUAUACAACACGUGUUCUCUUCCUAGGCUCCACCGUCUAAGAGCGAGAAACGCCACCGAAACUCUCGCCGGCCGAUCACGUUCACCCUCUCCGACUCCCUUGAAACUGCUUGUUCGCUUCAAUCUCCUUCAAUCGCCACCAGUUCAUCAAGGACAUAUUCUCCAACCAUUAGAGUUAACCUUCAACGUGUUGAAGGCCUUCGAAAAAACCCGAGACAGAACAUUGUUGGAACGCUAGCCUGAACAGCAGCUCCGACUCUUCUAUUUUUGCUUCGAAUCUCCCUAGUAUCUUCUGACCCUCUUGUCUUGAUCUUCAUGGAUACUUCUUUGCAUAUGAGAAGAUUGAUUCCAAAUCCGAAUCAAGAAUUGAACUUUUCUAGUGAAAGGAUUGUCUAUCCUUUGGAACAGAUGGAUUGAAGAUGAAAUCAGAAGGAGAAGAGCUAAAACACAACAAAAAGUCGCCAACGCGAAAUUGAAAAUCGCUAACGAGAGAUUGGAAAUCGCCUAAGCGAAAAACAUAAUCGAUCAAAAGAUCGAAAAGCUAUUUUACAACAAAAAAAAAUCUCUUCUCCUCUAAAAAAUUCCCUCUUGUGAAAGAUAGGAGUGUGAGAAUAAGAGAGAAUUUUCUCUUUCUAAAGAGAGGAGAGAGAAAAUGACUGAACACACUAUAUUAUCUCUGGCCAUUUUAAGAAUAUGAUUAUAUCAAAUAUGUAGAUAUUUUGAGUAUAUUUUUGUUUAUUGGUUAAGAUUUAUUAAUUCGAUCAAAAUUUAUUUAUUUUAGUUAUGUCAGUAGACUGGUUGUUAAUAGUAAUUCUGUUUAAAUCUAAACAAUUUUGUUAAUUGUAGUUGUUAAUACAAUUAUUCACUCUCCUCCAGAAUUCAUCUGCGAUAGUGAAGCGGUUGGCUCAACAGUCGUGGGGGAUGUUUUUUAUUAGGCUUCGGCUCACAAAAGGCUCAAUUUAUGGCCUACUGAAUCCCCAGGCCCAUUAAAGAAUAAGAUUCGGCCCAUCUUGAAGCGCUCGAGCGAGAUAGAGAGGUGAGAGCGAGCAUCUAUAAACAAAAACGAAGUUAAUGUACAAUCUGCGAAAUGCUCUAAAACGCUGUCAUCGCCCCGAUCAGUCUUCACGUCUCUUCUUCUUCGUCUUCGUUGUUACCAUCGAAUCGAGAUUUCAGUUCGCCGGAGAAAAACUCGCCGAAUAACAAAUCGGAAGUAGCUGCCCAGCUCAAUCUCUGGUGAGGCAAAGUUUCUAUUCUCUCAUCGGUGGAUGGUUUAUUGACCUCAAUAUUGUGAUUCGUGAAGUGAUGAAGAUGGAUGAUAGAUCCUCUUCCUGUGUUUCUCCUUGAAAUGAUUAGGAUAUGAUUGAAAAAUACGAAAUCUAGGUUUUCUAUCUGCUCAUUUCCGUUUUCUGAGUGUAUAUGUUUGUCCUUGGCACCUUGCACUGUAUCAGGUGGUUAAGAUUAUUCAUCGUAGCAUAGAUAGGUUCGUAUGAUUCGUUUAUUGUUUCAAUCAACACACCUUCCUUAGGCUUCCAUGGAAUAAGAAUAUAAGGUAGGAUGAUAUUGCCAAGUCUGCGCAUAUAUGUGAUAUUUUCUGAUAUACCAAAGUUAUAGCGGUAAUUGAUUAUGUGUUGACUUGAUAAUGUGGUAUUUUCUGAUAAACCAAAUUUAUAGCGGUAUUUGUAUGCAAGUCUGGCGUUUUGUAUGACUAGUGUGAGUUGUGUGGCAACUGGCAACUGAAGUUUUGGAUUUUGACGUUUUAAACAGAAAUCAACCCGGGUAGUGAGUGAGCUGGAGUGAGGUGUCCAUCAUGCAGAGUUAGGAACUUAACUCUCCCAUUAGGCUAUCACCUUUUUUUCGGUUACUACUUGUGUAACUCCCUCUCUUGCCUUUCUGCUGUAUGAGAUCUAAUUAUAUUCGCUGGUAGAAUUUGUACAUUAUUAACUGAUUACUGCGCUUUUGUCAUUGUUAAUAUCGUUCCAUCUCUGUUUGGAUCUUGGUGUUUGAUUAAGAAUUGUGGGUUGAAUUUAUUGUGAAAAUCGUUAAUUAUAUGUUUCUCCUGCAGCUUGUUUGAUUCAGUGCUAUUGUAAUGAUUAAUUCCCUUCUUUUGUUGUCACUCAGCACUUUAUAAGUCAGGAUACUCUAAUUGAACUGAAACCUUGUCGAAAUAUUCUUGUUAAAACAGUAGUGGUAUCUAUUUUUUUUCUACCUUUUUGGUCAGAUUCUGCUUCGUUACCGAUGGAGAGCUUGGCGCAACUUGAGGCAUUAUGCGAGAGAUUAUACAACUCACAGGAUUCAGCUGAGAGGGCUCACGCUGAAAAUAGUCUGAGAUGCUUUUCCGUGAAUACGGAUUAUAUAUCACAAUGUCAAUACAUUCUCGACAAUUCGUCAAAACCUUAUUCCUUGAUGCUCGCUAGCUCGAGUUUGUUGAAGCAAGUGACGGAUCACACCCUUCCGCUGAAUCUUCGCCUUGAUAUCAGUAAAUUUCAUAUGCAGUUCUCCAUCCUGAAUGACUAGAUGUAUCUGUUUUCUGGCGUUUAAUAUCUUUUUUUUUCUGGUGUUGUGUUGGUUUUCCUAGGGGCUUAUAUAGUGAAUUAUCUGGCUACAAGAGGACCGAAGAUGCAGCCAUUUGUUAUUGCUUCGCUCAUUCAACUGCUUUGCCGGCUCACAAAGUUUGGAUGGUUGGAUGAUGAUAGAUUCAGGGAUGUGGUUAAGGAAUCAACAAACUUCUUGGAGCAGGUGGUGCAUUUUCUUUGGUAUAUGGUUUCUGUAUUUACAUUGUUUCUUAGUGCCUUGUGGACAUUAUAUUGCAUAAACCCAUGUGGAGGAUACUUUUGUAGAAGUUGCAGAUUUUUAACACGAGCUUGCUGAAAUAUGUUUCUUUCAUAAAUGGUGUUUGAAUAGGGUUCCUCGGAUCACUAUUCUAUUGGAUUAAGAAUUCUGGAUCAACUAGUGCAGGAGAUGAAUCAAGUAAGAUGAACAUUGUAGAUAUAUAUUGCGUCUCAAGAAUAUUGCCCAUUUAUUUACUUUCGUGAUAUACUUACUGACAUUUAUUCAUCUAUCUUUUUCUCAAUUCUUAGCCUAAUCCAGGGCUGCCGUCCACACGUCACCGGAGGGUUGCCUGCAACUUUAGGGAUCAAUCCUUAUUUCAAAUAUUCCGAAUAGCUUUGACUUCAUUAAGCUAUCUGAGAAAUGAUGGUAAUAUUAUGAACUUAAUCUUGUAAUGCAUUGAUGUCAUCAACCUAUAUUGUUGGUUGCGCAUGUGUGAAUUUUGCUGGCUGUAAAUGAAUUGAUACCACUUUAGGAAAUUCUUUCUGUUGGAUGGGUCAUCUUUGUCAUUUUUUUUCAAUAUUUCGCAUCAUGGCAACUUAGAAAACCAUCUUGAAACAUAUACUAGUGGAAUGUUUUGAAAUCGUGCGGUAUGCUGCUGUCUUUGUCGAUGUCUUUCUGUUUGUCUAGGCAUAGGCUUGGGAAUUUCGUUUUCUUUUCUCUUUAGUUCAAUAGUAAUGAGUCAGACAUUGUCUUUUAACCAGCUACUGGGCGUUUACAAGAAUUGGCGCUUUCCCUUUCACUGAGGUGUGUAUCGUUUGAUUUCGUUGGAACUUCAAUUGAUGAAAGCACCGAAGAGUUUGGCACAGUUCAGGUAGAACAUUAAUAUCGUGUUAUCGUUUUCCUGUUUGUCAACGCUUAUUGCCUAAGUAUUUCUGGUACUCGUUUUUCAUGCUGUUAUAACUUCUUGUGUAACUGAUAAUUCUUAGAUUCCAACGUCGUGGAGGUCAGUAUUGGAGGAUUCCUCCACGCUGCAGAUAUUUUUCGAUUAUUAUGGUAGUACAGAGUCACCUCUUUCGAAAGAGGUAUGUCCAUAUCCAUAUUGUCCUCUCUUUUUUAUUCUGGGAGAGAAAGGCAUAUAAGCAUUUUUCAGUAAAAUGAAACGUGAUUUGCUUUUUUCUUCAUUUUUAUCCAUUUUUAGUGUGAGGUAACGUGUUUCAAUUGCAGUAAUAUCAUUGUGGAUCUGAUUUGUAAAUGUACAGUUUGGAUGGAAUAGGUAGUUAUAGUCUUAUAGAUGAUUUGGAAUUAGCUAUUUGUUAAUGUUCCUCUGUUUUAAUUUCUAGGCACUUGAGUGCUUGGUGCGAUUGGCUUCUGUAAGACGUUCUCUGUUCACAAAUGAUGCUACCCGCUCUACGUUUUUAGCACAUUUGAUGACUGGAACCAGAGAAAUUCUUCAAACAGGAAAAGGUAUGUUGGAUGUAUUGUACUGUCGGAUUUACUGUAAAAAUUGAGCUCACUGUAUGCAACUGUCUCAUUUACCAAUUUGUAGCCCUUCAUGACUGAAAUUCCAGCAUCUUAGUUAUGUAGUCUGCUAACAUUGUAGCCUACGUAUGUGUUAGUUUUGUGUUUGAAUGCAUAUUUACCCCACUGAUCUUACUUAGCUGAUCCCGGCCCCUUAUCUUCGUCAAUACAAAUUGCUUUUGAUGAAUCAGGUCUUGCUGAUCAUGAUAAUUACCAUGUGUUCUGCCGUCUACUUGGGCGUUUUAGGUUGAAUUACCAGGUAAUAUUCUUUAUAGUUCCCACAUUACUGUUUGUCUAAUUUUAUGUGUCAUAGCUAGAAUUUUAUGUUACGAUCCAUGUACAUGGGUAAAUGCACACUUGUUCCUUUUUGUAAUAUGUCACAGUCGGACAGUCGUUACUGUUCGUGAUUACUGAGGCUACAUAUACUUUUGAAUUCAGUGAUAGCUCAGAGACAGUAUGUACUAAAGUUUUUUUGUAAAUUUAACAUUGUUCUCUUGGGGGAAUACUUACCUCUCUUGCCCAAUUGUAGUUGACAAUAAGGGAUUGGAGCACUUGUGCUUUGUAUUACUUAGAUUUCUAUCUGGACGUCCUUUAGUAAUGGUAUAUAUAACAGUAUGUAUGAAUUCAUCUGCAGCUUUCGGAGCUUGUGAAGAUGGAUGGCUACGGUGACUGGAUACAGUUGGUGGCAGAGUUUACACUAAAAUCUCUCCAGUCAUGGCAGGUAAAUUUUCGCUACUUAUCUCCUUAAAGCUCGUGCCAUUCAACAUGGUCGAUGUUAGUAUAGCUUAAAUGGUUAGCUGAGAUGGUAUCUAGUUUGCAAAUCUGUAAGAGAUUUUUUCUUUCAGUGGGCCAGUAGCAGCGUGUACUACCUUCUUGGAAUGUGGUCCAGAUUAGUUGCAUCUGUCCCAUACUUGAAGGGUGAUUCACCAAGUCUACUAGAUGAAUUUGUACCUAAAAUUACGGAAGGUUUUAUUAUCUCCAGAUUCAAUUCUGUACAGGUAUAUAUCACCGCUUAGUCUGUAAGGUUCCCUGUUCAAAAUUGUAGUUUCUUUGAUAUGUAUUCCUCUUUCCAGGCUAGUGUCCCCGAUGAUGAUCCGACUGAUCAUCCUUUGGAUAAAGUUGAAGUUCUGCAGGAUGAGCUGGAUUGCUUUCCUUACCUAUGCAGAUUUCAGGUUAUCCUUUUUCUGAAUUUGUGUGUCAUGCGGUACCCUUGUUUCGCUCACGUGUGUCGUUGGAUAAUGUUGUAUCUUAACUUAAUACAAUUAAACUGCAUCUGAGGUUCUUAUCAUGCAGUAUGAAAGAACUGGCACGUAUAUAAUAAACACAAUGGAGCCUCUUCUGCAAUCAUAUAGGGUAAAGCCAACUGUUAUUAUUUGUUGAGCUUGUUGCCGCUCUGUCGAUGUUUGUGUCUUAGUCGCUCUAGCUGAGUGAUUGUGUAACAGGAAAGAGCGCACCAACAGUUUGCUGACAAUUCCGAACUGGCACUUAUUGAAGCGAAAUUGUCAUGGGUUGUUCAUAUUGUUGCCGCUAUUGUUAAAAUCAAGCAGUGCAGCGGUUGUAGGUAAGUUGCUAUGCUAUCCUGAUUCUUGAGAUUUUUUUGCUUUAGGCUGUUUGAGGAACAAAACAAUAUAUGAAGUAUGAACAAUGGAAAUUAAAUAUAUGGUGCAGUGUGGAGACGCAAGAGGUGCUUGAUGCUGAACUCUCUGCUCGUGUUUUGCAGCUAGUAAAUGUUAUGGACAGUGGACUGCACACACAGGUAUACAUCUCUGCACACAUUAAUUAAAAACAGAAAAUGUUUGUAGUCUUGUAGAUGAUCUCGUUGGAUUUAGUACUUCCAUUAUUUGGUAAAAAAGUGGAUCUUAACCAUGAAGAUGAAAAUUACGCAUGGUUGUUCUGCCACUUGAUGUAUGGCAUCAUUUGUAUUUAUAUGCACUUCUUUUAAACAAUCACUCAUGAAUACAGCUGAAAGAUCUAGCUUAAAUGUUCCCAAGCCUGUAUAACCACAACUGUUAUUAUAGAGUGAUCUCAUUAACGUUAGUAUAGGAUACUGUGAUAACGUUUCAACAACUGUGUGCUGCACGUGUUGGGGUUCCUUUUCUCCCAGAUGAAUUCACUACUUUUAUAUCAUCUGUAAAGUAAUCAAAUGACACUUUCUUUCUGCAGAGAUAUGGUGAAAUAAGUAAACAAAGGCUUGAUCGUGCCAUUCUUACAUUCUUCCAGAAUUUCCGGAAGUCUUACGUUGGUGAUCAGGCCAUGCAUUCAUCAAAAGUAAAUGCAAACUUGUUUCCUUUUAUAUAAUUUUUGUUUUGUUUUACGUUAGUUCCUGAUACUACCAUUCUGUUGCAGCAGUUGUAUGAAAGAUUGAAAGAACUCCUUGGGCUCCACGAUCAUCUAGUGUUGUUGAACCUUAUUGUUGGCAAGAUUGCUACAAACUUAAAAUGUUAUGCAGAGGUAAUCUUGUGUUCUUUACCUUUUUAACACGCCGCUAUAAACAUCAAAGUCACACCUGUCUUUUGUUUCUAUAGAGUGAAGAAGUUAUUAGUCACACGCUAAGUUUAUUUCUGGAGUUGGCAUCUGGGUAACUCCAUUAUACCUGUUUAAAUUGAUGUUAUAUUAGCUCAUGCAUUUCCGUGUUGAUUUUUUUUUUCUCUUGCAGAUAUAUGACCGGGAAGCUGCUUUUAAAGCUGGACACAGUGACCUUUAUUAUUUCUAACCACACAGUAAUUCUUCUCCAAAUAUUCUUUUUUUUUUUGUGUGUGGACAGCAUUAUGCAUUCAAAUUUAUCACCAGCUAUAGUCUCAGUAUGCGAGUUGUCUAAUUCCAGAGGGAGCAGUUUCCAUUCUUAGAGGAGUACAGAUGCUCUCGCAGCAGAACAACGUUUUACUACACAAUUGGUUGGCUGAUUUUCAUGGAGGAUAGCUCAAUAAAGUUUAAAACUUCGAUGGAACCACUUCUUCAGGUUGGUUAUACACUAUUUUCUUUCCGCAUCUUAUCUCUGAGCUUUCAUUUGCAAUAGUGAUUCUGUCUGUAUGUGCACUGCAUACUGUUGUCUGAUUAUGAUGAUGGAGUUGCAUAUUUUGUAUUGAAGAAGAGAUGAAAGUUUUGUAUUGAAGAGGUGAAAUUUGCUUUGUCCGUUUCACUUUUUCAGUUCUAGGCAUAGUUCGAUAUCCUAUACAGUUAUUCUUCCAUAUCCUUAUAUCUUAUGAUAUCCUAUAGGCAAAUUCGCAUCGCAUAGUAGUUUUGUAUCCUCUGUAGUAUGCAUAGCUUUCUAUCAUAAUUGUAAUGGUGUAUUGGAAUCUAAGUUCUUGUAAAUAGUUUAAGCGUAUGUAACAAGUCAGUAAACCACUUUUUUUAUUCAAUCAUGCUAGGUUUUCCGCACCCUGGAAUUAACACCAGAUUCCAUGUUUCGCACUGAUGCUGUGAAGUUCGCUGUGAUCGGGUUGAUGAGGGAUUUAAGAGGAAUUACGAUGGCUACUAGCAGGUCUUGACUACAGCUUGUGACUUUAACAUCCAUAGACAUUUUACAAUCUUAUGAAUUAGUUAAGCUUUCUCUUUUAAUUUCAGCCGGAGAAGCUAUGGUCUUUUGUUUGACUGGCUCUAUCCUGCACACAUGCCACUUCUUUUGAGAGGGAUCUCACAUUGGUUCGACACACCAGAGGUAUUUAGUUAUCCAUUCUGCUCCAUUGGAUUGUAUUAUCGGUCACUAACCUAGUAUUAUUUUUUUGAAACACAACCGAGUAUUAUUUUAUCUAUAUAAUUUAGCAUUAAUCAAUACGUAAUUUUCCUAAGUGGGUUCCAAUGUCAGGUCAAUUUACGCUUUCUGACAUUUUCGUGAAUAUUGGUGCCUUCUUUGCCUCGUCUUCUCUUCUUUGUUUGUUGAUGUAGGUUACGACUCCGUUGUUGAAGUUCAUGGCUGAGUUUGUGCAUAACAAAACCCAGCGGCUUACUUUUGAUUCUUCUUCUCCAAAUGGCAUCCUGCUUUUCCGGGAAGUCAGUAAAUUGAUUGUGGCUUAUGGUUCAAGGAUUUUAGCCCUUCCAAAUGUUGCGGAUAUAUACGCCUAUAAAUACAAGGGGAUCUGGGUUUCACUGACUAUUCUAUCAAGAGGUUAGAACAUGAUUUUGACAUUAUAGAACCAAUGAGAGUUAAUCAUUUUUGGCAUAUUUGCUGUUUUUGAUUAUUAUUAUUAUUAUUAUUAUGUGUUAUGAUACUGAAUAAUCAUCUAAUGUGCAGCGCUUUCUGGAAAUUAUUGCAACUUCGGUGUGUUUGAACUCUAUGGCGAUAGGGCUCUUGCGGAUGCACUUGAUAUCGCAUUGAAGAUGACCCUAGCAAUACCCUUGGCAGAUAUAUUAGCGUAUCGCAAGGUACGUGUGCCACUGCGUUUUUAUCUCCCUGAUACAUUUCAUUUAGUGAUUCAAUCAACCGGUUUUUGAUUUUUAUUAAACGCAUAGAAAUUGUUUGGUUUUCACAUCAUAUGAUAUUUUUUACACUACAACCUCAGAUUAUCCAAUGUACACUCUUAAUCUCAAAUCUUUAUUGUCCUUCUUUCAUCCUUCAGCUUACAAAGGCAUACUUUGGAUUCGUUGAGGUCCUGUGUGGCAGUCAUAUUACCUUUAUACUGAAACUGGAUACUGCCACUUUUAUGCAUCUCGUAGGCUCUCUUGAAUCUGGACUCAAGGGGUUGGACACGAGUAUUUCAUCACAAGUGAGAACUUUGUAAUCAAUUAUUUUUGAAAGAUUUAUACUGCAAACUGUCUUCUUAAACAUUGAUAUAAAUGAUCGUUACAGUGUGCAGUAGCUGUAGACAAUCUAGCUUCGCAUUAUUUCAACAACAUCACAAUGGGCGAGGCACCUACUUCCCCAGCUGCUAUUCGUUUUGCACAGCACAUUGCAGACUGCCCUAGCUUGUUCCCCGAGGUAACUCAUCGUCUCUGUUUUGUCAGAUUCAUUGCAACACAAAAAUUAGAUUUAAUCCCUUUUUAUUUAAACGGGUUUGCUCUUACAAGCAGAUAUUGAAGACGCUGUUUGAAAUAGUUUUGUUCGAAGAUUGUGGCAAUCAAUGGAGUCUCAGCAGGCCAAUGCUAAGCUUGAUUCUUAUAAGUGAGCAGGUAAUGUCUUAUCUUUCAGCUUUCGAAAUGGUUUUUUUUUUUGUUAAUUCGUCUAACCUUGUAUAAAUCCAACCAGAUAUUCUCUGAUCUGAAAGCUAAGAUCCUCUCCUCACAGGUGAUAAAUCCAAAACUCUCUUUUUUUUUUCUUUACACUAGUGUUUCUUUUAUGUAAGCCUCUAUAUUGAUUACUUAAUUUUGAUGGUGUUGCAGCCAGUGGAUCAACACCAGCGUCUCUCAGCCUGCUUUGACUGUCUUAUGACAGACAUAUCACGUGGGUUGGAUCAGAAGAACAGAGACAAGUUCACCCAAAACCUGACCCUUUUCAGACAUGAGUUCCGCGUUAAAUAAGAAUUCGCCAAACACACAGUCCCUGAGCCACGUUAGGGUCUCUCAUCAGAAAAGACCCACAUUGACAUAGUAAUAUAUCACAAAGCUCCCACUUCAAAAGAUUGUGGUACUGUACAGUUUUUGAGAAGAAAGGGAAACGAACUUUUACAUAGUAGUCAUUCACAAUAUGUGGUCCUAUGUUAGCUCGAUAAAAGAAGUUUGAUGUCUCCCAACAUUAUUAGCGUUUCCUUUUGGCAAAUGCUGGGAGUAAUCAGGUCACAUAUUCUUUGUAUUUGUUUGUGAUAAUGGUAAACAAACCCGAUUGAAAUUCCAAAUUUGUUUUUGAUGGGCUUUUGGUUAUAUAUUUGAUUUGCUUUGAAUGGUUUGACUGAAUCAUUGUGAAUACCGAAUCGACCAGUAGGAGUCAAAAAUAUUAGCUGAAUUUUAGAGUGUGUUAUACCAAAAGUACAUAGUGCACCAAAAAUCAUAAUUUUCUGUUCUGGUGUAGUUAAAAACUAUAAAUAUAUUUUGGUUACUUUUAAAAUAUUUUUUUUGGGUUAUCUGAGCAACUUGUACAUUAUUAUACUCACUCAAAUAUUUUAGCAACUUCUACUUUUAUGGACUAUGUAAACAUUUAUAUGGCCGAGGUUGGCUUUCCUCGGUACAGAGUCUUUGGCUUAGGCUAUUUUAAGGACAAAAUGUACAUACAAAAACCCCACAUUUGAAAGACAUUGCCAUCUUUUUUCUAGUCGAAAGGAUCAAAUCGUGGGUCGUGCUCACUAGCUGUGACCAUCCCGGUACAUAGACAUGUCGGACACAUCACCUGAUUCAGACACAAACACACACAAUUUAGCAUCACAAAGACUAACAUGAGUUCAGACCAACAUAUUUUACCUUUCCUGCGCCGGAACAGUUUAGACACCUUUCCGUUGUCGGAGCUUGCAGAACCCGGCUCGAAGCUCUAGUUCGUUUUAUUGGAUCAGUGGUUAAGCACACGCCACUCGCAGAACAUUUAGCGCAUGGCAAGUAUCCUAAGCGAACACAUAUCAUUUUAAGUUGUUUAAAGAAAACAAAAAAGUUCAAGAAAUUAGAUUAUAAUAAUCCAUGAGAUUAAUAUAUAUAAAUCAUUACCAGUCCCAAGGCAGUACUUGCACCUCUUCUUCUCUUGUUGCUUAACAUUGUUAACUUCAAUUAGCAUCAAUGUCGAAAUUACACCCACUGCUCCCCCAGAAAAUGAUGCCACAAUGGGAUCUACUUGGCUGUAUCAUAAUAUUUUUAUAAUUACUAGAUAUGAUAUGAAAACUUAUAAUAAAAAAUUCAAGCAAUUUCACUAGUGGUAGUACCUUAAUUGCAAGGGAAGAUGCAAGCUCCUUAUGAAAUCUUCGUAAGAGGUUCCACCUAAUCCUACCUUGAGCUCAAGCUGCCAUUUAAAAAAAAAAUCAUUCAACAAGAACACAUGCUUAUGCAGUCUUCAAGGAAAGAUACUUUGUUAGAUUACCUUAGGCGCAAUCAAACCACCAAAGAAGAUGAUUCCAGAGAUCAAAGCAACGCUGGUCAAGUAGAGUUGUUUCAAAGUCUUCGGCGUCUAUUUUCAAAAAACAAAACAAAAAUUAAAAAAAGACAAGAUUUACAUUAAACAACAAGGACGUGUCUUUGUCUCUAAAGUAAGUAACUAACCACGUUAGGGAGGAAAGGGAUGGAAGAAGGGAUCUCAGGCAUCUCCGUUGCCUCGAGAACAGUCUCCUCCUCCUCGUUGAUGGAUGUAACACUCUUGAUCCUCUGCUGAACGCGUAACCUCCUGACUUCCUCCAUUAGGAGAAAGAUCUUGUUGCGUCUGCUCCUAAUGCUGUCUUGAAUCUCCUGAAGCUGCAUCUGAACGAAGUCUUGAACCGUCUCUGAUCCCUCAAUGAUACAGAAGUUACUGAAACAAACAAAAAGGUUCGAUUUUUACGAAACUAGAAUCGAAAAGGUUCGAUUUUUAAUACACAAACGAAGAGAAGGGGCAAAAGGGUACUUGCUUUGGAACAGAGUCUCCGGCGGGAGGAGGUCUGUUGUUGGUGCCGGCGGCGGAGCAGGAGAGUGUAGAGCGGCCAUGUAAUAGAAGACGAGGGGGGAGUUUGAGGUGAGAUGAAGGGAAGAGGAGUAGGGAUCUGGAAGUUGAUGAUGGAGGAGGAGGAGGAAGAGGAGGAGCAGAAGAGAAGCUCGUCGUCAUCAUCUUCUCUGCGAGCUAUGCUUUCGUUGUCAAUACAUUUCUGGAUAAACUGAUCAAAGCUACCACACUUUUUCGGCUGAUAAUAAAUAACCUUCCGGGUGGUUCCAAAGGUUUCGCUGUUUUUUUUUUUUCCAAUAACAUCCCAAUUAAUUAAUAAACAAUCCUUCAUUGACACGUGGGGACAAUUACAAGUUUUUUUUUUGUCUUGAACGUCUAAAGCUAAUGUGUUGUGUAUUUUUGUUUUUUUUUUUUUUUUUUUUUUGAGACGUCGUGUCGUGUAUCUUUGACUAAAAGUAUCUUAAUACUUUAAUUAGUUUUAAGAAAUUAUUAUGACUAACAUAAUGUUUCUCGAUAUUUAUAUCAAUUAAAUUAACUUUUAAUCCAGUUAUUAACCUAUACAUUUCACUUCAUUUAUAUAUAUAUAUAUAUAUAUAUGAAAUUGUUUAUAAAAAAUAUUUUUAUUCAAUUUUCCAAAUGAAAUUUAUUUAUUUAUUAUAUAUCAAUUAAAUUGAAGCUCAUAAUAGAAAAAAAAAUUCCUCUUUUAAUUUUUCCUAGCUCACGUCUCACCAUGCGGUGUAUGAUAUAUUCAACAUUAUUAAGGGUGGGCGUUCGGGUACCCGUUCGGGUUUGGAUCGGAUACUUUGGAUUUUCGGGUAUUUCGGUACAGAGGUGUAGAACCCAUUCGGAUAUUUCUGUACUUCGGGUCGGGUUCAGAUAUUUUUACUUCGGAUUCGGUUAUUUCGGAUCGGGUUCGGAUAUUUAGAUUUUGAAAAAAAAAAUUAAAUUUUUCAUUUCUCAAAUUUAUUGUAUUUAAAAAUACAACUUUCACUUAACUAAUUUUUUAUUUUUAAUAGAUUGAAUAGUUAAUAAAUUUGGACAUAACAUUUUGAAACUAAAAAGACAUUAAUUUGGUUAUUAUUUUUUAAUUUUAGAUGUAACUUUUUGUUAAUUCUUAACAUAAAAAGCUUGACAUGCAUUUUAAUUGAGUAGCAAAUCAUUUUCUCCAUAGUUAUAUGUAUAUCAUAUGAACUUAAAGUAUGUGUAAUAUCAAUAUAAAUAUUUUACAUUAGAGAUUUAAACUAGAAAUAUAAAAUUAAUUAUACAUAUGUUCGGUUAUCUUCGGAUAUCCAUUCGGGUUCGAAUAUUAAUCGUUCGGGUUCGGAUAUCCAAUAUCUCCUAAUUCAAUAUCCGUUCGGAUAUUUUGGUAUUUCGGUUCGGAUUUCGGUUCGAGUUUUUCGGAUCGGGUUCGGGUGCGGCUUCGGAUAUCUGGUAAGUGCCCAUCCUAUGGGAAAUGAUGGAGGUAGUUGAUAAGCGAAAAAGGAUGUUUGAUAUCUUAUUAACCGGUUGUCAAAAAUAGUAUAGUGUAUAUUGUAAUAAUAAUGGUAGUAUUUUUUUAGUUAGAUAGUUAAUUAAGAGUUAUUAUUUUUUGGUUUUUAUUGCAUAUAUUGUAAUAAUAAUAGUACUUGUUGGGUUGCUUGAUCCAGUUUCUCAUUUCUUAAGUAACUUUUGAAAACAAUUUCAAAUGACCACCAAUUGAAACCUAAAAGUCUAAAACAGAAAAAAAUCAUAUAUUUUAAAUAAAUAAAGAACUAACAUAUUUAGAACAAAAAAAUGAUCUAGUGUAAAAAAUUAGAUGUAAUUUAAUAUACUCAAAUGAUAACUGAACGACUGAAUAAUCUAUAUAUGUCUAACCAAAAUAAUAGAAUAAUAUUAUCUAAAAUAAUAUUUUAUACAUACAAGUUACAAAAAGAAAUUAAAAUAAUAUACUAAUUAUUUGUUAUAAUUUAUUUAAUUUGUAAACUAUGUUUCAAGGGAAAAUAAAAGUGGUUUAGAAGUCUUACCAUGCUCUUAAUCUCAACAUGUAAUGCGAUGUAUGAAUAGUGCAUGUAUAUAUCUUGAGUUAUUUUUAGGUUCACCAACCAAUAAAAAAUUGUCAUUUUAAAUCUAGUAUCUUUUAAUUAAGGAAACCAAAUAACUUGCAAAUUAUAUUAUUUUUUCAAAAUAAAAUUUAAAAAUAAAUAAAAAUAAUAUAUAAAAAACGAAUUCAAAAAAAAAAAUGUUGUCAACAAAACACUAAACCCUAAGCUCUAAUACUAAACCCUAAACUCAAAUCCUAAACCCUAAAUCUUUGGGUAAACCCUAAAUCCUUGGGUAAACCCCUAAACCCUUGGAAAAACACUAAACAUGUUGUCAACAAAACACUAAACCCUAAACUCUAAUCCUAAACCCUAAACCCUUGGGAAAACCUUAAACCCUUGGGUAAACCCUAAACCCUUGGGUAAACCCUAAACCCUUAGGUAAACCCUAAACCCUUGGAAAAACACUAAACAUUUGGAUAAAUUCUAAAUUAUAAAUCUUAAACACUAAACUCUAAAUCUUAAAAAUAAAUAUUUUUUUUAAAUAAUCUUUUUUUAGAACUAUUGUUAUUUUUAUUUAUUUAAUUUUUUAUUUUUUAUUUUAAAAGCAUAAUAUAAUUUGACAAGUUAUUUUGUUUCCUUAAUUAAAAGAUACUAGAUCUAAAAUGACAACUUUCUAUUGGUUGGUGAAUCUAAAGGUUCACCUUAGGGGUGAACCCAAGAAAAAGUCGUAUAUCUUUACAAGUGGAAGAAAACGAACAAAGUACUAACGUUGAAGUUGACAAAAAUAAAAACACCAGAAACUGUUAGAAACCGACAAAAGACACGAACAAGUUUUGUUUUUAAACAGAAGAAGCAGCUUCGAGUUUGGGAAGACGAGCUCUCCCAUCUCUUCCGUCUUCUCUUCUUGGAACCUCACUAUCUCCUCGUUCAUUCUCUUCACUAUCCUCUCAAAUCUUAUCGUUGCUUCCUCGCUUUCUGCUUUAAUCUGCAUAAGCACCAACAGAUAUGGUCAAAGAGUACUCAUUUGAGUUGGAGUUGUUGUUGUUGUUACCUCUCUGUAUUCGUUCUCAGCUUCUCCUACUUUGUCGGAACGUGUGAGCAUUAGUUUGUCACUGCAAUAACAACAGAGAAGAGUUUAUAGAAUGUUCCAACGUAAAUGCAACCACAGAAAUGUAAAGUACAGAUCUCUUACCUCUUCACCAGCUUGCAAAAAGGUCCUAAGAUCCUCACUAUGCUGAAGCUCAGGAUGUAAUGCUAUCCGAUUAACAAAAACAUCCAAUGCUGCUCGCCUCAUUUCAAUAAAUUCAGCACUAAAGCGGAAUUUUUCUGCCACAAAAAAAAAAAAAAGUAUUGAUAAACUUAUUGACUCAUUCAUCACACUGUACUAAAGAUUCCAAGAGAAAAACCUACACAUCAUGAUGGUGAUCAGUAACCCCUAACUGAACCUAAGCUAAUUGAAAACUGAUACUCUAAAAACCCAUCAAUCAAUCAACUUAACUGAUAGAGAGAGAGAGAUGUAGUAUACAUCUACGAAGCAUAUCUUUGACUCAAUGAGAUAAACUAAAUGACUCAUUCAUCCCACUGUACUGAAGAUGCCAAGAGAAGAAUCUACAACCAUAAUGAUAAUAAGAAAACCUCUAACUAAGAACUAACCUAAGCUAAUUAGACAAUGAUACUCUCAAAAUCCAUCAAGCAAUCAACUUAACUGAAUAGAGAUAAAUGUAGUAUACGUAUUAGACUCAAUGAGACAAUGUAGCUAAUUUUACCAACAGCACUCUUCUCAGGGAGAGGAGGAACGAAAACGCCUUGGUACUUCUCGAAAAGCCGAGAAUUUAAACCCGGUUUUGUCAAAGUGGAAGGUUUAGUCAUUUUUAUUCACGAACAAACCCGGUUUAGUCAAAGUGGAAGGUUUGUGCUCGGUGCAUAUAAGCAAGAAAGCUUUCAAGCAAUAGAGGUGUCGUCAUCACACUUUAGCUUUAAACCGAAACUUACUCCACAGUUAACUGAUAAGAUUUUUAUUAAAAUUUAAGAUUAUGUGAUAUUUAAGGCUAAGCUAAUAAUGUAUUUUGGAUUAUAUGAUGAUUUUUACCAACAAAUGAUGUUAAAAUAAUUAACUGUUUUUCCAUUUAAUAACAUUUCAAUUAUAUUUUGAUUCGUUGGAAGUUAGUCUGGAACAGCUUUGAUGCAACAAGCAAGACACAGUCAAAAUAUAAAGAAAGCUUAUCUAUUAGUCAAUAGAGAAGAAGUAGACAUUACAGACUCUUGUAACUGCUUUUGAAAUCGAACUAUAAGCAAAAGUCAAAUCUUAAAACUUGAAUCAGAGAGACAUCUGAUGAAACACACACACAAAAAAAAUCACUUUAAGCAGAAACAGGCUUCUUCAC
rnacentral:lncRNA from 1 species